rnacentral:lncRNA from 1 species
UUUCGAGAUUCGUUUGCUCACUAAAACAAGCAUUUUUAACAGGUCUUGUUUGGUGGAAGCUGGUGUAAUCCCACCUCUUCUGAAUCUUGUUACUUCAAGGGAUUCUUCUUGUCAAGAGAAUUCAAUGGCUACUCUGCUGAACCUCUCAAAGAACUCUAAAUGCAAAAGCACAAUUGUUGGAAAUGGAGGUUUGUUCUUGAUACUUGAUGUGUUGAAAGGAGGGCUAAAGAUGGAAGCUCGACAGCACGCAGCUGGUACAUUAUUCUACCUUACAUCAGUAGAAGAGUACCGUAAAAUGAUGGGAGAAAAUCCAGAGUUCAUUCCAUCACUUUUGGAGUUGCUAAGAAAUGGCACUGACAGAGGAAAAAAGAAUGCCUUGGUCACCAUUUUUGGCCUCCUAAUGCGCCCCGAAAACCACUGGAGAGUGAUUGCUGCUGGAUUAGUCCCCUUGGUGGUUAAUCUGUUGAAAUCUUUCGAAAGGGAAGAUCUCAUUACAGAUUCUUUAGCAGUUUUAACAACGCUUUCUGAAAGGCUAGACGGAGCAAUGGCUGUUCUUUAUGCUGGAGCUUUGCCUAUUAUUGUCAAUGUUCUAAGUUCUUGCAAUUCAAGGGCAUCAAAAGAGUACUGUGUCUCAUUGUUGCUGGCUUUGUGUAUCAAUGGUGGAGCAGAUGCAGUUCCUGUUUUAGUAAAGAACUCAUCUCUCAUGGGACCGUUAUAUUCCCUCCUGGCUGAAGGCAACUCAAAAGCAAGCAAGAAAGCUAGUACACUCAUCAGAAUCUUGCACGAGUACAACGAGAAGACCUCAUCUGGCUUGAUCACUCCAGUUUUUAUAGAGGAUCAAUUCAUUAAUGUAUGGUAAUUAUUUACAAGCAUCCAACAUGUAUAUAUACACCAUGGUGUAGGAUGCUUUAGUGUCAUUUUCCUUUACUGGUGAUAUCGGCUCAAGUUUUUAAGAGCUAGUCACACUACACUGCUGCAGCUUCUGGUUUUUUGAAUGAAGCUUUGUAUAGUUUUACUUGUAUCUCUAUACUUUCUGAUGUUAAUGUGAAUUGUUGUUAAUGUAAACAUCAAUCGUUGUAAUCUUCGACUAAAUAAUAAGCAUUAUCUUAUCUGAAUCAGUUGGUAUAAAUAUACAAUCAGUUUACUUGUUUUAUCUUUGAUUGUUCAGUUUCAUCUUCUGGUAGGCACCUAAAUUGAGAUCAAAAUGUGUAUAAGAGGAAACUUAAGUACAAUCUUGGGCAGAGGCGGAUCUUCAGCGAGUUCAAUGGGAACCAUUGACUAUAAAUUCUAGAUUCACCUUUGAGUUCUUGGGUAGGAUGAAAUGAAAGUUAAUUGUACAUGAGAAUGUGCACUAAGGAUGGACUGACUCAACUCUUGUUGAUAAAUCGAGAGCCUCUUCGAGUUUAACAACCACCUGUUCCAUGGAUGGUCUUUGCUGCUUAAGUCCUAUGCUAGUCAAAGCUAGCUUAAGAACAAGUUCAAAUGCCUCCAUUGAGAAUUUCCCCUCCAGUUUGAGAUCAGCAAAUUCUUUGAUAUUCCCACCUUUGGUCAAGUUUUUCGCCUAUGAUUCAAAAAGACGCGUUAAAGAGAAAAAAAAAACUCAAAAUGAAUGCAAGAGAAAAUGGAGGAGUUAGUAUGUUUACCAUUUUACUUAGAGGCAUUGGAUUCUUCAAAUCCAAGUUGAUAACCCUUUGUCCAGAUAAAAGUUGUAGCAGUACUAUCCCAAAGCUAUAGACAUCACCAUAAGAAUUAACAUGACGGUUCUUUUGGUACUCAGGAUCAACAUAACCAUAGGUUCCUCUCACUUCUGAGCUAGCAUAUGAAUGUCCAAUGCUAAUAAUUUUGGACAAACCAAAGUCUGAGAGUUUGGCUUCAAAGCUAGCAGAUAGAAGAAUGUUUGCUGGCUGCAAAAUUUCACCAAAAAGAGGAAACACAACUGAUUUUUUUUUAGAAAAUGGAAGACAGAUUAUGGAUGUAAAAUAAGAUUUUACCUUGAUAUCCCGGUGAACAAUUGAUCCUUGAGGAUACGAAUGGAGAAAGAGGAGACCACGAGCACAAUCAAGUGCAAUUUCUAGUCUUCGUCUCCACGAGAGAUAUUUACUUUUACCUGCUCAGCAGGGGUUUUAAAAUCAGGACACUAUACAAUUUAGAUCAACAAAGAACAGAGAAAUGCUCAAAGAGCAAAAACAUACCAAAUAGCCAUUCGGAAAGAUUUCCAUUGUGGCAUAGCUCAUAAACUAGAAAACAUUCAAUUGGUGCAUCAUAGUGGCCUAGCAGGGAUACGAGGUUCGGAUGUUUGAUAUGAGAGAGACUUGUAACUUCUCUAACAAAUGUUUCCAUCUGUUCAUCCUUAAUUAUGUGCUUAAUAGCCACAUGUUGUCUAUCUGCUAAAAUGCCUUUGUAUACUUUUCCUGUAAAACAUGAUCAUAUCUGAUUUAUGCAUGUUACUAAUAUGAAGUCAACUACUACAACGUUCGAUUGUGACUUACCAGCUAUGCCUUGACCUAUGAAGUUGGACAUGCUGAGACUGUCAGUUGCAGAGUAAAUUUCUUUAAGUGAUAGUCUACGAUAGCUUGAUUCUUCAGAGUAAGAUUCAUCUGAUACCAUCAAUAUUAAGCAGAAUUAGAAUAAGCUAAAACAUUCAAAACAAUGAUUGUUAUGUGUAGAGGGCUUACUGUAUCUUUCACUUGAUGGUUUAACUUCAGCCUUCCUUUUCACAUAGAUCCACAACGCAACGAUUACAACUAACACCAUCCCAACUACACCAACAAUUAGAAUUGAAAGAUCUGCAUAUUUAACCAAUGCUUAACAAUAAACACACUCUUUUGUCCUGAAACUCAGCAAUAUCAGUAAUUUUUAUGUAUAUGGAUUUCAAGACUUUACCAGUUUUAAACUUAGUACUACGUAUCGUUUCAUUUCCACUCUCAUCUGCAGAAGAUGCUGCACAGUACAAUGAUCAAUCAAGAUCAUAGUUAAAUUUCAAAACUUAAAUAUGUUUAUAACAGGAAGUAAAGUAAACUUACCUAAAGGGAGAGAGUUGUCUCCUAGGCAAUGAAAGAUCUUGUCAAUCCAACUCUCAUCAGCAACUCUUUGACUUGUUAACAAAAUCAGCAUACUAAAUCUACAAAUGUCAUCUUCAAGUUUCAUCGAAUCAUUUUUCGACGUGUAAGCUAUUUCUCUCCAUGUCUUCAAACACUUAUUGCAUCCCUUAGUAAGUCCUCCUUCUGAAUCCAUUAGCCUACAAUCAUCCCUCAGACUAUUCAAUCUGCUUCCUAUCUCAUUCAGAACGUCGAUCUCUGAAUAAUCCGAACAACCUCCUGCACCACUAGUCAACUUCUCAAUGCCACAGCUAAAAAUAUCAGUACUAUUGUUAUUCAUCAAAGUUAAGCAGUCCAUCUGUUGUAUGGAAUUGAGAAAGAUAAGUCUUGUUUGGUUUGUCCAACGCGCCAAUGCUCGUAAAUAUAUGUUGAAAGGUAAUCCACAACAAGGGUGAGUUAAGAAACCAUCCCAAUUGUUGUCUAAAGUUGUACAUGAGUCCCUUGAUGAUGAAGAAGAAAUGUUAAAAUCCAGGACACAUUUGUUGAAACUACUAUUGGUUUGAGAAAAAACUAAGUCAAAUGAUAUGGAGAAAACCAUGAUGAACAUGAUUAAUAAUGGUGCUUUGAAGCAAUUCAUUUUCUUGAAAUGCUAAAGGGUACUCUAUAUUAACAUAAUCAAAUAGAGAGCUAUAUAACUUUUUCUUCAUUAGAAAAAGAAGAAGAAGUCAAGGAUAUGAAAGAGUAAUAAAAGAGAAUGCAUUUGGCUAAAGAGGGUAUUUUUCUUGUUUCCCAUUGUAGGGCAUAACACUGUUUAAUGGCGGAAUACAUCGACAAUCUCUUAAAUUUGUUAUGAAUUUUAUUUAGACACUUGAACUACAUUAAGUUCCAAUUGAGCAUCUAAACACAUAAUAAUAAAGUAUUCUUAUUAGAAAAUUACUAUUCAAAUUCUGGAAAAACUUUUGCGCGCCUAGUCAAGAGUAUAUGAAGUAAAUUAGUUAACCACAUAAAUUCUGCAACAUUUUUUUGAAUUAUAUUUGUCAAUCUCAAUUAGAGUAGGCCUUAGGUUUUACUGCUUAUAACUAAAGAAAGUGACAUACUUUAAGUGAUUAUCAUAUUUACAUAAUUGGUGCUUACGCACAAAUACUUUUUAAAGAUACAAGUCGAAAAUGUCUAAUAGAAACACUAAUCGUAUGCUCAAUUAGAAAAUAUCGGAAUUUAAAUGUCUAAAUGAAAUAAAUUGACAAAUUUAAGGAAUUGUUCAUGUAUGUCGCCUUAGUUAAUCAAUCACAUGACAUAAGACAAAAAAAAAAGUUAAUAAAAAAUCUAAGAUUUUUUGCUGAUUUAACAUUUGUAGAUUAGUAACUUAAGUAAGAUGUGAUAAAAGACAAAUGCCGGAUAUAUCAACAUUAGAAAAAUAUAAAAGUUUGAUGUCACCUUUGUGUUGUACUGUUUGGUUGACGAAGGACUCAAUCUUACACCAAUACAAAUUACCAAUUGUUUUAUCAAAGACUCAACUAAUUAACCAUCUGCUAGAUAAUUAGAAUUACUGAAUUAGGGGUGUUAACGAAAAAUCGAAAAUCAAAUUAAAUCGAUAAAAAGAUUUAUACUUUUUUGUUUUGAUUUUUACUUUUAAAUAAUUUGAUUUGAUUUUAGAUUUUAGAUUUUUUUAAAAAUAACCAAGUCAAGUGGACUCUUAAUUCUUAAUUUAGGUGUUUGUCUUUAUAGUAAUUCGGUUAUUUGUCUUUAUUUCUUUUAUUUGAUUUGUAUUUUUUUGUUUGACAAUUCUAAAAAUCUAUUUCAUAUUCAAAAUAACUUGUCUUUUAGUCUUUUAAUUAUUCACCAUUGUUUGAUUCAAUUGCUGUGAAGAUAUAUUGGUACAUUACUACUAGAUCUUUAAUUUUCUACCCAAAAAUAUGGUUGUAAUUUUUUUUUAUAAUGGUCCCUGGAAAUGACUAAAUUAAUUAUGGGAAUAAUGCAUACGAUUUUUUUGGAGGAAGCUAUAUAUAUAACUUGAUGCAUAUAUAUUUUCUUUUUUCUUAAAGAGUAAGUGAUUUGGUAAUGUUAUGAUGGAAAAAUAUGCUUGGAAAUAUAUUAUCAUUUAUUUUUAAGAAAGGAAAAAACGACAAAAGUCGAUAUAAUAAAAAGUCAACUUUAUUAAUUUAAUUUGGUUCCAACAUUUGAAAGACCAGCUUAAUUAAUUUAUUUUUUUGUUAGAGAAGAAUCGAUGCAAAUCGAAUUGUGAACACACCUAAUUAGAAAUAAUACGAUCAUUAGUUUGUAUUUGUUUUUAAGGAAUAAAAGAGAGAAUAGAACAAUAAAAUAAAAUUUAAAAUGAAAAUACUCAACCUCAUUGGUUUUUCUUCUUUCCUUUUUCCCUUGUGUUGCCAAAGAGGAAAAGGCUGGAAAUUGAAAUAUAUAUAUAUAUAUAUAUAAACCCCAAGAAUUUUUUUUAAAAAAAUGGAAGAAACAAUGAACGUCAAUGAAUACAUCGUUAAUUUUAUGUAUGUUUUCCUAGUUUAAAUAUGUGGAAACUUUGGAGUUAACUUAUUUUAGCACAACAUUAUAGCAAGUAGUAGAGUCAAAAAUUUAUAUAAAGUGAUUACAAAAUCAAUAGAUCGCUACUCACGUACUUGAACGUGUAAUAUAAGCACUCUAAAAUCUUAUUUAUUAGACUAUUAUGCAUCAAUUAUUUUUCAUUAAUUAAAAUAAAAUAUUAAUGGGUUUAUGAGUUACAUGUUUUUCCCACUCUAAUAUAGGGGCUUCUAACGUAAAGAUGACGAUUUUUUUUAACUAAAAUAGUUGCAUGUAUAUGUAAUGUAUCAAAAAUGUAUAAUCAUAUAUAUAAUGUAUAACUAUGAUUAGAGAUGUAUAUAAAUACAUACGCACUCUUUAUAUAAUAUUUAUAUAGUUGCAAAAAUUCAUCUUCCUCAACAAGCUACUUUUUUUCAAUCUCAUCUAACUCAAAUUUCCUCUAAAAAAGGCUUAAAUUAUAAAUUUGAGCUGCUCUCAAUAUUUCGAAUCACUUCAUAUAUUAUUCACUCAAAUUUCAAAAUAAUUCAUAUUUGCAAGAGAUCAAAUUUUGAGCCUCAAAACUAUUCAAAUAGAGGGCAAACAAUUGUUGGGCCUUUCUUAUUCAAUGGGCCGGUGGACUGUACUAAUUAUUGAAUAAUGCAGAUUAGGGUGUAAAUGGUCGGGUUGGUUUGAGUUUUUCAAAUAUUAAACUAAACUAUUUGUGUCGAAUCUCUUUUUAAAGGGAAAAUUAGCAAAUUAGUCAAAAAGUCUAACUUAAUUAGUAAAAACCUCCAUACGUUAUAAAUAUUAGUAAAAAUGUCAAAAUGUCAUUAUUUUAGAAAAGCUUGUGUAUUCUAAUUUACUUCCUAUUUUAUCUCACCUUAAUUACACAUUUUCCAAUUAAUCCUCUAUCGUAAUCCGCCUCUCUCUUCCUCUUUUUUUUUUUUUUCAGAAAUUGAAAAAUAUAUUUAUAAAGAUAUUCACACAAUCCCUUUUAUUGAGGUAUGCAUCUUUAUUCGUUUUUUAAGAUUUAUUUUAUGAUUUUAUUUUUGUUUAAAAUUGUUGUCUGUAGUUGAAAUCACAUUUAGAAUUUGAUAAACUCUAAAUCACGCUCCAAUGGCAGAAUCUAAGAGAAUUACUAGAGGUAUCCAACUUAAUCAACAAUUUGCUAUUUUUCAAUAUCACAAUUUUCUACUAAGAACACAAAUGACGACAAUUUUGUAUUUUAAUUUGCUUAUUUUGUAUUUCAAUAUCACUUUAUCUACAAACAAGUUCUACUUUUUUUUAUUUUGUAUUCACCAUAAUGGUAUACCAACAAAGUCACAUUUGUAUUUCAAUUGAAAUGAGUAUUUAUUGUGCUCAUUUUGUAUUUCAAUCUCAAUUUNNNNNNNNNNNNNNNNNNNNNNNNNNNNNNNNNNNNNNNNNNNNNNNNNNNNNNNNNNNNNNNNNNNNNNNNNNNNNNNNNNNNNNNNNNNNNNNNNNNNNNNNNNNNNNNNNNNNNNNNNNNNNNNNNNNNNNNNNNNNNNNNNNNNNNNNNNNNNNNNNNNNNNNNNNNNNNNNNNNNNNNNNNNNNNNNNNNNNNNNNNNNNNNNNNNNNNNNNNNNNNNNNNNNNNNNNNNNNNNNNNNNNNNNNNNNNNNNNNNNNNNNNNNNNNNNNNNNNNNNNNNNNNNNNNNNNNNNNNNNNNNNNNNNNNNNNNNNNNNNNNNNNNNNNNNNNNNNNNNNNNNNNNNNNNNNNNNNNNNNNNNNNNNNNNNNNNNNNNNNNNNNNNNNUUGUAUUUUAUGUGCUCACUUUACCAUUCAAAUUAAAAUUGGUAUUUUACUUUCAUAGUAAAAACUAAAAUUUGUAUUCCAGUGAUUAAAAUUGUAUUACAUAACUGCCAAAUAUAAUUUUCUUUUAUUCGUAUUACAAAAAUAUUAGGGCAAAUCACAUAAAUCCCACUAGUUUAGGUCUUAAUUAUUAAGAUUCCCAANNNNNNNNNNNNNNNNNNNNNNNNNNNNNNNNNNNNNNNNNNNNNNNNNNNNNNNNNNNNNNNNNNNNNNNNNNNNNNNNNNNNNNNNNNNNNNNNNNNNNNNNNNNNNNNNNNNNNNNNNNNNNNNNNNNNNNNNNNNNNNNNNNNNNNNNNNNNNNNNNNNNNNNNNNNNNNNNNNNNNNNNNNNNNNNNNNNNNNNNNNNNNNNNNNNUACGUUAUAUCCAAAAACAUGUAUCUCGAAUACAUAACAAGCAUAUACAUUUUGUAUCUAAAUAUGAAAUGUAGUUGAAACACAUGAAUCUAUGAACAAAUCACGACUNNNNNNNNNNNNNNNNNNNNNNNNNNNNNNNNNNNNNNNNNNNNNNNNNNNNNNNNNNNNNNNNNNNNNNNNNNNNNNNNNNNNNNNNNNNNNNNNNNNNNNNNNNNNNNNNNNNNNNNNNNNNNNNNNNNNNNNNNNNNNNNNNNNNNNNNNNNNNNNNNNNNNNNNNNNNNNNNNNNNNNNNNNNNNNNNNNNNNNNNNNNNNNNNNNNNNNNNNNNNNNNNNNNNNNNNNNNNNNNNNNNNNNNNNNNNNNNNNNNNNNNNNNNNNNNNNNNNNNNNNNNNNNNNNNNNNNNNNNNNNNNNUCCUUUUGCGUUGUGGCAUAACAUAAUCAAAACUAAGAUCCAUUUCUUUCGGAGACAAACAAUCAAGACCCACUAUGAAUUGAAAGUUUUCUCUGUAGCAGUUACUGUGAUUGGAACUCGUGAUAAAUGAACAAUACAAAAUGAUAUUUGGGUUCAGGAGAAUUUGUGGUGAUGAUAUCUUGAGAAGAAGAGAGUAGAUUAACUAUUGUUGAAAUGAAAUUGUAAGGUGAAAUUCUUGAAUAAAAAAGGAGGAGACAUAAUUGAGUGAUAAACAUGGGAGGGGAGAAUUAAGAGAUAGUGGUUGAUUUGGAGUGAAAGAGUUAUUUAAGCAGAUAAUUAAUCAAUAAUAGUUUUAAGGGAUGUGGCUAUCUAAUAGUAUUUUCAAAUAAUACAUUAAUAUAUGGUAUAAAAUACUAAAAGUGGUAAUAUAUGUAAUUGUUUAAAAGUAAAGAUAAUAUUAGUAUAUAUAGUAGUGAUGUAUGUAGUUUAUCCAAAAAUAUUAUUCAUUGUAUCACAAUAUAAUCUAAUCAUUACAUAUAAAUACGUUUAAAGAAAGAUACAAGAUUCUGAUAAAAGAAUAGCAUACAUAAUAAAAAUAAUACAAUUUGUUUGAGGAAUUAAUGAUACAAUAUUCUAAAAAAAAAAAUUGACUGUGAAAGAAAUAUGAUACAUCUAUGUUUAAGAAAUACAAAUCAAUUUUGGCAUACCAACUGGAAUGACUACAAACUAAAAAAAACUAACAAUGUUCUUAAUAAAAAUAUAAAUGUUGAGUAAAAGAAAAACAAUUAACAACAAAAAUUAAUAUGAAUACAAUUUUUGCAACCUUCUUCUCCAAUUCUCUCAUUCUUUGUCAACCUUCUUCUCUGAUUCUCUCUCUUUUUUUCUUCUUCUUCACGAAAGUCGAUUUUGGUUCUAAAAUCUGAUCCGUUGAAGCCAUGGUUGGAUAUAAAAAAACGCGAUUUAAUCAAAUUCAUUUCAACAGAAAUUGAGUAUUAUCAAUGAAAAUUUAAAAAUCGAUACUAGAAAUUUGAUGAACAAGUGGGAUGAGUUCUUUGUUGUUUUUUUUUUUGAAUUUGUAUUUAGUUUUGAAUUUUUGUAACUGAUGAGACUUUUAAGCAAUUGUUCCUUUUUAAAAAAAUUCUCUCCCCUAAAUUUCUCCUUUCUAUUAUUUAAUAAUUGUAUUCUUUAAAUAAAACAAAUAAUAAAAACUUAAAUAAGAUAUAUAUUAAACUAAAAUUCUGACAUUUUUACUAAAUAUUGAAAGUGUUGACAAUGAGUCCUAUUAAAUGUUAAAUUAUUGACAUUUUAAAAAAAAAAUCAUUUUUAAAUUUAUAAACCAAAUCAAACUAAUAAAACUCGACUUUUUCAAUCUUAGUUUUUUUUUUCAAUUUGGUAUGGACUUUUCAAAUAUCAAAUCAAACCAUUUGUGUUGAAUUUUCAAAUUUAUAAAUCAAACCAAACUAAUAGACCUCGGAUUUUUUCAGAUUUUUUUUCCUGUAAAGUAUUAAUACAAACAUAUACUAAUUAAAUUGUGCUCCAAAUAUUUCUUUAGUCCAACCAAAAUACAAUUGUCUAAGGUGUUUCUUAAGAGAAUAACACAAAAAUAUGAGAUGAGUGAUGACAAUAAAAUAUUCAACAAAAAAAUAAUAAUGAAAUCACAUAAAAUAAAUAUUGCAAAUUAAUAAGUCAUAAAAGGAUCAUAGUUUAAAAGUACUAAAUCAUGCUAAAAUAAGUCUAAUAAGUAUUAAUUACAUGAAUUAAACAUUAAAGAAAAAACAAAAUUAGGUUAUGAAUUUUAAAUGUCUAAAUCAAUGUAAAAUUAAAGAACAAAUAUUCAAUAUUAUUGUCAUUUUUAGUGUUGAAUCAAUUUUUUUGUUAGCAUUAAUAUUGAUUUGAUUUUGAAUUGAGCUUUAUUAGAAUUACUAAUAUCUAUGGACUUUAAUCUUAUUGAACCAUUCAAAAUUAUAAAUCUCAAAGAACUUGAAAAAAUAUGUUAAAAAUAAAAAUUAUGAAAAAGUUUAAGUAAUAUUUUGAAAUUAUAUCAAAGUAAAUACUUUUAUAUAUAAAGUAAAUUUUAAAAAUUAUAUAUAUAAUGUCGGGUUGGUUUGGACUCGGAUUGACUUUUUUUAGUUAAAAUUAAACCAACCCAAGUAUAGUCGAAUUUUUUUCCAAUACCAAACCAUAAUCAAGUUUUUUUCUUCAGUUUGGCUCAAUUUAUGAUUUGAUUUUGUACCCCCAAACUUCAAAAGUUGGUCAAUUCAACUUAUCUCAUAAUUUGGAAAAAAAAAACCCGUUAUUUAGUCCAUUGACUCCUUAACAUGAUCAUACUCUGAUGCAACAAUUUUUUAAUAAUAUCAAUAUUAGAGUAGGUCGAUCAACGUUUGAGAUCGCGACUCAAAUUGGUAGCCUAUUUGUGAGGAGUGGUGGCUUGAAUCCAUGACCAACGUUGUUGGUCUUCAAUGGGGACGAUUAUUAUAUAUCACUUGUUCUCCAUCAAUUUUUUUAAAAUGACAUAAAUAGCCGCCUAUCAAAAUAAUAAUCAAGAAAUGUAUAUGUUGUAUAUAGACGCAUUAUAUAUGUAAAAUAUACAACUUUCAUUUGAUACAAAAUAAUAUAGAUUUUUCUAUAUUUGACCAGUGAAUCUAAUUAUUUUUAGUCAAUCGAUCCCAAAUGUGUAACUAGGCUAAAUAGACUCUCCACCCCAUAACUAGUCUUCUGGAUUGUUACUCUAUUUGGAACAUAGUAUAAUAUUUGGUUUAUAACAUAGAAGUUCUAGUUAUAUUUUACAUGGAUAAGUUUUUGAGUGAUUUUUGAUCGAAGAAAUAAGAAAAACGAUGUGUUAAACAUGACUCACACGUUACAUUAUACAUAUGAUAUACAAAUGAUAUAUUGUAUAUGCCAUAUGUAUAUGUUUUCCUUUUGUAGAUAGUUUGAUGAACUUGUAUUCUUAGAAAAACAGUUAAUUUUACUUCUUCUAAUAUGCAUGCAUUGUCUCAUUUUUCUCAAGUUAAGUGGCUUAGCUAAUGAUUAAGCAUGAGAAUAAAGAUCUAUGUGUGAUUUGUGAGUGGAUAUAAAUGUAAAAUAUCAUUUAUGUUUUUUCCUAAAAAAAUUAUGUUCUAUAAAACUAGAAUAAAAAUUCAAUAUCAAUUUUAAAAAUUAAUAAUUUAAUAUCUCAAACUUUUCAGAAAGUGAUAUUUCAAUUUUUUAAAUUAUAAAACUUGAUUUAAGUUUAUAUUUUUCAAAUAAGGAUUCAUUGUUUUAAAUUUGAUAUAAAAAUAAUAGCUAUGUUCGACAUGAAUAGAUUAUUGUAUCACUUGGAAGGAUUAUAUUAAAGAAUAGUUAGUAACCACUAUUGCUGAUUUAUUUAUUUUUUGGAUAAAAUGAAUCUUUGUAAAAUUAUGCGCAUUUGAAAGUUUUUAAUAACAUGUAAUCGCAAACAAUUUAUUUACAAAGAACGUAUAGAUAUGUGAUUUAUUAAUGUGUCGCCUUAAGAUAUUGUGAUACCUUGUUUAUGAAAUAUGAUAUGCUCAUUUGGUAAAAUUGUAUAAGAGUUGAGAAAGUUUUGAUAGUUUUCAUAAUUUGUAGGAUUUAUUUAUUUAUGAGAACAAAAUACAACUUAAGAAAUCUAAAUUGCAUAUCCAAACAAAAGUUCAACUUUAAAUCAUCCUAAUUUCAAAUCACUAAUUUAAUAUGACGUUCAAACGGAUCCAAAAUAUUGUCUAAAUUAUGCGUUUGACUCCCAAAAUUUGAAACAUGUUACAUAAAUUAGGACGAAGAGAGUACAUAAAUAACAAAUACUUACAUAAUUAAUAUAUGUAUACCUCUAAUCAACAAUCAAACAACUCCUCAUAAUUAGAAACAAUACUCAAUUUUAAUCUUACAUUCCUAAAAUAAUACUCUCUUUAUUUCAAUUCACUUGUUUUGCUUUCUUUUUUUAGUCCGUUUAAUAAGAAUAGAUUUUCUUUCUUGGCUACUCUUCAAUUUCAAUUUUUCAUCCAACAUAUUUAAGAUCACAAGAUUAAAUACGACAUUUUAAUAUUAUUUUUAGUUUAAAAUCAUAAGUAGUACUCAAAUUUAUUCCUUUUUUUUCUCAAAUUCAGUGUUAAUCUAAAAGUAGACAAAUACAUUGAAACGGAAAAGUAAUUAUGCUAAUUUGUUUUAAGUUUAUAAACGACAUAAACAAAUUGAAAUCGAAAAAUAGUAAUUAUCAUAAUUUGUUUGUUUAUAUAUCCUAUAUAUGCACGAAAUAAAAAAGGACAUUGAAGAAAGUGUAUUUUUAAUCUAAAUUUUACGCUUCUUAAAAUCAUAGUCAAUGUAUAUUUGCUUGCACAUAUGAAUGAGUAUAAAACAUCUAGGUUUUUCGACUACUAAUUCUCGUACACAUUAUCACGUAAUUACUAUUUAAUUCACAAAUUACUUUUUUUCGUAGUUAUUUUUAUUUAAUUAUUUUUUAAAAAAUUAAAAUCUUUUCAUGUAUAAUUAAGAUAUUGGCCUUAUUAAAGAAGCAUGCUUAACAAAACCUAUAAGAUAAAGACAUAUAAACUAUGCCAAUAAAUUAAAUUAAAUUUAAUUUAAUUAAUAUCUUUCAUAAAAUAAUACUAAGCAAAUGAGUCACAAAUGCAAAAAUUAUUUAUGCUGACAAGAUUAGCACUUUCUAUAUAGCACCCUUUCGAAGUGGCCAUUGGCCAAAUCAUGAAAUUAUUUUAAUUAUAUUUUUUUACCUUAAUAAUUAUCUACAUAAUUUUUGAAGAAAUAAUUUUUAAAAAAAAGUUAAGAAAGGGGGAUGUCGGGUACGGAAAAGAAUAUUAAAUUUUAUUAUCCAGUUGUUGCCAGCCUGCUAGCAGGUGGCAUAGCUUUUUUUCACUUUGCGUAAUAGUCCGUAAAAAAUUAUACGUACUCGAUGUUAUAUUAAAUCAAUUAAACAUAUAGUAAGUAAUAUUUUUAGAUAAUUUUUUGGUAUUUAAUCAUAAAUUUUUACAAUUUAAAUAUAAUUAUCCAGCUAUGUUUGCUAUUUUUUAGGAAAGUUAAAUAUUUCUUUCAAACUUUAUGGCCAAACGCACACUUGGUAAAAUUUACAAAAAAAUAUUUAAGAAUUUAUGAUCAUAGAAUUUAAAUACAAUCAGGUUUUUUAAAUGCUUAUAAUUGUGAUUAAUUUUAUUUAAUAAUAUCAACUGAUAUUCUAAAAUAAAUAAUCAGGUUAAAUUAUACAAGAUAAUAUAUUUAAGAAAAUGUAGUGUAUGUGAUAUAAAUCCUAUUGAAUGUUACUUUAAUCAUUCAAACAAAAAUAAAUAAAUAAAUUGGUUAUGUUGUCGGCUGCCUACCUUAGCAUUCUCUAUUUUUGAACCUAAAAAUUUGUAAUGACCCGGAAGGUCAUUUGUGGAAAUUUUAAAUAUUCGUUUAACUACAAUUAAUUAAUUGAUGGGUAAUUGUAGGUAAUUGACUUAAUCAAUAGUUAAUGGGCUAAAGUGAUAAUUUAUUUAAGACCCUACACUAUUUGACCCUUAUAUAUUAAAAGAAGUAAUAGGGUUUUUCACUUUUAUACUUGAUUAUUUUUAUAUGAAAAGAAAAGAUAAUAAGAAGAGGAGAAAAUUACCUGGGCGUCGGACGAGAGAGGCAGAGGGGCACGGGUCGAUGCCAUGAUAAGAAACCCAUGCUUCAGGUAAAAUCUUAAGUUUAUUUUGUUUCUGUAUUGUUGUUAUAGGAAAAGAAUAGUAUAUUAAUGGUUGGUGAUAAGUUAUAUUAUUAUAUUAAUAUGUUAAAUUAGAAAUUGGAUGGAUUAUAGCGGUUUUGGUUGGAAUGUAAACUGUUAAUAUAAGAGGUGUAUAUGAAAAGUAUUAAACUGUCAAUCGGUGGGGAGUUUUAUUAUUUAACUAGUAGGUAAUUAAUGUUUGGAUUUCACAAAUAUUUUGUCUUACAUUGGCCAUAUGUGUGGCAUCAAUUUUCGAUUGGGAUAAAACAGUGGGCAAAAAUCAUGAAACAAUUAUAAAUUGGUAAUUAUGGACAAAUAAGGUUCUGGAUAUUUCUUUGUAUGCAGGUUAAGUAUGGGUCACGUGUGAUUUAGGCAGAUUUUGGUUUAUUUUCUUUAGUUGUCAUAUUAUGAUUCAAGUUUGAUAUAUUGAGAUAUUUAAUUAAAUAUCGAGUGUAUUAUAUUAUAUGAAAGCUAUUAGGGUUAUAGUGUUUGGAGAAAUUAUGACUUAACCCUAGGCUUGAAUUUGAGAAAUAUGAGAGUUGAUAUGUUAAUUGACAUCGAGCUUAAGAACUUGAUUAUAAACUUGGGUGGAUUUUUGGGUCAAAGCUAAACACAUAGUAAUAUAAGUGUCGUUAGUUUUGGAAUCUUACUGUGGUCAUUUAUUUGAAUAGAUUGCUUUGAGUUGGAAGUUCAACGAAAAGGGAAGGCUCAAGUUCCGGAGUGAAUUCUUGAUUGAUUGAGGCAAGUGGAUUUCUAAACCCUUGUUAAGUGUAUGAAUUCAUGUAUUUCCUUGUAAUAUGUGUUUAGGGUAAUGAGGCUUGGUGAUGGGUUGACUUGUCCACAUUGAUUAAUUCUAAUGAUGAAAAAGGGAUAAUAAAAGGCAAUGUGAUCAAUUGUUUGUGUGAUGUGUUGAGAAUUGUUUGAAAGGCUUGGUGAAUCAUUGUUAAUGUUGUAUCAUGAUUGUGUUGUUGUGAAUUGUGCAAUGUUAUGAAAAUGGUCAUCUCCUCAUUAUUUGUGUGAACAUGUCAUUUGCAUUGUUCUGAGAAUGAUUGUGACAAGUGUUAUGUGCAUUGAGAAAGAAUAAGAAAAUAAAGANNNNNNNNNNNNNNNNNNNNNNNNNNNNNNNNNNNNNNNNNNNNNNNNNNNNNNNNNNNNNNNNNNNNNNNNNNNNNNNNNNNNNNNNNNNNNNNNNNNNNNNNNNNNNNNNNNNNNNNNNNNNNNNNNNNNNNNNNNNNNNNNNNNNNNNNNNNNNNNNNNNNNNNNNNNNNNNNNNNNNNNNNNNNNNNNNNNNNNNNNNNNNNNNNNNNNNNNNNNNNNNNNNNNNNNNNNNNNNNNNNNNNNNNNNNNNNNNNNNNNNNNNNNNNNNNNNNNNNNNNNNNNNNNNNNNNNNNNNNNNNNNNNNNNNNNNNNNNNNNNNNNNNNNNNNNNNNNNNNNNNNNNNNNNNNNNNNNNNNNNNNNNNNNNNNNNNNNNNNNNNNNNNNNNNNNNNNNNNNNNNNNNNNNNNNNNNNNNNNNNNNNNNNNNNNNNNNNNNNNNNNNNNNNNNNNNNNNNNNNNNNNNNNNNNNNNNNNNNNNNNNNNNNNNNNNNNNNNNNNNNNNNNNNNNNNNNNNNNNNNNNNNNNNNNNNNNNNNNNNNNNNNNNNNNNNNNNNNNNNNNNNNNNNNNNNNNNNNNNNNNNNNNNNNNNNNNNNNNNNNNNNNNNNNNNNNNNNNNNNNNNNNNNNNNNNNNNNNNNNNNNNNNNNNNNNNNNNNNNNNNNNNNNNNNNNNNNNNNNNNNNNNNNNNNNNNNNNNNNNNNNNNNNNNNNNNNNNNNNNNNNNNNNNNNNNNNNNNNNNNNNNNNNNNNNNNNNNNNNNNNNNNNNNNNNNNNNNNNNNNNNNNNNNNNNNNNNNNNNNNNNNNNNNNNNNNNNNNNNNNNNNNNNNNNNNNNNNNNNNNNNNNNNNNNNNNNNNNNNNNNNNNNNNNNNNNNNNNNNNNNNNNNNNNNNNNNNNNNNNNNNNNNNNNNNNNNNNNNNNNNNNNNNNNNNNNNNNNNNNNNNNNNNNNNNNNNNNNNNNNNNNNNNNNNNNNNNNNNNNNNNNNNNNNNNNNNNNNNNNNNNNNNNNNNNNNNNNNNNNNNNNNNNNNNNNNNNNNNNNNNNNNNNNNNNNNNNNNNNNNNNNNNNNNNNNNNNNNNNNNNNNNNNNNNNNNNNNNNNNNNNNNNNNNNNNNNNNNNNNNNNNNNNNNNNNNNNNNNNNNNNNNNNNNNNNNNNNNNNNNNNNNNNNNNNNNNNNNNNNNNNNNNNNNNNNNNNNNNNNNNNNNNNNNNNNNNNNNNNNNNNNNNNNNNNNNNNNNNNNNNNNNNNNNNNNNNNNNNNNNNNNNNNNNNNNNNNNNNNNNNNNNNNNNNNNNNNNNNNNNNNNNNNNNNNNNNNNNNNNNNNNNNNNNNNNNNNNNNNNNNNNNNNNNNNNNNNNNNNNNNNNNNNNNNNNNNNNNNNNNNNNNNNNNNNNNNNNNNNNNNNNNNNNNNNNNNNNNNNNNNNNNNNNNNNNNNNNNNNNNNNNNNNNNNNNNNNNNNNNNNNNNNNNNNNNNNNNNNNNNNNNNNNNNNNNNNNNNNNNNNNNNNNNNNNNNNNNNNNNNNNNNNNNNNNNNNNNNNNNNNNNNNNNNNNNNNNNNNNNNNNNNNNNNNNNNNNNNNNNNNNNNNNNNNNNNNNNNNNNNNNNNNNNNNNNNNNNNNNNNNNNNNNNNNNNNNNNNNNNNNNNNNNNNNNNNNNNNNNNNNNNNNNNNNNNNNNNNNNNNNNNNNNNNNNNNNNNNNNNNNNNNGUGGGGUGGGGGUGGGGAUGGGAUGGGGGGGUUGCUAAGUUAUUGAUGAAUUACUUAAGUAUAGAGAUAAAGCUUUUUCCUCUAUGACCAGCAUUUUUAAAAGGCAGAAUGGUCUGAUAGACCCUUAUACUUGUAUCGGAUUGUAAAGUGGAUCCUUCUACUUAUGACUUUGUCAAGUGAACCCUUAAACUCAAUGAAACACAACAUUUUAAACACCUCUGACCAUUGACCAAACUUAUGUGGCAGAAAAAUUGCUGAGUUGGAAAAAUGUGUGAGGCACACGCGAGUUAAGAGCGUGAAAUUAAAGCUUUUCAUUAAAAAUACACUUUUUUUCAGAAAAAAUAUAUUUAAAAAUGGGAAAAACAAAAAUAUCCCCUUCUUCUCUCUUUCUGUAGAGAAAAAAAUUAGGUCACAACCGCCCAUAUUUUCCACCAUUAAUUAUUUUUGUAAUCUCACUCCAUUUCUAAAAGAAAUUACUCAUUCUUCAAACAUCCUACAACAAACAUACAAAUUGGAAAGAAGAAGAAGAAGAACUUUUUUGUUUGAAUAAUUCUUUGGGCUGAUUUAAUUGUCUUCAAAUUUAAAAUGGAUUACAUAAUUUGAGCUUUUAAUUUGAAGGUUUAAAUUGAAAACUUCUCUGCAAAUUGAAAGCUCAAAUAACAAGAUUAUACAGGUUAAAUUGAGGAAUCUGAUAACUCAACUUCAGAUCAAGACGACUGAGUCAAAUAACUCAUUGUUGGACUCAUCGCCUGGGUUGUUACACGAAGACGACACAAAUGUAUUGAUUGAAGUGGCUCAAGGAAUCAUUUCGAUGCUGGUCCAUUUACUCGAUUUCAGCUCUUUGCUGAGAUUAGGAAGAAAAUUGUCACUGUCACUGCUAAAAUCUCCACAGUUGCUUCAAGCCAACAUUUUUGGUCGCUGGAGAUUUAUGUAUUCUCAACAAUUUUCUAAGGAUUCUUGAAUCUCGGAGUGUUCUGGGAAAAAAAAAUUAUGUAUAGCUUUGCAAGCAAUGGGUCAAGAAGAGAAAUUUCAUCUUUUAUAUAAACUUGCCAAACGAGAACACCCAAUUCUCAAGCAAUAUCUAUGGCAGCAGGUGUAUGUUUUGUGCUUAAGGAAAAUGGAAAAGAAUGGGAGUGGGAGGUGGGUUUGGAUUUUGGGGGCGGCUAGGGUUACCAUAUGAGAAUGAAAGAGAUGGGAAAUGAGGUGGAACUAGAGAGGACAAUUAGUUUUUUUUUAAAAAAUAUUAUUAUUUUUUAAUAUUUAAUUUCGGGAAAAUGCAUAAGUACCCCCCCAACCUAUGCCCAAAAUCCCUGAGACACACCUAACCUUUACUAAGGUCCUAUUACCCCCCCGAACUUAUUUUUUAAUUAAUUUUUUACCACUUUUCGGCUUACGUGGCAAUAUAAACCAAAUAGGUUGAAAGCUUGUUCAACACGCGCCGGGCCCCACUUUUUCAAUUUUCUAAAAAGCUAUUUUAUUUCAAAUUUGGGCUUGUAAAAUUUUGUAAAUAUUAUAUAUAUAAUUUUAUUUUAUUUAUAGAUAAAAAAAUAUUACUUAUAAUCUACUUUGUGAAUAUAUUUUUAGUUAGUUUAUAGCUUUCAAUGUUUAUAUAUUUUAUUUCAAAUUUGGGCUUGUAAAAUUUUGUAAAUAUUAUAUAUAUAAUUUUAUUUUAUUUAUAGAUAGUUACACUUUUCCAACUUUAUCAUAAUUGUAGGAUACUUAUAAGACUAGAAGGUACUCUCUAAUAGUGCAUAUAAUUAUUUUGUUUGUUCAAACAUGUUUUUAUUUGUAUGCAACCUCAAUUUUUAUAUCAAUUAUGUAGAAACUUUAAUAGUGAAUAAUUUCGAUCAUUAUUAUUAAUAGAACAUAAGAAGAAUUAUUACUCAAAAUCUUUACGUUAAUAAAAAUAUAAAUUGUUGUAACUAUUAUUUAUAGAUGAUUAAAAAAAUAAAAUUGGGAAGAAAAUAGUAAGUAAAAAUUACACGUUAUAUUAAAUUAUCUUUACAUUAAUAAAAAAAGAAAUUGUUGUUAGUAUUAUUUGUAAUAUAAUUAAACAAAAAUAACAAUGGGAAGAAAAUAAUAAGUAAAGAUUACACGUUGUAUUAAAAUAAUAAGUAUUAAAAAUUAUGAUAAAUUUUAUAAUAGUCAUAACAGGAAUUUACGCAAUAAUUACUAUAUUAGAAUACUAGAAAAAUUGAUAAGUUCCUCGACAUCUAAUCAUUGAUUAAAAUUUAAAUUAUUAUUUUCUUCUGCGAAAGUUUAAGAGAUCAAAUUAAUGUUUAAAAAAAUAAUAUAACAAACUGAUUAAUUAAUUAUUUUCAAUGAUUAAUAAGAAAAUGUAUAUAGCAAGUACAUGUAUUAUUAUUACAUUAUUUAUAUCCACUCUAUAUUAAAUCAUUUUUCUAUUAUAGUUUGACGCAAAAUUUCAGAAUGUAAAGAAUGUUUUGGAUUCGAAAAAUAAAUAUUCAAAAUAUACUAACAUGUCAUUUAAUCUUAUGAUAUUUUACAUUUCAUGUGAAAAAAAAUUAAAUAUUAAUUUUUCAAUAUGAAAAUAUUAAUUUAUUAAUACAACAUAAAAGUAAUAAAGGACAAUAUAUAAAAAUAUUUGAAGUAUUUGAUAUUUUAUUAAAUUAAAAUAAUUCUAAAUUAAUAUAUAGCCGCGCAACGCGCGGGUACGUAUACUAGUGAAGAACAAUAAUAAAGAAGAAGACAAUUGAGUUAAUAUUUAUUUUUUCCAAGUUUAAUUAAUACAUGACCAAUUUUUAUUGGUCAGUGCUGUCUAAAAGCUGCACCCACGCGCUUAACAUAGGUGAAAAUCACGGACUCAGCCACGUAGGCCGAAAAGUGGUAAACAAUUAACUAAAAAAUAAGUUCAGGGGGGGUAAUAGGACCUUAGUAAAGGUUUAGGUGUGUCUCAGGGGAUUUUGGGGCAUAGGCUGGGGGGGUACUUAUGCAUUUUCCCUUUAAUUUCUGACUUGUCAUUAAAAAAUGACGUGGAUUUUACGUGUAUUUGGUUGUAUUACACGCACCCUCUUCAAAUGAAAAAAAGGUUUAAAAUAUUGUGUUUCAUUAAGUUUAAGUGUUCACUUGACAAAGUUAUAAGUAAAAGGGUUCACUUUACAAUCUGAUACAAGUAUAAGGGUCCAUCAGAUCAUUUUGCCUUUUUAAAAAAAUCUUUUUUCUCCUUUUUUUGAUAUUUUAUCUUUGUUUUGUAUUUUUUAUAUGUAUUUUUUUUUUAAAAUGAAAAUAUUUAUGUCAUACCCAAUUAAUUAUGCCCUAUAUAACAUCCAUUACACUGAUAUAGAUUUAAGUAAAUGGAAGAUGAAAAGAUAAAACACUAUUCAUUUUGCAUAAUUGUUUAUAUUUAUUUAGCCGAUAAAAUAAAAAUAUUUGAGCAUUUGUAACAAACAACAACAAAUUUCUUCACUUUGGCUCUUCUUCUAAUGAUGAUGAUGAAUAUUCGCUAAGAUGUCCAUCAAAUUUCUAGGUCAUGUGACUUUUUUAAACAAAAGAGAAAGACAGAAUAUCUCAUGAUUCUUGUGAAGAUAUUGAUGUAAAGAAAGAGAUCAUGUAACAAAAGUUUCUCUUCAAAAUGAAAGACUUUUUGAAAGAAUGUUUAUUCUUCCUGCAAGGAGAGAAAAUUCAUUUUGAUUGAGAAAUUUAUAGGAAAGAUGAUUAGUGUUUCAAAGGGUAAGAAGAAUUAUUUGGAGAAAAAAUCAUUUUAUUUAUGGAAUUCGUAUCAAAUUAGGAGGAGAAUAAGCAAAAAAUUAUUUUGUGAUUUGAAAAAAGAGAAAACUAGAUAUUAUUUCUUUCAACCUCAUUAUUCUUCUAAUUUCUUUCUUCUUUUAUUUUGUCUUGAUUUUUUUUUAUCUUUAAUUAAAGUUUUUUUUCUUAUUUAUCUUUAAAUAAACUUUUUAUAUAUUUUCAAAAAAAAAAAAAUUAAAAAGAUGAUCAUAUUUAGUUCCUUUCCUCAUCAAUGCUAUUAAUCUCAUAAUUAGUGUUAUUUUUAUAAAAUCAAGCUUAUAAUAAUAUAAUCAUAAAGAGAAGAAGACAAGAGAAGUAGAUGAAGGAGAAGACUUUUCUUCUUAUUCAAAUUGUGUUCCGAAUGGUGAGUGAUAUCUUUAUUUAUAGUGUUGAGAUAUCACUCCCAAAGGUCACCAAAGUAGUAGAUACAUAGUUAUCCUUUAAGGUUCUUAUCACCUUGGAAGCACCCAUACAUGAAUCAAAUUAAUUCUUAGAUAAAUCUAAUUGAUAAUCCACACAAUGCAAUGGAUUUAUAACACUCCCCCUUGGAUGUCCAUAGAUUAUGUGACUCGUUAAAACCUUAUUAGGAAAAACCCUGUGGGAAAAAAUUCUAGUGAAGGAAAAAGAGUACACAUAUAUAUCAUUUGAUACGCAUUAUUUGUUGCCUCAUUAAAAACCUUGCCAGGAAAAUCCAGUGGGACAAAACAUCACUUAAUUUCUUAUGAUGAUGUCAUCCAAUCUUAUAUACCAACUUCUCAAAUAUUGACAGUUUCUUUGUGAUCAAAUCAUAUUCAUGAAGAUGUUGCAUGAUUGAACUCAUUUCUGAUAUGUCAUUUUCUGGUUUCACGGAUAUGAUGAGGCUUUGAGCUUAGCCGAAUACAUUCUUGAAAUCACUCUAUUCGUGACCUCGUUAAUGCAAGUAAAUUAGCUCGUUCAACUGUUCAUAGCAACAAUCAUCUUGUGGACACUUUCAUUUGUUGUUGUCAUCUUCAUACAUUGUGGUUGUAUAUUUUUUUCAAAGAAAAACCACACAUUUCCUGAAUAUGGUGUGUUAUUGAUCUCAACAAGACGCACUCUCUACUUUCUUCAUGGAGGGCUUUUAUUUUUGCAUCGUUUGAAGAAGUGAUUACCAACUGUCACGACCCGGGAGCACCCCCUAGUCGUAANNNNNNNNNNNNNNNNNNNNNNNNNNNNNNNNNNNNNNNNNNNNNNNNNNNNNNNNNNNNNNNNNNNNNNNNNNNNNNNNNNNNNNNNNNNNNNNNNNNNGUUUCACUAGUUCGUUUUUAGGGUCGUUACACCAACAUUUGCUUCAUUGAUCGCCAUGAUAUUAUUGUGCCUCCACAUGUAAACAAAUAACGUGUUUGAGACCGAGCUUUAUCCGGAUCAUAUAAAUAUUCUGCAUCUGCGUAACCAAUCAAUUCUGUCUUGGAUUCCUCAGAAUAGAAUAAACCCAUGUCUAUGGUCCUUCGAGGAUAUUCAAGUAUGUGCUUAACACCAUUUCAAUGUCCUUUUGCUGGGGAGGAACUGAAUCUUGCUAGUAAAUUUACUCCAAAACAGAUAUCUGAUCGAGUAUUUUUAGCAAGAUGUGCCCUGAUUGCACUAAGAUAUGGAGUUUCAUCACCAAGAAACUAUGCAUAAUUCUUUUGAGAUCAAAGUGAAUCUUUAUUUAUGUCAAUCGAUCUCAUAAUCAUUGGGGUACUCAAUGAAUGUGAUUUAUCCAUAUAAAGUCGCAUCAAAAAAAUUAUGUAUAUGUUGAUUGAUAGACAAAUAUUUCAUUCGUCAAAUUCUCAAUCUGUAGGUCAAGACUAAAUUUUGUCUUUCCAGGAUCUUUUCAUUUUAGAUUCCCUUCUCAAACACUCAAUAGCUUUUAAAAGAUCUUUAAGAGUGUAAAUAAUAUUCAAGUCAUCAACAUACACAACUAUUUUAACAAAUUCAGAUCCUGAAUUUUUCAUAAAAAUGCAAGGACAAUUAGGGUCAUUGUUUUUGUAUCCUUUUCUUCCUUGAUUAUUUCAAUCCAUAUAACGAUUCUUGAAGCUUUAUUGAAAAAAUUUCCUUCAAACUUUUAUAUGCUUCAGACACCUUGAUUGCUUCAAGGAUUUUCAUAUAACCUUCAGUAAUGUCUAGCUAGACAUGAUAAUUAUUCAUUAUAUGCAAAAAGAUCAAAACAAAUCUCAUUGCAUCCACCAUAGGAGAAAACAUCUCCAAUAAUGUCAGGAUAUUUGUGAGAAACCUUUAUGCUCCAAGGCACAAGCCGUACUUGAUAUCUUACGGUUAUACCAUCACAUAAUAGUUUAUUUGUACCCCAUUGACAUUAUACCUUGAUUUAUGGACUAUCAAUCCAAAACAUCACUUUUCUAAGUGAAACAAAAUAUACUUGAAUUAUGCAUUUUAUUUGGCCAAUCAUUUAUCUGUCCACAUUAUGUGACAUAUUUGAAUUCAAGAUCCUCGUCACGAUCUAUAUCAUGAAGCGUUACUUCAUAUCAAAGAUAUUGUCGACGGUUAUUUGAUAUCGAUUUCAAUAUGACAUAACUUAUCGAGAUCUCUUUAUUUGUCAUCAUUUUCAGGUACCUGAAUCUUUUUCAAGGUUUUACGAAGUGUUAUGUCGUGGUGCUCUUUUAUAGCACUUGCCUCAUCAUCAUGACCAUAUUGAUCAUGUGCUCCUAUCAUUCUUUAAGAAGUUUUACAUUUGGAACUGAUUGGUCUAUUACGCUUCAAGCGUAUCAUAGACUUUGUCCCUUCAAGGACUUCUCAUUGGAGCAUUUGCAGCUGAAUUAUAUCAUAGGGUCAGUAAACUCAUCUGGCAAUUGAUUUGCAACAUUAUGCAAAUGAAUUAUCACUUGAAUUUCAAUUUCACAUUUUCUUUUAACGAGGAUCUAGAUAAUUCAUAAUUAACCUCACACAUAAUUUUCAAUUGUCAAUCAUCUCUCCCCCUAAUGUUAAAAAUCUAACAUUCAUCCCAACCUUAUUUGGGAAUUUAUCUUUGUGCAUGGUGGAGCAAUUAAAUCAUAACCGCACAUUCAACAUUUUAGAUGAAAAUUAUUUGAUUCCUGACCCUGAACCAAUUUUGAUAGGGGACCUUUGUUGUCUUGAUGCGUACAAGUGUUGCUACAUGUUAAAUAAAUUCAUCUCAUACCAAAUCCUAUGUGGGAGUUUUGUUCACAUACCCAUGGUUUAGCUAUAACUAGAGGCAUACAAUUUUUGCUAAACUGUCCAGCAUUAUCAACAUAAUUUCAUAGUUUGAAACUGGCUCUUAAUUUAGAAAUUCGAGCAAACAACCUUACAAAAACCAAUUUGUAAGUUGAAAACAAAGCACAUGUGACCAUCUCAUAGAUGUAACUUAUUAUACAGUUAAAGACGGUCCAGAUGGCAGGUGAGCGGGCCCAUAUUCACCGUUUUAUAUGUUCCAAAAAUCAGAGGGAGUAUAAUCUCAACCUUAGCUGGUACAAUGAUACAAUGAUCAAAUCAUUAGAGAACAAGCAACACAAGAGAAUUCUUGAAGAAUAUUUCAUUUCUUCAGUAUAUAAUUAUGUGAAUUCUCAAUUAUUUUUGCAUCAUAUUUUAAUUGGAAUGAUCAACCGAUCAUGCCAACCGAUCUUUAUUCCAGUACACUUAUAGUUUACUUUCGCAUGUGAUUUGAUCAGCAUGUCCAUGUUUGUGUGCAACAAACAAGAGGAAAAAAUUGGUAAUCUUUUAUAACCCGUUUCAGUUGUAGUAAUUUGAAGAUAUUAAAUCUUUUCGUAAUUUAUAGUCUCAAUAUUUCUUUUCAAUUCAUCUGAAACUUAAAAAGUUUCUUUUGAGACUUACUACAACCCCAAUAUUAUUUCUCUGGCAAUAACACAACUCGUUAGAGCUUGUAAUUAAUUUUUGUGUACUAUCACAUAUUUCAUGACAUCAUCUAUAUGGUGAGCAUCUCCUUCAAGGAGAAAAUUAUAUUUUUAUUGUCAUGGUCAAAAUUAUUACGAGCAAGACAUGUUUCUUGCUUUACUUUUGUUGUACCAUAGGUACACCAACCAAUGACUAAUUUGUAUUGCCACACAAUAAUAUAUUUUGAUCAUGGCCACAACCUUUAUAGACAAGAAUUACUUCUUUCUUUUGCCCUUUCGGUAGUUCACAAUAAACAUACCAUAAUAUUUAUGACGUAUAAGCGUACAAUACCAUUGACCAUUUCUGUCAAAUAAAAUAUUUUUAUUCCUCUCAAACCUCCCGUAGAGGUGAGUUGUGGCAUAUUUCCAACCAUACAUGAAUAUUUUCUUAUUCAUAUUUUUUUUCUUCAUAUUUUGACACAUUCACUUUCAGAAUGGUCGAACAUUCAUCAUGUUUAUCACAAGUCGCAUUCUCUUUAAGGAAUGAACUAAUCAUGUGCUUUUAAAUUUGAUUAUAAGCUCAUUGUCAUGUCCUUAAAUUAUCAUUUUUGCAUGACAUACCUUAACGUCACUUUUGAAAAGUCAAGUGUACCACCACUUUAUCUCCUUCUUUUGAUGGUAGCUUUAUAAACUUAACAAAUUAUUAGGUCAACAACAACCACAAGUUCAAUGACCUUUCAUACCAUUUUGAUGAUAAAAAUUACCUUCACAUUUUGAAGGACCAUUUGGAGAACCCAUACUGUUCUUCCUUUUAUAAUUACCACAGUGAUGACUAUUAUAAUUCCGUCCUUCACGCCCUUAUUCAUAUCGUUAAUUAUAUGUCAUCUUUCAGACUAAUUAUUCACUGCUACACCAUUCAUAUGAUAGAAUGGAGCAAGUCAACAUGCGGAUUUCAAAGUUAUCAUAAGUUGCUACCACAUUCUUUUCAAGGAAUGGAGCAAAUUUAAUGGGACGAAUUUCAAAACUUUUCAUUAAAAAUAUACUAUUUUUGCCUUAGUCAUCAAUUUAUCAUCAUUAUGGUGCAUUAGAACUUAAAUCCAACGUCUUAUUCAUAUAACGUCAUCUUAGGUCAUAAAUCUAUGAGAUUGGACCCAAUACCUUAUCAUCAUGGUGCAUCAAAACUCAAAUUGAUGUCAUACCCUCUUAGUGCGAUAGAACUUGAAUCUAUCGUCUUAUCCUCGAAUAUUUUUCAUUAUGUGCAUCCGGACUUUAACCUAAUAUCUUGCCCUUUUGGUGCGAUAGAACCUGAAUCAACCGUGUUACCCUCAGUCACUAACAUAAUAAGUCAAAUGCAAUAAGACUCACCGUUGAGCCUUUUAAAAAAAAUAUUAUCACUUUGUGAUUAAUAUAGAACAAAAGAAACAAUAAAAACAUUAUCAACUAACUAUGUACUAAUAUCUUAAUUUUUUCAAAAUAGAAGAGUUACAUACGCAAUUAAAUGCAUGUCAUUUCCAAAGUUACUACUCGAAUUACAAUACAGACGAAAUUUUACACCUUUUGUUUGUGGAAUAAAAACUACUGUAUGUGCUAUCUAAUAAUAUUAUAUUGCACACAAUAUAAAGAUGGGUGAAAGAAAAUAAUUAACCUUAUUUUGUUGUGCAUAUUGACUGUAAUGAUCAUUAAAUACGUACUAGUAAAAUAUUUGCAUCAAAGUAUAAACGGACAGCCAACUCUAAAACUUUCUGUUUAGAGUAUAUGCAUAUAUUAUACCUGCUAUAAGAGAGAUGAUCCAAAUAAAGUUAUGAAUACAUACCAGAUUAAGAAGUGAUACUCAACUUGGAAAAAUCAAAAUGAUAUUAGAGUCUCGUGCUGAUAACGUGUUAUAAAAUCAAGCUCAUAAUAAUAUAAUCAUAAAGAAAAUAAGACAAGAGAAGUUGAUGAAGGAGAAGACUUCUUCUUAUUCAAAUUGUGUUCCAAAUGGUGAGUGAUAUCUCUAUUUAUAGUGUUGAGAUGUCACUCCCAAAGGUCACAAAAGUAGUAGAUACAUAGUUAUCCCUUAAGGUUCUUAUCACCUUGGAAGCACCCAUACAUGAAUCCAAUUAAUUCUUGGAUAAAUCUAAUGGAUAAUCCACACACAAUGCAAUGCAUUUAUAACAGUUAUAUAUAUAUAUAUAUAUAUAUUAUUUUCUUAAUUACUUUUUUCUUUCCUUUUAAUUAUUUAUUUCUAAGAAAUUAGUUAUUAUAACUUUAUAAGAAUUACAUAUGUAUUUUACUAUAAUUGAUUUGUCAUUUUUAAUUUUUUUGGAUCAUUUUUCUUCUUAAAGUUUCUAUCCAUAUGUAAUAAUAAAGCUAAAAUAGUAAACGUGGGGUGACAUCCUUCGUAGCAAUUGAUAUCUAUUUAUUCUUAUCAAUGUUUUCUAACAUUUUUUGUUAUUUUUUCCUUAAAAUAAUUGUUGAAUCGAUUUUUAGUUUUAGUUUUAUUUUUUAAGCAUUUUUAAAUUUUAAAAGACUGAAAAUUUUAUAUUUGAAAAUUUAUAAAAUAUAAAAAAUGACUUAUUGAACUCCUAUCAUCAUCAAUAUUAUUAUUAAUUUAUUUUAUUACUUCUUCCCUUAGUCCUCAUUUCAUCAUUAAUUUAAUUUAUAUCAUUUUGUUAUAUAAGAUAAUCUUCAUUUUUACGUGACAUUUCUUAGAAGCUAGGAUUGCUAUUUAUCUAAUUUCUCAAUUUUUUGUAUUCUUUUAUCAUACUAAAUACAACAUGUUUUAUUAUAAUUACAUUCAAUAUACUAAUUAAUAUGUUGUAUGAAUUAAAAGAAAAUAAUCAUUUCAAAAAAAUAAAGGUUAAAUUAUAAUUUUAUUAUGAUUAAGNNNNNNNNNNNNNNNNNNNNNNNNNNNNNNNNNNNNNNNNNNNNNNNNNNNNNNNNNNNNNNNNNNNNNNNNNNNNNNNNNNNNNNNNNNNNNNNNNNNNNNNNNNNNNNNNNNNNNNNNNNNNNNNNNNNNNNNNNNNNNNNNNNNNNNNNNNNNNNNNNNNNNNNAUAUCCCAUAACCACAUUCAAUACAUUAGAAAUUAAUUGAAUAUAGCUGUAAAUGGAAAAUGAAUCACCAUUUAAGGAAAAUAAAUGUUUGCAAUACCAUAAUAAUUAAGGAGAGAGUAAGAUAUUAUUUUAAUAUCCUAAUUUAGAACUUUUGAUCUACUACUCAAUUAAAAAGAAAAUGCAUUUAAUAAUAUUAAAAGGUUAUUAGUUUAAUAUUUUUUUCUCAUUCUAAUAAUUCACGAUUUUAUUUUUAUUUUUAGCAUUUAUUUUUAGUUUUAAUAGAUUGGAAAUUUUAUGUUAAUAUUUAUAAAAUAUAAAAAAUGUUCUAUUUAAAUUUUAUCAUCAUCAAUACUACUAAUUUAUUUCACUUCUUUCCUUAAUCUUCAUCUCAAUAUUAAUGUUAGUUAAAUAAUUUUUUUAAAUCACUUAUUUUUUCUUUUUUAACUCUUUUAUUUUCUUUUUUACUCUUUUAUAUAUAUAAAGUUGGAUAUGUAAAUGAUGAUGUGACAUUUUUAGUUAGAACUUAAGAUUACUAUUUGUCUAAUUUCUCAAAUUUUUGAGUUUUUUUGUCAUACUAAAUACGAUAUGUUAAGCAAUAUGUUCUUAGAAUUAAAAGAAAAUUAUCAAUUCAGAAAAAUAAAGGUAAAAUUAUAAUUUAUUAUGAUUAAGGAAAGAUAAAGAUAUUAUUUCAAUAUCCCAUAACAACAUUCAAUACAUUAGAAAUUAAUUGAAUAUAGUUGUAAAUGGAAAAUGAAUCACCAUUUAAGGAAAAUAAAUGUUUACAAUACCAUAAUAAUUAAAGAGAGAGUAAGAUAUUAUUUUAAUAUCCUAAUUCGGAACUUUUGAUCUACUACUCAAUUAAAAAGAAAAUACAUUUAAUAAUAUUAAAAGGUUAUUAGUUUAAUAUAUUUUCCCAUUCUACUAAUUCAAUUCGAUCAAACGUAAUUUAAUGAUAAAAUAACAACUCUAUUUUAAUUGUUAUCAAUAUAUUUCAAAAAAUAUUAUAGUGAAAAAGCUUUUCUUGCAUUUGAUUUUCAUACUAUUAUUAUUUUUUCUGUCAUUUUCAAUGAUUUUUUAUUUCGAUUUAAAUUUAAUGUUUAUUCUUAAACUCCGAUGAUACAAAUUAAGGUGGAGUAGAAUAUAAUAAAUGAUGAUUCUUCUACUAAAUAUAAGAAGAUAUAACGAAAUUGAAAGGGUGAAGUUUUUUUUUAAAAAUGGAUAGGAAGUUCUAUUAAGGUAUUAUAUUAUUAAAUAUAUUUUUUAAUAUAAAUUUCACUUGCUGAUGUAUUUAUUUAGUAUUACGGUGUUGUUUCACAUUAUGAGAUCUUUCUUAGACAUUUUAAGGAGAAUGGAACACCGAAAUAUAUAUUGUAUAUUAAAGGAUCAACUUCAUGCAAUGGAAGAAUUUGUUAUUAGUAAAUAUAUUUUAACUUAUUUGAUAAAAAAUAUAUUCUUCAUUUAAUAGAUGUAAAAUUUAUCAAGCUUUAUUUUUUUUACAAUCUUCAUAUUAUUAAAACAAACAAUAAUAUUACGAUUAAAGAACAAAGUAAAUAUAAAAUUAAUCAAAAAUAUUUAAAAUAUGUUACGGUAAAGGGCCUAAAAUAUCCUUGAACUAUUGAAAAUGGUACAAAAUUACCCUUCAUUCACCUAUUAACUCCAAAAUACCCUUCACAUCCAUCUUUGGAUCCAAUAUUGCCCCUUUUUUUUAACAGCCAUUCAUUAAAGAAAUUUAAUUAAAUCUUUAAAUACGUGGCAAUCCUCUAUUGGUCAUAUUUUAAAUAAAUAAAAUCAAUUAACAAAUCUAUCCAUUUCUAAUUAGAGUCCGUUUGGAUUAACUUAACAAAAAUAGUUUUUAAGUCAAACUGAAAUGACUUUUAAAUCAAAAAAUAAAAAGUAGGGGAUACCUACUUCUGAUUUUUGACUUAUUUUAAGUUAUUUUAAACUUAUUUUAAGUCAUUUUUUACAUUGUCAAACACUUCACAACUUAUUUUAAGUUAUUUUUGACUUAUUUUAAAUUAUUUUUCAUAUUUAUUAAAUACUUUCAGAAAUAAAAAACUGACUUAAAAGUAAGUUUGACCAAUUUUUAAGUAAAUCCAAACACCCUCUUAGACAUGCCCCAUGAGUAUUGGAAGCUUCCUCCACCGGGGAAUGAUCCGACUUGGAAACAGACCCAUUUUAGUUCAAAGAUGACUCAGAUGAUGAGUUUUUCAGCUCAGCGGAAGAACCAACAUCACCGUUAGAUGACCUGUUUUUGUUCAAUGAUGACUCACUUUUGUUUGUUCUUCUUUUUUUGCUCAAUAUUCCAUCUUCAUAAAUAUUAAAAAUUUCAUAAAUAAGUUGUCCAUUUAGCAGCUGAAACAGUAGCAGCUAAGAGAAUUUAAAUGGUCAGCAACGUCGCCGCUUGCGGCGGCGGGACCNNNNNNNNNNNNNNNNNUUGCGGCGGCGAUACCUAUUCGAACCACCACCAUCGGAAUUCUCAAAACCCGAGUCAGGUGUUGCUGACUUCUGGUGGGUACUCCUCCGGUUACUAGAAAAGUCGCCAAAAAGUUCACUAGUAAUGGAGUUGGGUUGGUGGUUUUAAACUUAUGGAUUGUUCUCCGAUUGCCGACAAACUCGCCGAAAAAGCAAGAAAUGAGAUAAGCGAAAGAUUUCUUAUCUUCUUGAAAUAAAGCUGCAACAAGAGUGAGAAUUGCAAUUGGUAAAAAUGAAAAAUGGUUAGAAAUUGAAGGAGGAGAUAGAUGAAUUGUGCGUUUUUUAUAAAGUUUCUUCAUAGUUUAUGAUAAUGGAGAUUUUUUUUGACAAUUUGGAUUGGUUGGAUUAAGUUAAUGUGGGGCGGGUGGAUAUGAUUUGAGGUGGGUCUAAUUAAAAAUAGAUGGAUUUGUUAAUUAAAUUUAUUUAUUUAAUAUGACCAAUAGAGGAUCGCCACGUCUUUAAAGAUUUAAUUAAAUUUAUCUAAAUAAAUGACUGUUAAAAGAAAGGUUAAUAUUGGAUCCAAAAGUGAAUGUGAAGGGUAUUUUGGAGCUAAUAGAUGAAUGAAAAGUAAUUUUAUAUCAUUUUCAAUAGUUUAUAGGCAUUUUAGUCCUUUCAUUUAUGAUAUUAACAUUUAAUUCCAUUGAUUGUGCAUACCUUUUCUUCACAUAAUUAUUACACUCAGUUUGGAUCAUUGUUACUCAUUGUAUUGUAUCGUUACCAUAUCUAUAAUGUUUGUUUUGAUUGUUACUUAAAAUGUAUUGUAUUGUAUUGUUAAAUUUCGUUGUUACGUAACAAUGAAAACCCCCAUUUUAUGGAACAAUCGAUUUGGUGUGUUCCCAUUAUUACUUAAUUUCUUUUUCCAAUUAUAUCAUGGCAUAAUAUUUUAUAAUAAUUUUUUACCAUUUACCCUAUAUUAUUUAAUUCUACUCAAACUUCCUACCCUAGAAUAAUUAAGGAUAUUUUAGUAAAUUUAUAAAUUACAAUAUAGUACGAUACAAUUAAACCAAACAAUAAAAAUGUUAUUAAACAACAACAAACAAUACAGUCUAGCCAAAUAUUAUAUAUAUAUAUAUAUCAUACAAUACAAUACAAUAGAGUAAAAUACAAUACAUUAUGAAACAAUGGGUAACGGUGAUCCAACUAGAGUGUUAUAGUGUAUGCACUUACCCCCAUUAUGCUUAUUAUUUGGGACUUUGUCUUUUUUUUUUUUUUUUUUGUUUUUUUUUUUUUUUUAUGUUUGUCUUUUUUUUUUUUUUUAUGCUUGUCAUUUAUUUAAAUCUUAUCCGUUGUAGUUUUUACUUUUUCUUCAUAUUACUAAAAAAAAUAAAAAUGCCCUUCUCCUCUUCAUGACUUAUAUUUUUUUUUUUUGAGAGAGAUUGCAAUGCACGUCCAUAAUAUUCCUAAUUUAAAACCUUUUGUCCGAAAGAAAAAAAAUAUUAUAAAAAAAUUAUACAGUAUAACAAUUAUUUUUUAUAAUAGUAGUUUCUAUUUUUUAAAACCAAUUUUUAAGGUUAUGUUCAUUCAAUUUUACUUGGCGCUUGUUAUUUUUGUUUUUAGUAUUUACUAUAUGUUUAUUAAUUAUCCUUUGAAAAUUCAAGUUUCAUUAUGAACGUUAAGCUAACAUCUUGUGCAAAUUUCUCCCACAUUAAGCAUAUUUAAGACAAAUGUGAAUAUGCAAAGACAAGUUGUGAAAAUUUCUAAACAAGGGUUUAAUUUAUCUAUUUUCGUAUUAGAGCAUCACUUUCAAUACACAUUUAAUUAAGUGUGAGUUUUUCUAAGAUUUAAUUCAUCAUAUCCUCCUAUUCAGAUUUAAAAAAACAAAAUAUCAAAUAAUUUUAUAUGUAUUUUAGACUUUUUAGUUUCACAUAUAUAAAAAUACCUUGCGUCUUUUAAUGAUUCUGAGUGGGGGAAAUCACCUAUCCCAUAAGUAAUUUAAGGAUGCCAUUUAUGUACUAUUUUACUAAUCAAAGAUCAUGUAAUUAAUGGAUAUCCUUUAUCGUGUUUGAUUGAGAUGUUUGUUAAGAUAUAAAUUUAACCUAGUUUUUUAUUUUUAUCCUUAUUAAUUGUUGUCAAAUAUAUGAUUAAAAUAACUAAAUAUUAAUUAAUCACUAAUUCCAAUACUAACUAAUGAAAGGUAAAAUUGAAAGAACACUCUAAAAAUAAUUUUAAAAAUUAAAUAAUUAAGUUAAUUUGAAAAAUAAAAAAUACCUUAAAUAUUAACUUAAUAUGGAAUGGAGUGAGUAUUUUAUAGAAAUAGUACUUAUUGCAGCAACAUUUGUACCAUUUCGCUGUUUUCUUCUUCUCGCUGCAUUCUGAUCUCCUCUCUCUAUUUUCUUCCAUUGAAACUUCACACACACAGUUACUUUCUCUCUCUCUCUGCAUGUGUGUGAUAAUCUUUGGUGCUUCCUGAAUUCGUCGGAUUCUGACGUCAUCACCGUUUUCCCGGUCACCGGAUUUGUCUUUUAGGUACCGUAUAUGAAACUCCGUUUCUAUGAUAUGUCGUUUAUUUUUCCUGGAAUUUCAUGUUUUGGAGGUUCAUUGAUAUGGAAAUUGGUGUAUAUGUUGUUCGGUGACGAAACGGUAGAGAUUGAUGUGUUUUUUUUGUUUGAUUUUUGCAGUGGUUUUGAAUUUUUCUGUUUGGAAAUUUUGCUGUUAUAUCUCAUCGGAAAUUGCUGGGAGUUUUUUGGAGGUUUACAAUUUUAAGGUGAGAUUUUUUAUUUUUUAAUGGUUCAGUUUAAUUUUUAGAUCCUUAUUCCUUUUGUUUGUAUGGUUGUACUUGUAUUUCGACUUGAUAUAAUGAAUGGAUUUUUGUCCUGUAUCUUACAGAAAAUAUCCAUUUUUUUCAAUUGGAAAAUUCUUUACUUUUAUGGAACCAGUUUCAUCAUUUCUUGAUUUUGUGAAUGAUAACUUAAAAUUCAAGGAGGAUUUGAAAUGGUUUAUGGAAAUGAAGAAAUCAGCAUAAAAUGGUUGUUUUGCACAAAGUCAGGAUAAGUUGUACUUUUGUUUCUUUAAAAUCAGAUUUACUGAAUUUGGAAAACAUUAUGAAUUGUACCAGUAAUUUCAUGCUAAUAUCAAAGGCAUAAUGUGGAAAUAAUGAAUUCGGAAACGGAUUCAUUUAAUAGCUGUGGAAGUAAAUGUUGGAAGAAAAAUCUAGAUGUGUAGCUGUUAUGUUCAUGUAUUUGAAUGUUUGUUGAGGUAGUGUCAUAAAUGAGAGUGAAAGAAAGAAAAACGGGAACGUGAAAGCACCUAGAUGCGGAGUUUGCGCAGGGAGGUGUAAUAUGGUGUGUUACUUGGAGAUCAUGGCAUGCAUGACCGUGUACGUGAAUUGCCAUUCAUUAAUGAGUAGAAGAUGACAAAUAUUUCUUGGUAGAGAAGUUCCGCUAGUUUUGAGGGAGGAACUUUAGCUCAAUAAUGCGUGUGGACUUCACAUUUUGCAUCGAGUAAAAAGUUAUAAAGAAAGUUGAUAAAUUGGAAAACUUUCCCAAGUUUUGAGAGUGACGUAAAUGGACCGUUUGUAGUCAUUGAAGUUUUCAACGUUUUUAAUUUCCUUGUGCACGUGUACCACGCAAACCUACACACUCUAUCAAUAUAAAAUUAAGUGUGACACCUUAAAAGUUGAAAUAAUUAAAUUUAAUCACCCAUAAGGUGACAAAUAUCAUAAAUAUGCCGUGAAGGACUGGGGGGAACCAGGCAUUUAGUUUCUUUUUAGGCUCUUAGCUAAGUGCCGGUAGGGAUAAUUAUCCCCACAAUGAUCACAUAAAGAUCUUGUUAUAUGGUAUUGGACAUGGAAGAAGUUUGGUCCAGGGCAUGUCACAGAGUGUCUGCUUAUUUCAUCUAGUGCUCACAAGAUGUAGUUAGUUCAUUAGCAGAGGCGAGACCCAAAUUGAACAAGCUAUUUGAAUCUGAGUACUCAGUAGGUCACUUGCGAGUUCAUUGCAUAGGGGAAAAGUUCUUCUGAUUUUCUUGCUUGACGUCAGACAUUGGACAUUUCUGGUGAUUAUGUUACGCAUGACACCAUCAAUGGUCAGAUAGUUGAUGCCCUUAUUUGAACUAUCAGUUGUUUCUGAACUUUCUUAUGUUUGUACUUUCUAAUUUUUUUUUUCUUACAAGGUUGUAAUUUCUGUUUGUUUUGUUGAGUUAGAUGUUACCGCUGACUGUGGAAGGUCAGACUUCACCACCAUAUUUAUUACACUGAUGACAAGGCUGGAUCUUAUUUUGAUCCAUUUCUCUAGAGAUAUAGUUGUCUUUUACAGGUUGUUUAGAUUCUAUGGAUAUCCGAUUUGAUGGUCAAGUGUUAAUCCUCUAGCAUCCUGUAGUAGUGUUAUCAAAGGUGAAAAACGUGUAAAGCGCUAAGGUCCAAGGUCCAUGGGGGCUUUAAACCAAAUGCACGAGCUUCAAUGCAGGUGCAAAUAAAGAAAAUAAAAAUAUUGUGUAGUUUAUGAAUAACACUUAUAAACACACAUAACAAAUACAUAAUGACAAUAUUUUUUAAAAGAAUUACUAUAAAGUAAAAUAUUCAUUGUUUAGUGUGCUCUUUACAAUAACUUCAUUGGCGAUGAGACAUAUUGCCUUAAGCUCCCACCCAGCGGGGCAAAGCAUUUUGCCUGCUUUGCACUAACUUUAGGGUUUGAACGAGCCUUUGACAACAAUUUGUUUUAGGGGAUUAAUUAGACAGAAUCCUAAGGGGUCGUUUGGGUUGGAGGUUCGUGUGUAAAAUGACGAUUGCAGAACAAAGAACUAGACAAUUAGUGUACUACUUAAUUAGAUUCUUCUCUUGCAUAUUAUUAAACAACAAAUAUUAAGAGUUCUGACGGCAUGUUAGAACUCAUUUUAUGGCUGAUUGGUAAAGCCGUUAAAUUUUAAUUUAGACCCACAAUUGCUGUACUCUAGAGAUAUAUAUAGCAGCAUUAACAAUGCAAAAAGGGGUUUUAAGCGCACAACGCACAUAAAGCAUGACCUUUAAUAAAAAAAGGUGCAAAGGGAGAAACAAUACAAAUAUAUAUGUUUAGUCAAAGGAUAAUAAUUAUAAGCAUGAAAUGAAUGACAAAUUUAUGGACAAAGAAAUUGAAUUUUUUCUACUAUGAAGUGAAAUAUCAAUUGUUUAGUGUUGUCUCUUUAGAAGAGGCUCAUUGUCAAGGAAAAGUAUGCCCUAUAACAUUGAUGACAACACUAAAGCGCACAUUAAGCAAAGAGCUCAACACGUUUUGAGUGUCGCUUCAGGCCUUGAGUGAGCCUUUGACAAAUAGUAGUAUAAAUGCCUUUAUUGUUUGAAGGAGCAUUGAAUAUCCAAUAAUUUCCUUUUAAAGGAAAAAGGAUAAAUGCAAUUCACCGUGAGCACAUUUACCUGUAAUUGCUACAUUCAGAAAGUAGAUGGUGAAUAACUGCCAUAGCUUUUUAAGCAUCUUUGGAAUGUGUAUUCCUCCACCAAUUUAGUUUUUCACAGAGAGAUAAAAGGAUUAAUGGUUGGCCUUUCUGUAAUAUCCUUUUAAUUGGAGAGCUUGGAAGUGGUGCAUGAUUUGGUGCGCUCGCCUUCAAAUAGGUUUUGGUUUGGAUGCGAGUUUGUUACAAACAUAUCAUUCCUAGGUUCGUUAUGAACCAUCCACCGAUCUUAUUCAACAUGUUGAAAUUAGAACUGAACUUUUUAUUGGUACUUGUUUUUUGUUCACUGCUUAUUACAGCUCAACAGUAACUGCUCUUGCUACUGAGUCAGCCAUAGUCUAUCAAAGCCAUAUUACAGUUGUUAUGAUAAAUGCCGUGUUCUUAGACCAUGACAUUCGGAAAUGUGCAUUUCUCUUCUUAUGUAUUGGAUCCCACCUUAUAAUGUAACCAACCCUUCACCCUGCUAAGUUGGUUAAUACUUGUAGCUUCCAUAAUAUAUCAGUUGUCAGCUUGUAAAUUUUCGUUUAAAACUACUACUUCUGUCGAAUUCCAUGGUGCUGCAUUUCAUGUCAUUCUUAUUAUGUGGUUGAGAUGAAUUAUUGAAUCAUUGCAAUGUUGUAACAGUUCUAUGAACUCUCUAAUAUUUUUCCUUUUUUUAGUUGGAGAUUAAAUAUUUCUUGACACUUAUAUUCCUGCCCUUUAAGUUUCUUUGCCAUUCCUUGUUUGAUGUUUGUUAAUACCGUCAACCCUUCCAGUCCAUAGUUCUAUUGUCUGGUGCUGUGAUGACUGAUGAUGUUAGGAAUCACGACAUAUGAUGAACUUGUUGGCAAAAUAAUGAUUUCUCUUUUCUACCUGUUGGUGCUGUAGGUUACUGCACAAUUGCUUUGGGACUGAAAGUUUCAAGCAUAGAUUUCAAAUUCCAGCAGUGCGUGUUUAACAACGUAGACCAAGUUUUAUUUUAUAAUCAUGCCAUCAAGAUCUUGUGCUAAUCUUUUGGACAUGGCAUCUGGAGAUAUACUAGAUAUACCUCAGACACCUAGAGGUCUUCCAUGUGUGAUGACAGUUCCUGGAAUUAUCGCAGAUGGUGAUUCAGAUGGUAUGUCAUCCUCAUGUCGAGAGCGAAAAAUUGUUGUAGCAAACAUGCUGCCUUUGCAUGCUCAAAGGGAUACAACAGCUAAAAAGUGGUUAUUCAGUUUAGAUAAGGAUUCUCUUUUAUUGCAAUUGAAGGAUGGGUUUUCUCCUGAAACUGAGGUUGUCUAUGUUGGUUCUCUGAAGGUGUUGAUGUGGAACACAGUGAACAGGAGGAAGUUGCUCAGCGACUUCUUGAGGAGUUCAAGUGUGUGCCUACUUUUGUACCCCAUGAUAUCCAGGAAAAGUUUUAUCACGGCUUCUGUAAGCAGCAACUUUGGCCUCUUUUCCACAUGCUUCCAAUGUGUCCUGAUCAUGGAGAUCGUUUUGACCAGAAGAUGUGGCAAGCUUAUGUCUCUGCAAAUAAGGUUUUCGCUGAUAAGGUUAUGGAAGUGGUAAAUCCUGAUGAUGAUUAUAUCUGGAUUCAAGAUUACUACCUCAUGGUUCUACCGACAUUUUUAAGGAAGCGCUACCAUCGUGUCAAGCUAGGUUUCUUUCUUCAUAGGCCAUUUCCUUCGUCAGAAAUUUACCGAACUCUGCCUGUUAGGGAUGAAAUUCUCAAAGGAUUGUUAAAUUGCGACCUAAUUGGCUUUCAUACCUUCGAUUAUGCACGUCACUUUCUGUCAUGCUGCAGUCGAAUGUUGGGUUUAGAUUAUGAAUCUAAACGAGGACAUAUUGGACUUGAUUAUUUUGGUCGUACAGUUUACAUUAAAAUUCUGCCUGUAGGCAUACAUAUGGGUCGACUAGAGUCCGUGAUGAAUUUGUCUUCUACUUUUGAUAAAGCUAAAGAAGUUCAAGAACAGUUCAAGGGGAAGAAGGUAAUUCUGGGUGUGGAUGAUAUGGACAUCUUUAAAGGCAUUAGUUUGAAAUUGCUAGCAUUUGAGUACCUACUACAGCAGGACCAGAACUUGCAGGGGAAACUUGUUCUUGUUCAAAUAGUAAAUCCUGCUCGUAGCUCAGGCAAAGAUGUUCAGGAAGCAAAGAGGGAGACAUAUUCAACUGCUGAAAGGAUCAACCAAAUUUACGGUAGAUCUGAUUAUGAGCCUGUAAUUUUGAUUGAUCGUCCGGUUCCUCACUAUGAGAAGACUGCAUACUAUGCUGUUGCUGUAUGUUGUGUCCGGUUCCUCGCUAUGAGAAGACUGCAUACUAUGCUGUUGCUGUAUGUUGCCUAGUGAAUGCUGUAAGGGAUGGGAUGAAUUUAGUGCCUUACAAAUAUAUUGUUUGCUGGCAAGGUUCUCCUGGUAUGGAUGAUGCUAUGGGUAUUAAAACUGAUUCUCGUAGAACUAGCAAGCUUGUUGUGUCAGAAUUUAUUGGUUGUUCCCCAUCUCUGAGUGGAGCAAUUAGGGUAAAUCCAUGGGAUAUUGAAGCUGUCGCUGAGGCUUUAAAUGUGGCCAUUACAAUGUCCGAUUCCGAGAAACAACUUCGUCAUGAGAAGCACUACUGCUAUGUAAGCUCUCAUGAUGUAGCUUACUGGGCUCGUAGCUUUAUGCAGGAAUUGGAAAGAGCUUGCAAAUAUCAUUACAGUAAGCGUUGCUGGGGCAUUGGCUUGGGCCUGGGCUUCAGAGUUAUUGCACUUUCUCCGAAUUUUAGAAAGCUGUAUAUUGAUCACAUCGUCUCCUCAUAAAGGAGGACACAGAGAAGGGCAAUAUUCUUGGACUAUGAUGGCACUGUUGUACCUCGGUCAUCAUUGGUUAAAGCUCCAAGUGCUGAAGUUAUUACGCUGUUGAAUUCUUUAAGCAAUGAUCCUAAAAACACCGUGUAUAUUGUUAGUGGCAGAGGAAGAAAGUCACUAAGUGAAUGGCUUGCACCGUGUGAAAGGCUUGGAAUAGCUGCUGAACAUGGGCAUUUCAUAAGGUAAUGGAUAUUUUAUGUGAACAUAGCACGGUCCUUUGUCCCAGUUGCCCUAUAAUUUCUCAUUUGGAGUUUUUCUUCUGAAGUUUUCCUUGGACACCUUCAUGUUAACCUGUUUCUAACAUGUUGCAGGAGUAGUAAAAUGUCGGAUUGGGAAUGUUUGGCUUCUGAUCUUGAGUGGAAACCAAUUGUGGAACCUGUGAUGAAACUUUACACAGAAACAACUGAUGGAUCAUAUAUUGAACCUAAAGAGAUUGCUUUGGUGUGGCACCAUCAGGAUGCAGACCCAGACUUUGGCCCCUGUCAGGCAAAGGAAUUGUUGGAUCAUCUGGAAAAUGUACUUUCAGAUGAACCUGCAGUUGUUAAGAGAGGCCAACAUAUUGUCGAAGUCAAGCCACAAGUAAGACCUUCCCUCAUGUGUUUUGUGUCUCACGCAGAUACAGACAUGUGCAUGUUGCAUUAUGCUCUUCCAUAUUUUUACUUGUUUGUGCUUAUUUGCAGGGUGUGACUAAAGGAUUAGUGGCACAAAAGGUCCUCUCAAUGAUGGUAGAUAGUGGGACUCCACCUGAUUUUGUUAUGUGCAUUGGAGACGAUAGAUCAGAUGAGGACAUGUUUGAAAGCAUAUUAAGCAGUGUGUCCAGCAGUUCUUCAAUCACUGCUGCCCCAGAUAUCUUUGCCUGCACUGUUGGGCAAAAGCCAAGCAAAGCCAAGUAUUACCUAGAUGAUACUGCUGAUGUUCUUAGACUACUUCAAGGUCUUGGUAAUGCGUCCUGUCCAAAGCCAAGACAUACUGCUCAUUUCCAGGUUGCGUUUGAUUCUGUUCUGUAAGAAGCUCUGUUCUGUGAAUAGGCUAAGUAGUUGAUUGGGCAUGUAAAUGGUUCUACUUUUGGGGUUUAUCUUUUACCGGUGAGGAGUAUAUCCUUACAUCAAUCUUAACUUAAUCUGAUGCAUGGCUGGACUCAGGACUGACUGUUUUUCCAGGUUAUGCUGCAUUCAGGGCUUGAAAUUCCCGUCAAUGUUGACUGCUUUUUCUGUAGAUUUCAUCAUUGGGGAAAAACUUUUCUUAGAAGUACAGUUUUGCCGUAGUCAUGAUGACUGCCCUGAAUGAUUAACAAACACCAUUGCGUUGUAUAGAUACAUUUAUCUGUUUAGCUUAAUGACAGUUUGGUUUAAGUUUUACCUCAGUGAAAGCUACUAACAAAUGCUUGAUGCCGUUUUGUGCCAAAUGAGUCACUUGAACAUGUACAUAGUACUAGCCUUUCUGGAACGUGUUAUCGAAAUGUUAUUAGUUCAAUUGUUCUGCUUUCCUACUGUAAAUAUCUCAGAUGCUACUAUCCUGAUCAUUGCAAAAUUUAGUGGUUGUGCACUCUGUGGUCAAUUCAAUCUUGUUUCUGGCUUCAACAUCAUCACGAAUUCACGAUACCCAAUGUAAUUCUACAAAGUUGGGUUUGAGGAGGAUAAAGUGUGUGCAGUUUUCUGCUUCUUAUAUCAAUCACAUCUAUUUGUCUUGUGAUUGGGAUCUCCCAAAGAUCAGCUUUGCCAACUGGCUUCCUCAAUAUUUCAUGUGAUUAAGGUAUCAAUGCCAAUGUUCAUAGAAAUGCAGGUUUCAAAAUGUGGUAGCUUAGUGUCAUGUUGUCCAUAUCCUCAUAUCUAGGGUCAUGUCCUUGGUAAGUCGUAGGUGUGUCAUGUCCAUUCUAAUAAUCUUUUUCAAUAUUUCUUCGGCCUACCACCUCACCCACCAAUCAAUUGCUUGCACCUCCUAGUUGGGUCAUCUAUGCAUCUUCUCUUCAUAUGUCUGAAGUUUGAACCAUCUCAACCUUGCUUUCGUGAUCUCUUCAACCACAACCUUGCUUUCCUCUCUUCAACCACAAAAGGUCAUUCUCACCUUGUUCUGAAUAUCUUUGUUCUUAUUCAUUUUUCUUUUAAUAUCUCUACACAUUUUUAACUCAUUUAUGCUACUUUCAUCUUUUAAACGUGUGAGUUUUAGAUCGGCCAAUACUCUAUCCCCUAAAAGUUACAACCUAAUUGGUCCUACAAUUACAUUAUAAAAUUUACCUUUAAAUCUUGACGACAUAUUCAUACCACAGAAAAUAGACACCGAAAUCUCUUAAAUUGCAAUGAUUCGAAGCACUUCUUGUUUCACUAUUUCAAUCAAUGUAUCUUACGACCCAAAUUUGUAGAUACAACUCUGUUGAUUGGUUGCUUCCACAUUUAUUUUUGGGAAAUAUAAUUCUCAAGCAAGUAGAAACUAGAAAGUUAACUACUUACAUAGUUUUAUACAAGUAACUUUUUAGGACAAGAGUUGCAUGAAGUAGGAAUAAUUAAAGUGGAAGUGGGCCAGAUUGGACUCGCAGCAUAUUGGUUUGAAGUUGGGAUGAAAUUGUGUUUAAGGUGGUUAAAUAAACGGAAAAGGGUCAAAAUUGCCCUCGAACUAUAUGAAAUAGACCAUUUAUACCCUUCGUUACAUUUUGGGAUAAAAAAUGCCCCUGCUGUUAUCCUAAGAGACCACAAAUACCCUCAAGAGUUAACACCCCAAAUUUUUGUUGACGUGGCAAGCCACGUGGGACUAAUCCUUCCACCUAGCGUUGCCAACUAGGAUUCACUACAAAAGAACUAGACUUUUAGCGGCAACAACAGUCGCCACAAAAGCCCAAAAAAUCGUCACUAAAAGUUUUUAACAUUAAUUUCUAAUUUUGUGUUUUUUUCUUCAUUGUUUUUAAAAAACCAAAUAUGAUAUCGAUUAAGUAGGAGUUUGAAGACACUAUAUGUUUUAUUUUUAUGUCAUAUGUAAAUGUAUAAAAUGUACAAUGAUGCAUUAUAUAUAUAUAGUAGGAGAUUUGAAUCGAGAAGUAAUUUUGAUUAUUUUUCGUAAUAAUAUUGGAUGUUUUUAAUAUAGGAUAUUGCAAGUUAUUUAUUUUAGAAAAUUAGGUCGCAAUCGAAAAUUAAUUAUCAUAUUCUUUUGUUGAAAAUAUAUGUUUUACUAGCAAAUGGUUGUUAGAGCCUUAGUCGCCACUAAAAAUCACUCAUAACCUUUAGUGGCAAUAUUUUGGGAUUUUGUGGUCGCCACUAAAAAAGUCAAGUUCUUUUGUAGUGAAUCUUAGUUGGCAAUGCUUAGGUGGAGGGAUUAGUCCCAUGUGGCUUGCCACGUCACUAAAAAAUUGGGGUGUUAACUCUUGAGGGUAUUUGUGGUCUCCUGGGAUAACUGCGGGGGUAUUUUUGAUUCCCAAAAUGUAAUGGAGGGUAUAAGUGGUCUAUUUCACAUAGUUCAGGGGCAAUUUUGACCCUUUUCCGUUAAAUAAAUUAAGGGGAACUUUCGUAUAUAGUCAUUCAAAAAUAGUUUAAUUACGCUAUAUAACUCGAGUAUGUUUUCUGGUUAUAUAAACCGUGCAAAAUUAGAAUAUAAAAAUUACCAUAUAUAUGUUUUUGGUUAUAGAAAACGUGUAAAAUAUAAAAAGUUACCAGAAGAAAUUCCAUAAAAAAAAGUUUCAUCAUCAUUAGGGAAACGAGUAGGAAAGGGAAAUCCUAAUCCAAGAUAACAUGUAAAUAAAGCCUAUAUAUACACAUGAAAUAGUGAAUUGUUUCAUUGAAAUAUUAAUUAGCAUGACAAAAUUUCCCUUAUGUCUUGUUAAAGUAGUUGUAAUAAUGAUACUAUUAUGUUUUCCUUCCACCGCCCUCUCUAGAAAACUAUUACUCUCGUCACCACCAUCAGAAGCUGCUCCUCCAAAACCUAGUGUUAUGAAUUUCCAUAUUGUUAACGAUGAAGACAACAAUCCAAAAGAGAAGGUGAUUGAUGAUAGUCGAAGCUGGAGUUCUCUUGAUUUUGGUCACAAAAUUAAGAUUAUCGUAUCUAUAUUUUGUAGCUUGUUUAUAAUUGUCGGUCUCAUUAUCUUGAUAACACGACUUAUCACUUCACCCUAUUUUUUCAUAAUAUUUAUCUAAAUUAUAUAUCAAAAGUUAAGUUAAUAACACUAAUUUGUUUUAGUAAAUACUUGCUAGAUACCUUCAAUAAUUUAAUAAAUAUUGUGAGGGAAUUAAUACAUAAAAUUACCCCUAAUUAUUCACAUUUUUAUACUCUUUUUUGUCCCACAUUUUUAUAGUUCUUUGGCUAUUGUCCUCUCUGAACGACAAUAUUCCAUAUAUAAAAACCCCUUUGGAACAAAAUUAACACUAAAAGAAAGAAAAGCUGGAAUAUUUAUAAAAGUAGAAACAUGCAAUGGUUUAAAAAAAAAACAUUAAUAAGUCUAAAUUUAUAGUAGAAAAAAAAACCCUAGUUUUAACCAUAUUUUUAGUAAAAAAAAUCCAACCCUUUUGCGUAGAUAUGUAUUUAGUAUAAAGUGUACACUAUCUUAAUACUGUGUACAUGUUUUGUAAACUAAAUGAUUCAAAUAUAUUAAGUUGUAAUUUUCUCAAUAUCAAAUGAGGAAAUUACACCUACUAUCCCAAAAGUGUUAGAUCUUGAAUUUUUGUACCUACUUGAUUUUGCCUCUAAAGCAGAACUUCUGUUCAAUUGAUCGAGUAGAUUCACUAUCCUGAAAUAUUUUGAAACGUCUUUCUUAUGGAAACAAAUUAAAAUGUAUGGCUGAUGGACAACCUACUUAUCUAAAAUUUAACUUUUUACUUAUAAGACAACUUUUGAUCAAUUUAACAAGUUUAUAAUCUUAAAAAUAUCUUGAAUAUUUUCUUUACGAGCAAAAUUUAAAGAAUUUUAUGAAGGGGAAAUUAUUUCUAAAAAGUUUGUUACCUAAUAACUCUCUAAACAAAAUAGUUAUGAACACUCCUUACUUUUACCACCAAAAUUAAAGGCAAUUUGUACCUAUAAAAUUAAAUUAGAUUAAUUAAAAUUUUUAUUUGAAUAUAUAAUUUAAAUUUUUGAAAUUGUAUUUUUUGUUGCAAACAUAAUUUUUUAUUUAUAACUUGUACGUAAGGUAAAUUCUUGCCGCGUGGCAGUCUGCUCCACAAAUAGGCAAAGGCGCGCAGUAUUUGGAGCACUGCAUUUGUCUCUGUAUUCUCUGACACAAUCGUUUCAUCACUAUUUCCAUUGAUUUGGUGGUAUUUUGAAGCCUUCUCUUCAACGGCGACGCGAGGCACCGUUUACUGAGGCUAGAUUUUCACCGGCUCUGUUGCUGUAUGUAUUUCCACUUUUUUGCAAUGUAGCAGUAAUGUGUUUUCUGAGUAUUAGUUCCAUUCGUAAUUCUAAUUGUUUGAACUAGUUUGAUGAAGGAUCUACCAUUUCCGUCGUCCUCUAAUUUCUGUGUUUGUUGCUGUAGUUAUUUUUUUGAAUUCGUUUCAUCACUUUUUCUAUUGAUUUCGUGGUAGUUUGAAGCCUUCUCUUCAACGGCGACGGUGACGUGAAGCACCGUUUACUGAGGCGAGAUUUUCACCGGCUUUGUUGCUGUAUGUAUCUCCACUUUUUUGCAAUGUAGCAGUUAUGUAUUUUCUGAGUAUUAGUUCCGUUCGUAAUUCUGAUUGUUUGUCAUCCUAUAAUUUCUGUUUUCAAAUGUUCCUUUGUUGCUGUAGUUAUGUGUUUGAAAUCGUUUCAUCACUUUUUCAAUUGAUUUCGUUGGAAGCGACAGCGACGCUAGGCACCGUUAACUGAGGCAAGAUUUUCACUGACUUUGUUGCGGUAUGUAUCUCUCCUCCUUUUUGUAAUUUCAAAAUGCUAGUUCUGAUUGUUUGAACUCGAAGGAUCUACCAUUUCCGUCGUCCUCUAAUUUCUGUUUUCAAAGUAGUUCUGUAUUUGAAAUCGUUUCAUCACUUUUUCAAUUGAUUUCGUUGGAGGUGACAGCGACGCUAGGCACCGUUUACUGCUUUGUUGCUGUAUGUAGUUAUGUGUUUUCUGAGUAUUAGUUCCGUUCGUAAUUCUGAUUGUUUGAACUCGAAGGGUCUACCAUUUCCGUCGUCCUGUAAUUUCUGUUUUUCAAAUGUUCCUUUAUUGCUGUAGUUGACGAGCUGUACUUUAUACAGACUCUAUUUUCAUUUUUUUUCUUAUUUAUAUUUGCUUAUCAGUUUGUAAAACUAAAUUGUAGUGUGUGUUCUGUGAGAAUUUCGUUCGUGAUAGUGAUUGUCUGCUUAUGUGUUUCCGUCGUCCUUUAAUUUUUCUGUGUUUAGUUGUUGCUAUUUCGUUUUAAAUCUAGAAGAGGAACUGUUUUAAUUUGCUUGUAGUUGAUUAUCCAUAUGAAAUAUAUACAGACUCUAUUAUAAUUUUCAAUGAAAGAGGAAAUUAUAAAAAAUAUACACAGUCUGGGGAAGUCAUUGCUUAGAGGUAGCUUUUCAAUAAUGGCGACGCCAGGCUCCAUUAACUGAGGCAACUAGGCUACAGUUUUAGAGUCCAUUAGGUUUCUGUAAUGGUAUGUUCUCCUUGUAAUCGAGAACUGAUCUCAUCGCUCAAAUUGUUGUGAAUCUUUAGUAAAAUGAUCGAUUCACAGGGCAAUAUAUAAAUUAGUUCUUCAAAGAAAGACUGAAACCUGUUCAUUAAAAGAGAGAACUUUGAUCUCUUCAAAGAGAAACUAAAACCUUAGAGUUCAAUGGAAGAGAGAACUCUAAUCUCCUGCUUUUUACUGAAAAAUGACUUCCCGAUUUAUUCAUCAAAAUCCCCUUUAAAUAGGAGUAUUAUUACAUCAAUAGGAAGUCUAAUACUUAUGGAAGUAGGAGACCUCAAUCCUAUUCCAAACUAAUAACUAUAACUUAACAUAAUCCUUAUGAAACUCUGAAACAUAAAACCUAUUCUAGAACAAUAAAUAAAACAACUAAAAAUAUAAUUAAAUACUUAAAUUAAUGACUUCCAACGCAUCCCUAACAUUACUCCCCUCGCGUUGAAAGAGUUUGUCCUCAAGCUCAACUUUCGGGGAAAUCAUCCAGAAAAUCUGGAUUAGUAUCAACUUGUUCAAUUCAAGCCCUAUCUUGAAGUUGACAUAGAUAAAUUUCGACUUUAUCAGUUUGCUGAAGCAUGACUAAUUUACCCAUCAGGUUGCUACUUUCAAGAGGUUCAAAUCGUUGAUAUUCUUCCUAACUCAUUAAGUCUUUCACUCGUUUAAGUUGAUAAUACCAUAAUGGUGCUAGUCCGAACAUGUGAAAUCCAGCCACAUCAAUCUUUUUUGCUUUCGUGGUAUGCUGAUAUUUUUCAAAAUAAUGUUCACAACGAUGUGCCCAAAGUAAUGGGUUAUUAGUGCCGUUAUAAGUAGGUGGUGUAUUGCCUUUCGUAGCAGGAAUUGUUGAUCUGCUAGUUGUUUGGGCACUAUUUGACUCAGGUUUAUGGGUUGCUGAUUUUGUGGAGUCAAUUCCCAAUCUAGAUAAUUGUUCUUGGAUGACUUGGACAAUUCUUUCGAUGAGGCGUUGUUCCAUUUCUGCAAUUUUAGAGUGCAUUAGGGUUUCUGUAAUGGUAAGUUCUCGUUGUAAUCGAGAACUGAUCUUAUCGCCCAUUGUAUUAGGCUCACCACCCAAAUUGUUAUGAAUCUUUUGUGAAGGAUCGAUUCACAGGGCGAUAUAUAAAUCAACUCUUCAAAGGGAGACUGAAACCUUAGAGUUCAUUAAAGAGAGAACUUUGAUCUCUUUAGCUCUUCAAAGGGAGACUGAAACCUUAGAGUUCAUUAAAGAGAGAACUUUGAUCUCUUUAGCUCUUCAAAGGAGACUGAAACCUUAGAGUUCAAUGGAAGAGAGAACUCUAAUCUCCUGCUUUUUCUAAUAACUAUAACUUAACCUAAUCCUUAUGAAAUCAAUUAAAUACUUAAAUUAAAUUAUAUCAAUAGAAAGUCUAUUACUUAUGGAAGUAGGAGACCUCAAUCCUAUUCCAAACUAAUAACUAUAACUUAACCUAAUCCUUAUGAAGCUCUGAAACAUAAAACUUAUUCUAGAAUAAUAAAUAAAGCAACUAAAAAUAUAAUUAAAUACUUAAAUUAAUGACUUCCAACACAUCACUAACAUUACAACCCUCACGUUGAAAUAGCUUGUCCUCAAGCUCAACUUUUGGGGCAAUCAUCCAGAAAAUCUAGAUCAGUAUCAACUUAUUCAAUUCCAUCCCUAGCUUGAAGUUGACAUUGAUAAAUUUCGACUUUAUUAGUUUGUUGAAGCAUGACUAAUUUGCCUAUCAGGUUGCUACUUUCAAGAGGUCCAAGUCGUUGAUAUUCUUCCUAAUUCAUUGAGUCUUUCACUUGUUUAAGUUGACAAUACCAUAAUGGUGCUAGUCCAAACAUGUGAAAUCCAGCCACAUCAAUCUUUUUUGCUUUCGUUGUAUGUUGAUUUUUUUCAAAAGAAUGUUCACAACGAUGUGCCCAAAGUAAUGCGUUAUUGGCGCCGUUAUUGUCACGCCCCGAGCUACCCCCGAGACGCUAACACGGGACCUAGGACCACAAGUGAUCCCAAGCUAACCCUGCUGGCAUGAUCAUGAGCAUACUAAAAAUAAUAAACUGAUGCGGAAGCUAAAUCAUAAAUAAAUCUGAAAAGAUGGGGAAUACCCAUAUACUAUAACUGAAUAUAUUAAAUCUGAGAGUUUAAUAAAAAAGAAAUAUCAAACUCAAAAUACUAAGCUGAAUCUAACUAUGUCUGAAAUAAGCCUCUAAACUGACUAGAAAUGUUGGGACAUGCCCCAACUAGGUCAAGCAAAACUGAAACUAAAGACUAAAAGCGAUAAAGAUAAACAUGUCACUAGUCCUCGAAGAAUGAGGACUCACCACUGAUGCUGCUGAACUGAAGAUCGGGAAUCGAUCUAAGCGUGAUCUGGAUGCUGAGAACCUGAACCUACAUCACGAGAAGAUAUAGCGCACUUAUGCAUCAGUACUUGAAAGGUACUGAGNNNNNNNNNNNNNNNNNNNNNNNNNNNNNNNNNNNNNNNNNNNNNNNNNNNNNNNNNNNNNNNNNNNNNNNNNNNNNNNNNNNNNNNNNNNNNNNNNNNNNNNNNNNNNNNNNNNNNNNNNNNNNNNNNNNNNNNNNNNNNNNNNNNNNNNNNNNNNNNNNNNNNNNNNNNNNNNNNNNNNNNNNNNNNNNNNNNNNNNNNNNNNNNNNNNNNNNNNNNNNNNNNNNNNNNNNNNNNNNNNNNNNNNNNNNNNNNNNNNNNNNNNNNNNNNNNNNNNNNNNNNNNNNNNNNNNNNNNNNNNNNNNNNNNNNNNNNNNNNNNNNNNNNNNNNNNNNNNNNNNNNNNNNNNNNNNNNNNNNNNNNNNNNNNNNNNNNNNNNNNNNNNNNNNNNNNNNNNNNNNNNNNNNNNNNNNNNNNNNNNNNNNNNNNNNNNNNNNNNNNNNNNNNNNNNNNNNNNNNNNNNNNNNNNNNNNNNNNNNNNNNNNNNNNNNNNNNNNNNNNNNNNNNNNNNNNNNNNNNNNNNNNNNNNNNNNNNNNNNNNNNNNNNNNNNNNNNNNNNNNNNNNNNNNNNNNNNNNNNNNNNNNNNNNNNNNNNNNUGGAAUUGAUGGAACCUUGCUGCGUUCUUGAACUAGGGUUCUUAACUUCUCUUCUCCUUUUAGCAUUCUAAUUUUUCUAAGUUUGAUUAAUGAUUUGACUUAAGUAAGUUCUAGUUAUGUUUCUAGGCUUAAACUGACUAAAACCUCAUGAUUUAGGGUCUAAACGACGUAUCUUAGGGGUUAAACGAAAUAUGAAAAGACCAAAGGACCCCUGAAUUAAUUGCUGUCGGAGUGACUGACGGACGGGACUGACGGGCCGUCAUUCAAUCGGUCCGUCGAUUGGAGUCGUCGGUCGAGUCUGCCCGACAGGGCUUCACUAAAACGAGCAUAACUUUUCACUCGGAGGUUAGAUUUUAGGAUACUCAGCGGUGUUGGAAAGAGGAUUCAAUUAUCUAUCAUAUCAUAGGUCAUGGGACACACAAUUCUUUUUGUGCUAAAAGUUAUGACCAUCUGAAGUUGACCCAUCAACAAUUUUCAGCUAAUUGGUUGUUGACCCUCAUCUACGGUCAGACCUACGGACCGUGGAUCAAAUGACGGUCCAUGCUGGUUGACCGUAGUUUGUGUCAGAGGCUGGGUAAAAGAGGUCUAAAUCCACGGACACAGACCACGGACCGUGGGUCUGUCCGUGAGUCGGGACUUCGCCAAUUUUCUAAGCUGGGUCUGGGAGUGGCUUUAGUGGUGAACUACGGACCACCAGCACGGACGGUGGUCUGACUUACGGUCCGUGGAUGGCAACCGUGGGUUGCACCUGAAACUUCUCAAAAUCUUCAUUUUUGGUCUGUUUCGAAUACAGGGUGUUACAAUUAUAAGUAGGUGGUGUAUUGCCUUUUGUAGCAGGAAAUGUUGAUCUGCUAGUUUUCUGGGCACUAUUUGAACUCAGGUUUGUGGGUUGCUUGUUUUGUGGAGUCAAUUCUCAAUCUAGACAAUUGUUCUUGGAUGAUUUAGACAAUUCUUUCGAUGAGGCAUUGUUCAAUUGCUGCAAUUUUAGAGUGCAUUAGGGUUUCUGUAAUGGUAUGUUUUCCUUGAAAUCGAGAACUGAUCUCAUUGCCCAUUGUGUUAGGAUCAUCACCCAAAUUGUUAUGAAUCUUUAGUGAAGGAUCGAUACACAUGGCGAUAUAUAAAUCAGCUCUUCAUAGGGAGACUGAAACCUUAGAGUUUAUUAAAAGAGAGAACUUUGAUCUCUUCAAUUCUUGAAAGGGAGACUGAAACCUUAGAGUUCAAUGGAAGAGAGAGCUCUAAUCUCCUGUUUUUUGUUGAAAAAUGACUUCUCGAUUAAUUCAUCAGAAGCCCCUUUAAAUAGGAGUAAUAUUACAUCAAUAGGAAGUCGAAUACUUAUGGAAGUAGAAGACCUCAAUCCUAUUCCAAACUAAUAACUAUAACUUAACCUAAUCUUUAUGAAACUCUGAAACAUAAAACUUAUUAUAGAAUAAUAAAUAAAGCAACUAAAAAUAUAAUUAAAUACUUAAAUUAAUGACUUCCAACACAUCCUUAACAUUACUCCCCUCACUUUGAUAGAGCUUGUCCUCAAGCUCAACUUUCAGGGUAAUCACCUAGAAAAUCUGGAUCAGUAUCAACUUAUUCAAUUUCAGCCCUAGCUUGAAGUUCACAUUGAUAAAUUUUGACUUUAUCAGUUUGCUGAAACAUGACUAAUUUACCCAUUAGGUUGCUACUUUCAUGAGGUGCAAAUCGUUGAUAUUCUUCGAGGAAAUGGUCAAAAGCCCUCGCAAUCUAUAGCCGGAUUUCCAACUACACAUGCAUACUUUACGGAGGUCCUAUUACCCCCCUGAAUUUUAUAAAAUUGAAAUUAUUACCUCCCUAAAUGCUUACAUGGCAAAGUGAGUGUAUUUUUUACUCUCUUUGAGAGAGUGAGCAGCCAAAACAAUAUUAAAAUUUUGUUUUAAAUAUGUUAUUUCAUAAAUAUUUUUUAAAAAAAAGUUAAUUUCUUUCUUCUCCAUGGUAGCAUAUGCCAAAUCUCUCCACCUUUAUCAUCCCAAAAUCGCCGCGCCAUUACCGCCAUCUUCAUCGGAUUCAUUAUUGUAAAUUUCUAACAACUCUCAUAAAUUUUUGAAAAAGAACAAUCAAAUCCACCAUCUCCAAUCACCAAAAAAAUAUUUUGAAUCAAAUUUAAAAAAUCAAUCUAGGUUCAAAUGCAAUUGUAUCCUAAAAAAGAAAAAUUAUUUUUUACAUGUAGAUCUAAAUUCCUCAUGUGUUUUUUAGUUUGUUUUCUAGAUUCUUGACAAGCAAUUAUUUUCUCUUGAUUAUAAAAACUCCAUCACAUAGACUUAUAAAAUUAUGAAAAUACCCACAAACAUUAAUUAGACUAAUAGUGGUCUUGGUGGUGGUGUGAAUGUUCUCUUUUUCGAGCUUUAUUCUUUGAAAGAAAUGACGGGAGCUCUUUGAGUAGGUGGAGGAGCUAAUGGUGAAGGCGGAUAAAUAACAAAGUCAUAGAUGGAGAUGGUGGUGGCAACGAAAUUCUCAGACUAUGUCGACGGCGGCGACAUAUCCCUCCGGAGAAGACAAAAGAGACCCCUCAAUUUAACCCCCAAUAUUUUCUCCAAAUCAAAGUUCUCAAAAAAUAACUAGGGCUAAAAAAUGAAUGAAGAAGAAAGAUUGAAGAAGAAAGAGAAAAAAAAGCCUUUUAAAAAGAGAUCUACAGGUGAAAACACGUGUCAAGCGCGUGUGUUUCACCACAAGAAACAUAUCUGGGUAUGACGUUUUAAGGGGCUACUUAUUUCAUUUUAAAAUAAUUCAUGGAGGUAAUAGAACCCCGUGAAACAUGAGUGUGUAGUUGGAAAUCCGACUAUAUGAUGGGGAGGGUUUUGGCCAUUUUCUCAUAUUCUUCCUAACUCAUUGAGUCUUUCAUUCGUUUAAGUUGAUAAUACCAUAAUGGUGCUAGUCCGAACAUGUGAAAUCCAUCCACAUCAAUCUUUUUUGCUUUCGUUGUAUGCUGAUAUUUUUCAAAAAAAUGUUCACACCGAUGUGCCCGAAGUAAUGGGUUAUUAGUGCCAUUAUAAGUAGGUGGUGUAUUGCCUUUUGUAGCAGGAAUUGUUGAUCUGCUAGUUGUCUGGGCACUAUUUGACUCAGGUUUGUGGGUUGCUGGUUUUGUAGUGUCAAUUCCUAAUCUAGAUAAUUGUUCUUGGAUGACUUGGACAAUUUUUUCGAUGAGGCGUUGUUCCAUUGCUGCAAUUUUAGAGUGCAUUAGGGUUUCUGUAAUGGUAUGUCCUCCUUGAAAUUGAGAACUGAUCUCAUCGCCCAUUGUGUUAGGCUCAUCGCCCAAAUUGUUAUGAAUAUUUAGUGAAAAAUCGAUUCACAUGGUGAUAUAUAAAUCAGCUCUUUAAAGGGAGACUAAAACCUUAGAGUUCAUUAAAAAAGAGAGAACUUCGAUCUCUUCAGCUCUUCUAACGGAGAUUAAAACCUUAGAGUUCAAUGGAAGAGAGAACUCUAAUCUCCUGUUUUUUGCUGAAAAAUGACUUCCCGAUUUAUUCAUCAAAACCCCAUUUAAAUAGGAGUAUUAUUACAUCAAUAGGAAGUCUAAUACUUAUGGAAGUAGGAGAUUUCAAUCCUAUUCUAAGCUGAUAACUAUAACUUAACCUAAUCCAUAUGAAACUCUGAAAUAUAAAACCUAUUCUAGAAUAAUAAAUAAAGCAACUAAAAAUAUAAUUAAAUACUUAAAUUAAAGACUUCCAACGCAUCCCUAACUUUACUCCCCUCACGUUGAAAGAGCUUGUCCUCAAGCUCAACUUUUGGGGCAAUCAUCCAGAAAAUCUGGAUCAGUAUCAACUUAUUCAAUUCCACCCAUAGCUUCAAGUUGACAUUGAUAAAUUUCGACUUUAUCAGUUUGCUGAAGCAUGACUAAUUUGCCCAUCAAAUUGCUACUUUCAUGAGGUCCAAAUUGUUGAUAUUAUUUCCAACUCAUUGAGUCUUUCGCUCGUUUAUGUUGAUAAUCCCAUAAUGGUGCUAGUUCAAACAUGUGAAAUCCAGCCACACCAAUCUUUUUUGCUUUCGUUGUUUACAAAUUUAUUUUAAAAAAAAUAUUCACAACGUUGUACCUGAAGUAAUGGGUUAUUGGUGCCGUUACAAGUAGGUGGUGUAUUGCCUUUCGUAGCAGGAAUUAUUGAUCUGCUAGUUGUCUGGGCACUAUUUGACUCAGGUUUGUGAGUUUCUGAUUUUGUGGAGUCAAUUCCCAAUCUAGACAAUUGUUCUUGGAUGGCAUUAGGGUUUAUGUAAUGGUAUGUUCUCCUUGAAAUCGAGAACUGAUCUCAUCGCCCAUUGUGUUAGGCUCAUCACCCAAAUUGUUAUGAAUCUUUAUUGGAGGAUCGAUACACAGGGCGAUAUAUAAAUCAGCUCUUCAAAGGGAGACCGAAACCUUAGACUUCAUUAAAAGAGAGAAUUUCGAUCUCUUCAGCUCUUUAAAGUGAGACUGAAACCUUAUAGUUUAGUGGAAGAAAGAGCUCUAAUCUUCUGCUUUUUGCUGAAAAAUGACUUCCCGAUUUAUUCAUCAAAAUCCCCUUUAAAUAGGAGUAUUAUUACAUCUAUAGGAAGUCUAAUACUUAUGGAAGUAGGAGACCUCAAUCUUAUUCCAAACUAAUAACUAUAACUUAACAUAAUCCUUAUGAAACUCUGAAACAUAAAACCUAUUCUAGAAUAAUAAAUAAAGCAAGUAAAAAUAUAAUUCAAUACUUAAAUUAAUGACUUCCAACGCAUCCCUAACAGAAACACACCUAGAUGGAAGAAUUAAUUGGUUCUGAAUGAAUUAAAGAAAGAGGGAAUGCUCAUAUACCACUUAGCUUUCACUUCACUCUUUUUUAUCAAUCCAACAAAUUUAUAAUAGAGAAGCAACGUCAACUGAGUUGUUUCUUGAUAUACAUCUUUGGCUUCAAACAAAUCCGCAUUUGAUGUGCAACAACUAAUACUCUAAAGGUUUGGAAAAAUAUGUUUUUCUAGGAGACUAGAUGCUUUCAGCCUUCUUGUAGUUCUUUACUUUUGAGUUCUACAGUUGCAAGAUAAUGAGAAAUGCAUCUUUUUCAUUGUAAAGUACUCCAGCUUGCCAAGGAUUUUGUACUUUAAAAUCAAAUGGCUACUUCUACAAUACAACCAAGAAAUUAAAGAAACUAACAGGAAAUAAAAAGAAACUAAUCGGUUAUUUCUUAACAUGACACUUGUUGCUUGGAACGUUGAAAGAUUUUGUAAUGUGAUGUGUUUAAAUUACGUUAGUUUUCUUUGCUUUCUUCUUUUUUCUAUUGGGUCUUAGAGAAAUAUAUAUCUGUCUCAUUUGUUUGCUUUGAUUAGUUCUCCUCACGAAUGGAUCACUAAGAGUAAUUUUAAUUUUGGAUUUGAUUUCAAUUCAGAAAAUGGAAAUUUCAGAUGAAGAAAUUGCUUUUAGCGUCACUUCACACCUUUCCACUCCUCGAUUCUCUCCGGAUAUACCACAAGCAGCUAACCCUUUUGUCUCGGAAGGACUUGUCACUAAGUUGUAUUCUGUAGAGAGCAGGAUUUCAACAUUGCAAAACAUGUUGAUUGAUUUAAACAAAAGAAUGGAGGAUCAAUCCAAGUCAGUGUAUGAAAGUUUGAACCUGUUUUUGGUUGGUGGGGCUGCUUCUUAUUUUACUCAGAGGAAACUAACUUGCAGCGAGGGAGUAAAAAUAUUAGUAUUGACACUUUUGGCUUCUAUUUUCAACAUAUGUCGUGUUAAGAAAUUGGUAACAACAAACCUCUCUAGUUUGAAAAGGUUGAAUGCUUCUCACUUGAGGACUUAUGGACAUUUAGUUAGUGAGGCUAUAGUUUUAAGGGAAUUGGAACAAGCAAAUGCUGAUGCCGUAGAUGGGGUUGAGAAUUUGAUUUUGGAGGGGAGUAUAAGGAGGACUCAAUUUUUCCAACGGAUAGAGGACAUUGUUGAUACACAUAGUGCAGAUAUUUUUGUUCCAAAAAGCGACAGAGUUGAAAAAAUAUUGUUUGGUGCGACAAUACUCAGCCACAUUCUUGCAUUAAUCUUUCUUACUCUAGUGUUGCAAUGUGGUAAGUUUUUUAUAUCUAAUGUUUUUCAUAUCAUAUUUUUUUAGUUAAGAUUAUUCUAUUCUAACUCUUAAUUUGUUUUUGUUCAGGUGUUAUUUGAUUGCAGUUUGGAUAGUUUUUUGCUCAAGAGUUUUCAAUUGCAGUUUGUAUAUAGAAGUUUUGAAAGAAAUCCAACAUUUAUCGUCAUCAGCAUCAUAAACUAGAGUAAUUUGAUAUCAUGAUGGUUUAGUUUUAUUUGUAAAAAUUGCUUAAGAGGAUUAUGUUUAUAACCAUGCUAGAUUCUUCAAUGGUGUCACAACUGACUUCACUUGCAAGUAAUUCCUGAGACAAUAUUCUCCCUUUUCUCUUCCCUGACCACUCAUCUUAUAGCCACCAAAAAGAAUUGUAGCAUUAAAUGUAUCCAAGCAAUUAAUCCAUACCAUUCCAACUCUCACGGCUCGUGCCAAGGUGUUUGCAGUGUCAAUGUUUUGUGAAAAUACUCCAGCAGCUAGACCAUACCGAGUGUUGACACCCAAUUUUGACCCGCCACGAUAGAAAUUAACUUUUGAGCUUCUUAAUUUUUAAACAAUUUGAAAUAAUUGGUUUUAUGAAAAAAUCAAAAUGUUUCUCAAGUUUUAAAAUGAUGUUACUUAUUUAUAUAAUAUCUUAAAUAAUUAAGGUGUUUUAUAUAGGUACAUAUAUCCGAUUAGCAUAUUUCGUAAAUAGUUGAAAUCGUCGCAAAAAGAUUUUUACACCUUUUUAGGUUAAGUAUUUUAUUAAUUUAGUUUAGUCUUAAUUAUAGUUAUAAUUUUAAGACGAUUAGUUUAAUUAGAUUAUGAUUAAGUCAAUUAUUUUAUAUCGUUAAGAUUAAAGAAACUCAUUAAUUAAUUUCUAUUAAUUCGUCUUGUUAGUUUUGGCCGAAUUACCAACUAAACUGAUUCGGCUAAAUAUUUAAUUCAAUUUGGCUACAAUUUCAACUCAAUUUGAUUACGAUGGUAAUUCAAUAGUUAUUUCACGAUUUGCAAAGAUAGUCAUUCCUAGCUUAAGUUCCAAUUCCUUGAGACUUGAAAUUGGGCCAGAUUUCCAGCCCAUUUUAGUGCAAUUUUCCAGCCACUUUUCCCACCCUUAAUUCCUAACCCAUCAGCCCACAAAACAAGAAAAACAAAUUCCUAACCCAUUACGUACAACAACAAUACAAUACAAACGGGAAUCCAACGUUCCCAAUUUGUUUUUCUUUCUUCCUUCAAUGCGUCAAACAACAACUAUACACAACAGCUUCCAACGUCAAUAGACGGAAACCACAUAGCAACUUCACACCUUGGGCGCGUGCGGAUUACAAUUCUCGUCUUCUUCCUCACAUCCCUUUCCUUUUUACUGUCGCAGCAGCAAAAGCAAGCCGCGUCUCAGUCCUUAGGGCUGUGGGAUCGAUCCAUAUCGCACCCAAGGACGAGUGCCUCAAUCUCACCAGUCCGUCCCCCUUUCUUCUUUUGGAAUGGGGCGAAUUUUCAGAGAAAAAGUGUCGCCCUAAAAUGGUGCAAGAUUUUGAAAUUUGAUUUAAUGGGCCUUGUUCUCAUCUGGAAAACUCCCGCCUGAUCCCCAUCUUUUCUGCCCUAAUUCCAUUCCAUAUAUACUCUCCCUUUGUUCAUUGUAAAGGGGUGGAAGAGAAAAAAUUGGAAAAUAGUUGAAAAAUUGGGAGUCAAGAAAAAGCAAAAGAUACAUAGAUUUUUUAAAGAAAAUACAGACUUAAGAAAUCAAGUGUUAUAGAGUGUAUUCAGGCGCCGAUCUCUUUUUCCGAGACAUUAUUGCUGCUCGUCGGAGCUCUCGGAGUUUGUGUGUGGUGUUGGAAGAAGCUCGUUGUCUCCUUUGCUUGUUUCUUGUCCCAAAUCGCUGCCUCGAACAAGGUAAACGACUCAUAAUCCUUUGUCUGUUUUGAGGUCAUUGUUUGGUUUGAUGUGUAGCUCUUCGUGAAUUCUUGAGCUUAAGCAAUAUGUUCAGUUUGAUGUUAUUCCUUUCACCUUAUUCCUUGAAAUGAGUGAUAUGUGUCCGUUUUUUUUUAAGAUGAUUGAAUGAUUGUUUGAGCUCAUGUAUUUGUCUGUGCUCUUCUUAAACUCGCGGCUAUUAUGCUCGUCUUAAGUUCGUGUUGCUUCUUCAUUAUUUGUUCUUCUCUAUUUGUGCUCAUGCACAUGUUAUGAUAAGUGUUCUGAGCGUAUCAAAGAUUACCCCAUUGCUUUUUUUUUUCUUUCAUUUUCUGAAGCUUGCCGUAAUUAGUUUUCAUCCAUAUCGGUAUGUAUAUAGAUUCGUGUCAAAGUGUUAGAGUUUUCUUGUGAUAAUAAAUUUCUUUUUCGAUAUAGGACUCACGUUCCGAUUCUUUCAUAUCUCUGCCUAUUUUAUAUGUUUUCCACUAUGAGAUGUUUUCCAUGUUUAGUUAAAAGGUGUAGUCUAUGCUCACUGCUUCGUUAUUUAAGAACCAGACAUUGUUAGCCAGUGAUUUUGUUUAUUUUCUCCUCCUAUUUUUUUUGAAUAUGUUGAGCAUGUCAUAUACUUUAUUCGUUUACUGUAACAAUUCUAGGUCAUUUUCUUUUUUUUAGACUUGGUUUAAAACACUUUAGUACUAAAUCUGCUUUAGAAAAUGACAAAUCGUUAUAUUAAGAUCAUUUAUUGUGAGUAUCUUGUUGUCUCAAGUUGUUGACAUAGGCUUGGCCUUGGGUUGCGUUUUCGAUUCGGUUUAUUAACUUAUAUUGCCAUAGAGGGUAUUGCUUUCAAUUUGGGUCAAGAUUGCUACUUGCUAUCAAGUAUUUGUUUCCUUUAAAUGGUCUUUUUUUCUUUAAUUGAUUGGAAGUCGUUUAACUUAAUUUUUUCGGCAAUUCAUCUAUGUCCAAUUCCUUAGAAAUUUUAUCUUUGAUCAAUUAGUUCAUACUAUGAAAGCAUGACUAUAGGUCAUUGUUAAGUUGUUUUAUUGCUAUACCAUUAGCACGUUUGGUUUUUUCCUUAUUGAUGCUCAUAGUAUAGUCUAUUCUUGUUUUCUUCCCCUUUGAAUGGCCCCCUAAUUUUAUUUGUUCAAGUAAGUAUGUUUAUUACUGUUGGGUGUUGAAAGAGGUCCAAAUUAUUGGAAUUUUGCUUAAUCCAUUUUUAGCAUCUCAUUUAUGCCGCGAAAGGUUUCGGCUAAUUGGUUUUGAGUUAUUCGUUUUAAGCAAGUAUGCAAUAAGGUUGUGAUUAAUUGUCAAGUUGUGUCAUAGUUAUGACAUCAGUGUGUGUUUGAUUUCUUUGUUGACUAAGUUUUAUUUUAAAAUUCCUUUGUUAUAAAUGUGAAUGCUAAUUUGUAUUAUCCUUUGUUUGCAUAUGAAAUCUCCCUGAAUCCUCACGGAUUACAUCUCUUCUCCUCGCAUUUUUCAAUUGGGCCAUUAUGGCCUAAUAUUCAUGUUCCUCGAGUCGGCCAGCAGGAAGUUGAAAAAUACAGGUUUUCGGAGGAUAAACCAAGCUGGACUUUGAAUUUUUCAUCUCCGAAAAGCUCGAAAAGCAGCUGGUAUAUAGUGAUAUACACACCGUAUACGCCGACAAAAAAGUUAAAAAAUACAAAUACAGGUUUUGAAGUGCAAAGACGAGGCCCAAAGGUGGCCAACAAUGAUUUCUAAUUGAAAUGGCCUAAAUUCCAUUGUUUUGGGGGUAAACUUUAGUUUUAAGGCAGGUGGACCAAAGUCCAGACGAAUUCGAAUUUGAGCCAAAAGCCCAAAUUUUAUAUCUCUUCCCUUUUGCUCUUAUUUAUUUGCUUGUUAUGUCGACUAACAUUUAUUUGUGAAUUGAUUUUAACUUAAUUAAAUUCCCGAAGAUAACCAUUUCCUUUCAUAUAUACAUAUAUAUCCAUAUUGAAAUAUUUACAUACUUAGCUUUACUUUUAUGUUUCGUCUUAUUACAUGCUAUUCCCCUUUAGAAAAUUCCCCUCUAGUUCAUUUCCCCUUGGAUAAAUAAAAUGAUAAAAAUAAUAAUAGUAAUAAAUAAGUAGGUUAAAAUAAAUGAGUUUUUACUUAGUUAAAAUUUCCAAAAUAAGUUAAAAUAAAUGAGUUCUUUUAUUUAGUUAAAUCUCAAAAAAAAAAAAAUAGUUAAAAUAAUUGAGUUCUUUUAUUUAGUUAAAAUUUCAAAAAUUAGUUAAAAUAAAUGGGUUCUUUUACUUCGUUAAAAUUUCAAAAUUAGUCAAAGUCGUUAUGAGUUCUUUUACUUAGUUAAAAUUUCAAAAUUAGUCAAAAUCAUUUAUAGUCAAAUCGCCGGUCAACCGCAAGUUAGCGGGCAUUCCGAGGGUCUAACACCUUCUCGGAAUGUAUAUUGAACUUCGAACCCUUUUAUUUUCAAUUGAUUUUAUCUGUUUAAAUCUUUUGAAAACAUUAAGUUUUUUUCUUGAUUUUUAAUAAAAAAUUAAGUGGCGACUCUGUUCUUUUGGAAAUUCGAUUCUUCUUAAAUCAUAAGUUUGAUCGAUUUUUCGAAAACUCAGUCAUUUUUCUUUUAUUUAUAUUUUCUAGUAAAACACCGAGAACUAUUAUCUCUCUGUACCACUUCAUCAAGAUCCUUGUAAUGAACAAGCGCAUACCAUAAAUAAAAGUCGAUAAUAAAGCUCCACGUACUGUCAACAUAUAUAUUUGAUCGUUCUCACAUACUUAAAUUUUAAGAUGGACUGUACUGGACCAAAAAUCUCAUCCUGUGCAAUCAGCAUCAUCCUAACAAUUGAACAUUUUAUUUGUUAUGACAAUUUAUGGACGUUGAUGCUAAAAAUCACGUCUAUUAAAGUGAAAAUGUAUAUACCUUAACAUUAGAUAAGACAGUGGGAUUAAUAUAGUAGCCCUUUUUUGUAACACCCCAGAAACUAGGAAGUUGAACUAGUGAGUUCUAGAGUCUUGUAGUGGAGUUUUGGAGUGUCGUAUGAGGGUUAAAACUCAUAGAAACGAUUCAGGUUCUUAGAAUGACAUGUGUUGACACCCAAUUUUGGAUCUCCACAAUAUAUAUUAAUCACCAAGCUUCUUAAAUUCUAAACGAUUUGAAAUAAUUAGUUUUUAUAAAGUUCAAAAUAUUUUUUUUCAAGUUACUUUUAAUCAAUUUUAUCUUUUUAUAAUUUUUAGAUAAUAUAUAUGUUUUGCAUAAUUAUGUGUAUAAUUAGUAUAUUUUAUGAAUAUUCGAAAAUCGCCUCAAUUUUUUUUUUAGUUUUACUUUAAAUAGUUGGUUAAUUGGUUUAGUUAAUUAAUACUUAUAUUUUUGAGUUAUUAGUUUAUAAUUAAGUUAAUUAUUUUAUUUCGUUAAGAUUAAGAAGCUAACUAAUUAAUCAUAUUAAUUUAUCUUAUUUAAUUAUUAGUUUGGUUACUAAAUUUGAUCAAUGUGGCUAUAAUUGAAAUUCAUAUGGCUAUUGUGUAAUUGCAAUUUCAACCAUUCUUUUACCUCCAUUCAAUCCUUUGUAAAAUAAUUUGGGCCAUUUUGCUAACAUCCCAAAAGUCAGAUUAGCUAACCCCAUUCCCAGCCCACAUUACUACACAACAAUUCUAAAAUAACCCAGGCCCAAGACUAAUACAAUACCAGCAGCCCACCAUUCCAGCAAUACAUAAGUUACAACAACAACGUACAACAAUACCAAAUCGACCCACCCCCUAUACAUUUUCUUCUUCUUCCAGCAAAACAGCGACCAAACCCAGAACCUCAAAUCGCGACCCUAAGCCAUCACAAAAUCAUUACAGUUGGAAUAUUAUCGAGUCAUCCACCUCGUUACAGUUGGAAUAUUAUCGAGCCAUCCACCUCGUUACAAUUGGAAUAUUAUCGAGUCAUCCACCUCAUUACAAUUGGAUUAUUAUUAAGCCAUAUGGCUCGUUGCAGAGAUCAUCAUUGUUUGCCAUGCACAAAGCAAGCAAUGACAUCUCCAAAUCCUUAACAAAUCAUGAGUUGUAAUGCGCAUACGGUUUUCAAGAAAACAUCAUCUGUAUUUUUCAAGGGAGAAUUUUCUCCAUGCAUCGCAAGAAAAUCAACAUCGGCUGCAUUAUUUUCAUUGCAAGAACAACAUCAAGAGAAUCAUCAACAACGAUAUCAAGAGAACUAUCAGUAUAUUACAUCAACCUAUUUUAUUACUUUGACAUCAAAAGAAAAGUACAUGGAAGAUUAUAUUACAAAUAUGAAAUACGAGCUUUAUUUGGUUUACGUCAAACUGGAGGAAGCUGACGUCAAAUAUCCAAGGAGAGCAAUUAGUGACAAUAUGGUAAAAGGCACUAUCUCUUAUUUGAAUUACAUUUUUAUGCAAAUGAGUUUUAUCUCAGUAUUUAUCGAAAGCAUCCGCAAGGAUAAAUUCUCAAAACAAACCACAGGUGCGGACAAUAUCAAAAAGGAUGCAACACAACGUGUAACUUUUUCUUAGCAGCGAAUUGGGACAUAGUCCAAAGAGGAGUAUCAAACUCGUAGGACGCGAGCUGAGGAACGACUUCCACCACAAUCAAACCACACCACCAUCAAAAGGCAUGUGGGCAUUUCCUUGGGUUUAUCAGUUUCAAUUUCGCAUCCGAAAAACUUUCCACUCUCACCGGAGGCAGCUUUCCAAUCUGAGUGACAAUGUACCAAGAGCUUUGGAAAUUAUGUCCAUGUAAGUUCUUAAUUAUGGGUGUGAAGUGCGCCACAUUCAUGGCUAAGAGGUUGUAAGCCUCUUUUUCAUACUUGACUUACUUGUCACUCUUCCAAAAGUGAAGGUUAUCUAGCAUAAUAGAUUUCAUUUUCAACCGAUCGAGUCGAUCUACAAAUAGCCUGAUUCCUAAGGUUUAAGGAUAUGUAUGUUGACACCUAAUUUUGACUCUCACCGAUAAGAUUAAUUUUCAAGCUUCUUAAUUUUCAAUGAUUUGGAAUAAUUAGUUUUACAAAACUCAAAAAAAUAAAUAAAUUAUUUUCUAAGUUUUAAAGCAAUUUUAGUCAUUUUUAUAAUUUUAAAACAAUAUAAUAUUUUUAUAUAAAUUUUGUAUGUAAUUGUUACAUUUCUUACGAGCAUUCAAAAAUCAUUUAAAAAUAAAAUAAAAUUUACUUUUUAAAAAUGUUUUGAUAAUUAGCUCACUUAAUAUUAGUUUACAUUCCCGAAUCAGUUAUUUUUAUCUCGUUAAGAUUGAGAAGCUCAUAAAUCAAUUGUAUUAAUUCAUCUUAUUUGACUACUAGCCGAGUCUAUCCUAAUUAACUAAGGCGGUUAUAUUUAAAAUUUUCAAUUUGCUAUGAUUUAGACUCAUAUGGCCGAACUUUAAAUCCAACUCUAUCAUAUUCAAUUUAAAAGACCAAAUAUUGGACCCCUUUUUAUAUUCCCAUUUAAUCCCAACCCAAGUUCCCCUUUAUUCCCAGCAGCCCACCAAAUAAAAUCCAACCCAACUCUUUUCUCUUUUGUUUUCAGAUCACCCAGCCCACUCCAACUCCUUAACCCGACUUGACCCGACCCAUUUCCCCUAUUCCCAUUCACAAAAAAUAUCCAGAGAGUUGUACACGUUAACAGCAACAAGAACAACUUCAAAUGCUCACAUGGACCGAUAGAGUCAUUAAGGCUCGAUAGUAGCAGCGAAGCACGCGUCUACCCUCCUUUCCUCUUCCGGAAAGAGUCAAAAUUACAGGAAAAAGGGUGUUUACCCUUAAAAUGGUAGAAAUAAUUUUUGAGUUUGAAAUUCAAGUUGGCCUUAAUUCCAUCCGGAUUCCCCUCAAAAUCUACCAUAAUUUCCUCUAAAUAACAUCUUUUCCAUUCAUUUGUAAGGGGGUCGUCGAAUUUUUUCCUAGAACAAAAAAAAAAACAACCUAAACAGCUAGAGCAAAAAUAGUCGAAAUACACACUAAAUAAAUUAAGAGAGUAGAGAAGAUAUUCGGUCCUAAUCUAAAGUUCUCUAUUCUAAUUCGUUGCCAGUGCUUUCGCAAAGCUCAGUUGAGGUUGAGUUUUCGCUUGAGUCCACUGUGUUUUCCUUGUUCGUGCCGCGCAUUUGCGUGAAAGACGCUGCUCCCUACUCGUUCCCGUCUCUGUUUCGCUGCCUCGAAAAAGGUAUACGGCUUGCCUCUUCUCACAGUCUAUGUCCUAAUUUGGAUUUGUAUUUGUUUGUUUAGUUAGUUACGUUGUUCUGGGUUUGACCAUUUUGAUGUGAAGUGUUGCUUCAUGUUCAUGCAGUAUUAAUUACAUUUAGCUGUUCUCAUGAUGAAAUUAGGCAGAAUCGAUGUCGAUUUUUUAGUCAUAAAAUUUUGUCUACAUAAUCUUGAAUAUUGCACCCUCAUCGCUUACUCAGUUCACUCUUUCGUUGUUUAUCAUGCUUGUCACCCGCUUGGAUGCUCAUUAUUACAAUUGGUUCCUAUUGUUGUAAACAUAAUUUCAUGUUUAUACCACUGAUUCACAGAAAUAUUAGAAGUACUCCUCAAGCAUGCGAUUAGCUCAAAUCCUCUGUGUCUUAUCACCUAUAUGUCUUAUUAGCAUUUUCUUUUGUCCUAAUGCUCAUAUUUGCAAGUCAAGUCGGUAUAAAAUCCGAGCUUUCUUGUUUUAUUUUCUGUUUUAGUUUUAUUGGAGUUAUAGUGUUCAAGGUCAUUUGAAGUGUGAUUUUGUUGGUGUUGACUUCUCGUUGUAUGUCUUGCCGAAUACUCGGCCCCCCUAUGUAUUCCCUUGGUUUUGAUGUAUCGUGUUUAUAGCUUCCGUUUUGAAGCAAAUAAGGUCCAUUUAUGUUUGAUGGCUUUCUAGUAAUGUGUAAAACCGAGAUCCCGUAAACCAUUGUGUGAAGUUGUGUUGUUGUUAAGUUUAUUUAUUUCUUCUAGUCGGAUGUAGAUUCUUGUCUAAUCUAUUUCUUGCCUCACUGUAGGUUAUUAAGUAUUCAAUUAAUAAUAGCAAAUAGCUCAUAUGGGUUUGAAUAUUCCGUACAUUUUAUUAUAUUUCAAACAUGCUAUAUUAUGGGAUGUUAUUUGAUAUACCUUGCUAAUAUUUGUCUAAAUAUUUCCUUUAGAAUGAUUAGAUGUGAGGUGUCUUUCUAGUAUGAUAGAUAGGGGUACUACUUUAUUGUUUAAUUUUAAAAAAAAUGUGGUUUCCUCUUGCCAAAUGUGUGCUUUCCUUUCAUUUUUGAAUCUUGUGUUUAUUUGAAAAUUUGUCAAAGUUCAUUGGGAGUGGCUUUUUCUUUCGUUUUGAGUUGUCUAGUUUGCUUUGCUAUGAAUUAAAAUCAUAUUUCUUAUUUCCUUAUCUCAUAUGCUAAUGUUGUCUUUUCUUUCGUAUGUUGGAUUGUCUCCGAGUCCUCUUGGACCCCAACCUUUUCCCCCAUAUUUCGGAUAGGCCAUAAAGGCCCAAUUACAUUUUUUUCGAUCGAGUCAACCCCCAUUUCCGAGUGAGAGAAAUUGAUGAACAGGUGGAAAGCAAUAUAGGUGGCUGGAAAUUUAAUUUGCAGGCCUCAAAAGCCCAAAAGAGGGCAGUAUACACGAUGUAUACACAAGUAUACAUAGAAAGAACAGCGCCUUUAUACACUGAUAUACGAGUCCAGUUCAACAAAUACGGUUAUAAAAAAAGAAAUACAGGUUGCAGGGGACAAAAUAUAUUGUAUACAUUUGGUAUAUGGUUCAAGAUACAGGAAACGGGGUUGAUAUACAAGUCGUAUGCACUGAUAUACGGCUUUCGUAUACAAAAACGUGAAUUGGUUAAAAGUCCUAAGAAUCAGCAGCUUUGGCCCAAUGCUUCUGGGCAGUAAUAGGCCCAAAUUCAAUUAUUUCCUUUCCCUUUCCUAUUUAUUUGAUAUCGUAUUUGACUAACGCUUUGAUUAUCUUAUGGUUUAAUUAAAUUAAAUUCCUCAAGAUAGCCAUUUCAUUUAUAUGUAUAUGUAAAUUAAAGCUAUUUUUGUUUUAUACUUAGCUUUAAUUUUAUUUGUCUUGUUACUUAAGUUAUUUCCCCUUUUGAAAAUUCCCAUUUAGUUCAUACCCCCUUAAAAUAAAUAAAGUGAUAAAAAUAAUAAUAGUAAUAAAUAAGUAGGUUAAAAUAAAUGAGUUUUUACUUAGUUAAAAUUUCCAAAAUUAGUUAAAAUAGAGUUCUUUUAUUUAGUUAAAAUUUCAAAAUUAGUUAAAAUAAAUGAGUUUUUACUUAGUUAAAAUUUCCAAAAUUAGUUAAAAUAGAGUUCUUUUAUUUAGUUAAAAUUUCAAAAUUAGUUAAAAUAAAUGAGUUUUUACUUAGUUAAAAUUUCCAAAAUUAGUUAAAAUAGAGUUCUUUUAUUUAGUUAAAAUUUCAAAAUUAGUUAAAAUAAAUGAGUUUUUACUUAGUUAAAAUUUCCAAAAUUAGUUAAAAUAAACGAGUUCUUUUAUUUAGUUGAAAUUUCAAAUAUUAGUUAAAAUAAAUGAGUUAUUUUACCUAGUUAAAAUUUGAAAAUUAGUCAAAGUCGAUAUGAGUUUUUUUACUUAGUUAAAAUUUCAAAAUUAGUCAAAAUCAUUUUGGUCAAAUCGCCGGUCAACCGCGAGUUAGUGGGCAUUCCGAGGGCCUAACACCAUCUCGGAAUGUACAUUGAACUUUGAACCCUUUUAUUUUCAAUGGAUUUUAUCUGUUUAAAUCUUUUGAAAACCUUUAGUUUUUUCUUGAUUUUUCACUAAAAAUUAAGUGGCGACUCUGUUCUUUUGGAAAUUCAAUUUUUCUUAAACUAUAAGUUUAAUCGAUUUUUCUAAAACUCAGCCAUUUUCUUUGAAUAUACCUUUUUUAAGUAAAACAAGAAUGACGACUCCGCUGGGGAUUUAGUUAAGUUCUAACCAUAAGAUUUGACUUAUUUGACUAAUUGUAUUAAUUGCUAAAUUGUUUAUCUGCUCUCAACGUGUUUAAUUUGUUAUAACUGUCAUUGCAAUUCAUGGUAUAUUCCAUCGUAUGUAUAGUAUAUUAAGGACGAUUUCUGCAUCAUCGCAGCCGAACUUCUUAUACUAAACCCUUUUUCGGAAGGAUCGGCGAUUUAUUGAUAUGUCAUGCGUCCAAUGGUUGUCGUGAAUUCUAGCCUAAGUUGUUCACUUCGGUUCCCGAUCUUUCAAAGCCACUCUUAGUCAACUAGCGUAGAGCGAAACCAAAUCCCUGAUUUAGCAAAUUUUGAACUAAGUCGACCCAACACUCAAGGCGUGUUGGGCUCAUUAGAAGUCCAUCUUGUGUCUAUUUGGCCCAUUUGCCAAUAAAAAGACAAUCAUACUUAUGUGUUUUAAUUGAAGGUUGUAUAUGUCAUUUUUAAACAAAUCAAUUAUCAAGUGGGGGUGGGGGUUAACUUACAUUUGUUUGUUUUUCUUGUAGAAUGAAUCCGACGUUUGAGCCGUUGAAAAGCCGAAUGGUGACUAUACCUGAUCCUUACCUCCAAGUUUGGUUGAAAUUCAUGAACAAGGAAGAUAAGAAGAAAAUUCAAAGACACAUAGGCCAUCUCCCGUCAUUAAUGGAAAUGGUGGCUUACCCCAACUUGAUUGGAACGAUGGUGAAAUUUUGGGACAGCAACAACAUGGUAUUUCGGUUUGGGGAAGUAGAGUUGACCCCGAUAAUAGAUGAAGUUCUUGCAAGUUACGAGAGUAUCGGCAUGUGCAACAAGAGGAAACACCAACCCGAUUUUGAUCUUCUCUUUCCAAAAGUAUGGGAUUUUACCGAAAUCAAAGAAAAUAUGUCACUCGUCAAAGCUGAAAGGAUGGACAGGCUUCCCGGGCCAAAUAUUCCACUUCGAAAGUUGUAUUAUCGAUUUGGACGUGCAAGAGCUUACGAGAAGUUCAAAGAAGAGUUUGUUUCGGAAGAAAGAUGGAAGGAAACACGCCCCUUCGCUUUUGCGAUAUGUCUACUUGGGACAAUGGUAUUUCCCCAAAGACCAAACUACACCAUCCAUCCAAGUGUAGUAAUGGUUACUCAUGCUAUUUUUAGUGGAGUAGGCUAUGGGCCUGUAAGAAAGUACUACAAUUUGGUUCCUAUGAUCCUUGCUGACAUUUACAGGGCGUUGGAUAUGUGUAAAAAUGGCACAUGUUUCUUUCAAAGGUGCAACCUGAUACUUCAAUGGUGGAUGAUGAGACACUUGAUCAAAGCUCAUGAUCCAACAGAACCAGAUCCCUUGGAAAGACCAAACAGGCUCGAAAGUCACGAUUGGUGGGUGCAACGUAAUCAUUUCAAUAGGACGGGAGGCAAAGAAUUUUGGUACCCGAGACUUCAGGGUUUGAGAGAGGAAAAUGUGCAGUGGUCGAUCCAAUGCUUAGUAGUAACUAAACAAAUUGUGAUCCGAAGCGAAAAGGCCCACUACUUGAUAUUUGCUGGGUUGAGAGGAACUCGGCCAUAUGCUCUUUCUCGAGUACUUAGACAGCUAGGAGGGAAACAAGAGCUUCCUCAGAUAGAAGACAUGACAAGAUUUGUGACGGAUCAUGAAAAUGGCGAAGUCGCUUUUACUAAAAAGAUGCUUCAAUUAUGGAAGACUCGAAGGAUAUUGGGUGAGCCGGUGCCAAAUAGGAUUCGUUCGAAAUGUUCUAAGGAUUACAAAGAAUGGUUAAAGAAGAGUCUCGCCGGAAUUAUCGAACCCGGUCUAAACGUUCCCCAUAUUAUUGCAGAUAUUGGAGCCAAGCAUCAAAUCCGACUUCAUCAACUCCAAGAGAAGUUUGAUAGGAAUGAGUUAGAGCAUCAACGUCGACACUCAGAAGACGCCAAAGUCAUAGCUCAGUUGAAGCAAGAGCUACAAAAAUCCAAGCAAUGUAUGUCAUAAUUAUAUGAUAGCAUGGAGUAGCAGAUUCAGUCGGUCGAGAGGUUCAGACAUCAAGAAGGGGCUCGGUUGGCAAGGGAUCACCUAUGGGCGAACAAAUAUGCUAUGUGGGAAGAGGUCAGCAUAGCCAAGAGGAGCAGACUUGGGGAAAGAUCAGGAUGAGCUUGGAGUUUGUAAUCAUCCCCUGCGUGGGAUUGCUUUAUUUGUACUUUGUCUUGUAAUUUAUUUUCCGAACUCUUUUCCCCGAUUUUUAUGUUUGUCAAACUAUUUUUUGAAUUGCUAUUAAUGAAAUAUUUUGGGGAUAAUGAAUUGGCUUAAAAAGACAUAUAUAUCCUUCAAUUCGCUAAGCCUACCCUUGGCACAAAAGGGUCACAUACAUGUUUAGGACGCGAUAUUUGUCUGUUUACUUGUGUGCUUUAACUGUUUAUGUGACAAGUUGCUUUGAAUGAGGGCAUUUUUAGCCCACUCCUUGUCAAAAUUUUCUGAAAAUGCCAAAUACAAGUCACUACCAAAAUGUCCGACCAAACUUCCACGAGUCUUGAGUUUCUCAGCCACAAAUAAAAUCUUACUACCAAAUCAUUAAAUGUUACUCUAUCAUCUCAGGAAAGGUGAAAUUGCUGCUAAGAUGGAAAAGGGCAAGAAUGUCGAAGUGAAAACGACUGAGGAGAGUCUAAGGAUGAAACUGCGUCGACUCAAACAAGAGAUUCGAGAGAUGGGAGAAAGAAGAAUAGAAGUAGAAUUAUCCACCGCAGUUGCGCAAGCCAAAAGCGCAGCACUGGACACAGAGUUAGCGGCUAAGAUGGCAAGAUAUGCUGUGAUGAACGAGGAGACAGUUGCUAUGCGGAAGGAACAUGCUGCCUUCAACAAUGAUAUAACCAUGAGACUUCAAAAACUACAUGGAAAAUACCAUUUCUUCAACCAAGAGGCCACCAACAGUGAUCCUAAAGGCACUGGACCUGAAUCUGUUGAAGAGGAACUUGAGGAGGAAAUUGUCUAUAGACCUCCUUUCAAGGGACGGUGGAAAGAAGAGAAUGAGGAAACAGCCCCCGAAGCAUAUGAGUUUACCCCCCGUGGCUAAAGUGAAUGAGGAAACCGCCCCCGAAGCAUAUGAGUUUACCCCCCGUGGCUAAUACGACAGUCAGAAGAAGAGGUUUUGAUGAAGGCACUAUCUAUCUUUUAGGAGCUUUAUUGCAUGUUUUCCUUUCACUUUCCUUGUAAUCAAUCAAAUGAAUGGACGAAAAUGAAAAUUUCCUUUUUAUUCGAACUACGUAGGCAGCCUUUCAAGGCUCGGCCCCUAUCCUUUUCAAAUUUUCUUUUCCCCCUCUUUCAUUCUACAAGGAAACAUUGAGUUCGGAUCCAACAGAUGCCGAAGAUGCAACAAGAAGACCUUAGCUCAACGCAAUUUAACCUUUCUGAGUNNNNNNNNNNNNNNNNNNNNNNNNNNNNNNNNNNNNNNNNNNNNNNNNNNNNNNNNNNNNNNNNNNNNNNNNNNNNNNNNNNNNNNNNNNNNNNNNNNNNNNNNNNNNNNNNNNNNNNNNNNNNNNNNNNNNNNNNNNNNNNNNNNNNNNNNNNNNNNNNNNNNNNNNNNNNNNNNNNNNNNNNNNNNNNNNNNNNNNNNNNNNNNNNNNNNNNNNNNNNNNNNNNNNNNNNNNNNNNNNNNNNNNNNNNNNNNNNNNNNNNNNNNNNNNNNNNNNNNNNNNNNNNNNNNNNNNNNNNNNNNNNNNNNNNNNNNNNNNNNNNNNNNNNNNNNNNNNNNNNNNNNNNNNNNNNNNNNNNNNNNNNNNNNNNNNNNNNNNNNNNNNNNNNNNNNNNNNNNNNNNNNNNNNNNNNNNNNNNNNNNNNNNNNNNNNNNNNNNNNNNNNNNNNNNNNNNNNNNNNNNNNNNNNNNNNNNNNNNNNNNNNNNNNNNNNNNNNNNNNNNNNNNNNNNNNGCAAACCACCAAACUGGCCUGCCCCCUCAAAGCCAAAAUGUUAACCACUAGCACAUUUCCUUCCAUCACCAAAAUCAACAUACCAACCCUCAGACUUUCCCUCAAAAUUACCAAGUCACUCAAAAUGCCCAAAGUCCCUCUAUUGCUCCACCACUACCACAAAAGGCCACUUUCCAAAUACCAGUCCCCAACGAGCAUGACCCCCAUGGUUCGGAGCUUGACCACUAUGAGGAGAGAGAGAGAGUGGAGGUCAAAAGAAGAGACCGCCAAGAUAGAUAUGAAGGAGGAAAUUAGAAAAGCCAUGAACGAAUUGAACUGCAUUCCUGAGGUCGCCGGGUUGAGUUACGAAGACCUGUGCAUUCAUCCAAAUUUUGGACCUCCCGAAAGGGUUCAAGGUACCAAAAUUUGACAUCUUCGGAGGGACGGGGAACCCCUUAGCACAUUUGAGGGCCUACUGUGACCAACUCGUGGGAGUUGGGAGAGACGAAGCUUUGUUAAUGCGGCUUUUUAGUCGAAGUCUGAGCGGAGAGGCUCUAGAAUGGUUUACGUCUCAUGAAACGAGACAGUGGUCUAGCUGGAACGCUCUGGCUAAGGACUUGAUCGAACGAUUCACCUACAAUGUGGAGAUCGUUCCUAAUCGUUACUCCUUGGAGAAGAUGAAGCAUAAGUCGAUCGAAAGUUAUAGAGAAUUCGCAUAUAUGUGGCGAAAGGAGGCAGCUAGAGUUAGACCUCCUAUGUCAGAAAAGGAAAUUGUCGAGGUGUUUGUGCGGGUGCAAGAGCCCGAGUAUUAUGACAGAAUCAUGUUGCUCGUUGGAGCAAAAUUUGCUGAGAUAGUCAAAGUAGGUGAGACUAUCGAAGAUGGAUUGAGAACUGGGAAGAUUGCCCGUGUUGCUGCCUCGCCCGGAUCCUCAGGCUUGUUGAAGAAGAAAAGAGAUGAUGUGUCAUCUAUCUCUUAUGAGGGGAAGAAGACCCCAAGGAAAUCAUCAUCAUAACAAGGUCGUUCUCGACCUUCACAGAGUUCGUACCCGGCUUGUUAUGCCCAGGCUGAUUACCAAAAUACCCCUCCCCCCAGUAAUCAAAAUACCCCUCAUCCCAGUUAUCAAAAUACUCCCCCUCCUAGCUACCAAACUCCCCCUCCAGUUAUCAAACUCCAUCUCAUUACUACCAAAAUGCCGCCUCCAACUGUGCCAACAUUCAGACAAAUUACCAAACGCCUCCCCCAAUGUACCAAACCCCAGCUCCACUUUACCAAAAAUAUCCCCUCGAACUACCAAGCUCCACAACCAAACUACCAAACCAACUCAUAUCCCAGAUAUCAAGCCCCCCGUCUGAAUGCUCCAAAUUAUUGCCAAAUGCCUCCCCCUCAACAAGGAAAUUACGAUCCCUCCCGUCCCAGAUUUGAAAAAAAGCCUGCCAGAAUUUUCACUCCACUUAUUGAAAGCCGAACAAAGCUGUUCGAGCGAUUAACUGCGGCAGAAUAUAUUCAUCUAGUAGGGCCCAAAACGGUUGACACUAGCUCAAAGUUUUACAGACCUGAUCAGAGGUGCACGUAUCACUCCAACAGUGUUGGACAUGAUACUGAGGACUGUAUCAACCUGAAGCAUAAGAUCCAAGAGUUAAUUGACCAAAAUGUGGUCUCUAUUCAGACGGUCGCGCCCAAUGUCAAUAGUAAUCCUUUGCCAAAUCAUGGAGGCGCCACUAUCAAUAUGAUAGAGACAGAUGAUGACUGGUGCAUGACGAAGGCAAUAGUUCUGAUUUCCCCUGAUGAACUGGAAAGGGCUGUAGCUUCGUUGAGCAUCAGAGAAAAGAAAGAGUUUGUGAUUCUGACACCCGAGAAGGUUGUUGCCUUGGUGCCACGAGAAAACUCUUACCCCAACCAAAAGUUUGUGAUUGAAAACGGCUGUUACCCAGGGUAUGACCAUAUCCGGCAGGUGCUACACACCGGAAGAGUUAGCUCAAUGAGGGCAGAAGAAAGACCAAACAAAAAGGCCGAUCAGUAAAGCCAAGGCCGAGGAGUUAUGGAGAAAAAUGUAGCUGAAAGAUUAUUUUAUUGUGAAGCAUUUGGAGAAAACGCCGGCUCAGAUCUCUGUGUGGGCCUUGUUAAUGAGUUCGCAGUUACAUAGGCAGGCUCUGAUGAGAGCUUUGGAUGAUACUUAUGUGCCUGUGGGUACUAACAGUGACAAUUUAGCACGUCAUCCAAGGAAGAGUUGCCCUUUGAAGGGAGGAUGCACAACAAAGCUCUGCACAUCACCAUCAAAUGCCGGGACAAAGUUAUAAAUCGUGUUUUGGUCGACGAUAGGUCCGGUCUCAACAUUUGCUCGCUUUCGACUCUCAAGCAGCUGAAAUUCGACUUGGGAAAGGUUCAACGAAACCAGGUCAAUGUAAGAGCUUUCGAUGGAGUGCAGAGAGACACUAUAGGGGCAGUAAAUUUGGAUAUUCAGAUGGGGCCUGCAGAAUUUAAUGUGGAGUUUCAGGUGUUGGACAUCAAUACCAGCUACAAUUUGCUUCUAGGAAGACCGUUUAUCCACAUGGCUGGGGUUGUGCCUUCCACCCUUCACCAAUUGAUGAAAUUUGUUUGGAAGGAUCAGGAAUUCAUGGUGAGGGGAGUCCCUUUGAUGGGUAUGCGUCGAUUGUUCACAAGGUUUCCCGAGGUUGUGAUUUCUACACGGUGGAGCUGUUAAAUACCACCGGUGAUGAUUUGGCUCCGCAACCUCUUAUGCCCUCCGUGUACAAGAUGAAUGCUACUGUCAUGCUCAAGAGUGGUUUCGAACCAGGUCUCAGAUUGGGGAAGCACUUUCAAGGAAUUGUUGAGCCUGUCCAAAUUCUGGCCAAAGGAGCAAAGUUCGGUUUGGGGUAUGUCCCCACAGAUGCUGACGAAGCAGAGAUGAAGAACAAGAGUGUUGAUCAAGCAUUGGCUAGGCCAAUUCCUCAUCUGUACCAGUCAUUCCCGGUGCGGGAGCACGCCAACGAUGGUGGUCUCGGAGAAGGAAUCUGGGGCCUUUUUUAGGAGAUUGAUGCGGUUAUUGAGGAAGAGGCUGGGACAUCAGGCAUCCGUGAUGCAGAACCUGAUGAACAAUUGCAGAACUGGACCUCCACACCACUCUUGAUUUCCUGCUCAUCUGAGUAGAAAGGACGAGCAUUUUGUUUGUUUUAAAAUCGGUGGCAGUCCGGAAGAGGCCCGACACCCACCCUUUAUGCAAUUGUUAUUUGUUUGAAACUUUUAAAUUCAUUUGUGAUGUUUAAAAAGGCAAAAUGGCCCUCGGCCAUGGUCAAAGUUUGCGCUUGUCUUUCAAUUUAAAUGAAAAACCUCUUUUAUCGAAAUGUGUUUGUUUACUUAUCUGUUUAUAUUUUACUGUCCUAACUUUGUUUGUUUAUGAUUUCAGUAAUAUUAAUUUAAAACCUGCCAAUGUCAUGUCAUGUCAUGAACCGAGUGAACAAAAUGAGACAUGUGAUGAUGAGUGUGGGGAAUAUGAAGAAGAAAAUGAGGUACCCGAACAUGUUGCUGAGGAGUUUCGACAAUUCGAGAAUCAACACAAACCAAAUUUGGAAGAAACCGAAACUGUGAAUCUCGGAGAUAAAGAAUGUGUUAAAGAAGUCAGAAUCAGCGUCCAUCUGACUGAAGCUCAAAGAAAGGACUUGGUUCGUUUGCUCAGGGAGUACAUUGAUGUAUUUGCCUGGUCUUAUAAAGACAUGCCAGGACUGAGUACAAAUAUGGUGUCCCACAAGUUAAGUUGUCGAUCAAUCCAGAUUUCAGUCCAGUAAAACAAAAGACUCAAAAAUUCAAGCUUUAGUUGAGUUUGAAGAUCAAAGAGGAAAUUACAAAACAAAUCGAGUCUCAAAUAGUGGAAGUGACGUAAUAUCCGACUUGGUUAGCCAAUGUUGUUCCGGUUGCGAAGAAAGACGGAAAAAUUAGAAUUUGUGUUGACUACAGAGAUCUCAACAAAGCUAGCCCGAAAGAUAAUUUUCCAUUGCCAAACAUUCACAUCCUCAUUUAUAACUGCGCUAAGCAUGAAAUACAGUCAGUUGUGGAUUGUUAUGCGGGUUACCACCAGAUCCUGAUGGACGAAGAAGAUGCAGAAAAGAUAGUUUUUAACACGCCUUGGGGUGUAUAUCAUUAUCGGGUGAUGCCUUUUGGUCUCAAGAAUGCCGAUGCUACUUACAUGAGGGCCAUGACGACCAUCUUUCACGAUAUGAUUCAUAAGGAGAUCGAGGUGUAUGUAGAUGAUGUCAUAAUCAAGUCCCGCGAGAGUUCGGAUCACUUGACUCACUUGAGGAAGUUCUUUGAUCGCUUGCGCCGAUACAAUUUGAAGUUAAAUCCCGCCAAGUGUGCUUUUGGAGUGCGAGCUGGCAAGUUGUUGGGAUUUAUAGCCAGCAGGAGGGUCAUUGAGCUUGACCUUUCCAAAAUCAAGGCGAUCCAAGAAUUACCUUCUCCAAAGACCAAGAAAGAGGUGAUGAGUUUUCUGGGAAGGUUGAACUACAUUAGUCGGUUCAUAGCUCAAUCCACCGUGGUGUGUGAGCCCAUCUUUAAGUUAUUGAAAAAGAUGCCUCAACCAAGUGAACCGGAGAAUGUCAAACUGCUUUUGAUGCCAUCAAAAACUAUUUAUCCAAUCCACCGGUGUUGGUCCCUCCGCGAGAAGGGAGUUCGUUAUUGCUAUAUUUGUCGGUCUUGGAUAAUGCAUUGGGAUGCGUGCUUGGUCAACAUGAUGAAACAGGGAAGAAGGAGCGAGCCAUUUAUUACUUGAGCAAAAAGUUCGCUCCAUAUGAGGCUCGUUACACUCUUUUGGAGAGAACAUGUUGUGCUUUAACUUGGAUCGCUCAGAAGUUGAGACAUCAUUUGUCUUCUUAUACCACGUACCUUAUUUCCAGGAUGGACCCGUUGAAGUAUAUUUUCCAGAAAGCAAUGCCGACAGGGAAGUUGGCUAAAUGGCAAAUGCUUUUGAGUGAGUUUGACAUUGUGUAUGUGACUCAAAAGGCGAUAAAAGCACAAGCCUUGGCUGAUCAUCUUGCAGAGAAUCCGGUUGAUGAAGAGUAUGAACCGCUCCAGACUUAUUUUCCCGAUGAGGAAGUUUCGUUUGUUGGUGAAAAUAUUUCUGAAGCAUACCCUGGUUGGAGAGUAUUCUUUAAUGGAGCGACGAAUCACCAAGGGAAAGGUAUCGGAGCGGUCUUAGUAUCAGAAUCCGGUCAGCAUUAUCCUAUGGAGGCUAAACUCCGAUUUAAUUGCACGAACAACAUGGCUGAGUAUGAAGCUUGCAUCCUCGGUCUGAAGAUGGCAAUUGAUAUGAACGUUCAUGAGCUGUUGGUUAUUGGAGAUUCAGAUUUGCUAAUUCAUCAAGUUCAAGGAGAAUGGGCCGUGAAGAACCCAAAAAUCAUACCGUAUGUUCAGUAUAUACAGAAGUUGUGCAAGAGAUUUCGCAAGAUUGAAUUCAGGCACACUCCCAGGACACAGAAUGAGUUGGCCGAUGCUCUUGCAGACACAAAAUGAAUUGGCUGAUGCUCUUGCCACAAUCGCCUCAAUGAUUAAACAUCCAGAUACAAGUUAUAUUGAUCUAGUGGAUAUAGAGGUAAAAGAGCAGCCUGUCCAUUGUUCGCAUGUUGUAGCGGAACCAGAUGGUCUGCCUUAGUAUUUUGACAUCAAGAAGUAUUUAGAGGACGGGACUUAUCCUGAGAAUGCAAUGUUCAACCAAAAGAAGUCGAUACGCCGCAUGGCCCUUAAUUUCUUUGCAAGUGGGGAAAUCCUUUACAGGAGGACUCCAGAUUUAGGUCUUCUCAGAUGCGUUGACGCUAAUGAAGCUGCAAAGCUUCUGGACCAGAUACAUACCGGAGUUUGUGGUACUCAUAUGAAUGGGCUCACUUUGACAAGAAAGAUCCUCCGAGCCGAUUAUUUUUGGAUGACUAUGGAGCAUGAUUGUGGCAAGUUUGUGCAGAAGUGUCAUAAAUGUCAAGUGCAUAGAGAUUUGAUUCGAGUGCCACCUCAUGAACUUAAUGCCAUGAGUUCACCUUGGCCCUUUGUAGCUUGGGGCAUGGAUGUCAUCGGUCCGAUAGAGCCAGCCGCCUCUAACGGACACAGAUUCAUUUUGGUUGCCAUUGACUACUUCACCAAGUGGGUGGAAGCAGCUUCGUAUAAAUCGGUGACCAAGAAGGUUGUAGCUGAUUUUGUUCGCAACAAUUUGAUAUGUAGGUUNNNNNNNNNNNNNNNNNNNNNNNNNNNNNNNNNNNNNNNNNNNNNNNNNNNNNNNNNNNNNNNNNNNNNNNNNNNNNNNNNNNNNNNNNNNNNNNNNNNNNNNNNNNNNNNNNNNNNNNNNNNNNNNNNNNNNNNNNNNNNNNNNNNNNNNNNNNNNNNNNNNNNNNNNNNNNNNNNNNNNNNNNNNNNNNNNNNNNNNNNNNNNNNNNNNNNNNNNNNNNNNNNNNNNNNNNNNNNNNNNNUUGUAUGGGUUCGCAAGCGGAUUGAUCAGUUAACAUUGAUUGAUGAGAAGAGAAUGAUUGCUGUUUGUCAUGGACAACUAUAUGGACAGAGAAUGAUUCGUGCUUUCCACAAGAAAGUAAGAGCCAGGAUAUUUGAAAUUGGCCAGCUGGUCCUUAAACGCAUUUUCCCUCAUCAGGAUGAGUACAAAGGGAAAUUUGCACCAAAUUGACAAGGACCCUACAUGGUUCGCAAAGAAUUAUCUGGAGGUGCCUUGGUCCUGUCGAAGAUGGAUGGCACCGAAUGGAUGAAACCGAUCAAUUCAGAUGUUGUCAAGAGACAUUAUGUGUGAAGUAUCAGUUUGUAUCAUUUCUUUGUAAUCGUUUUAUUUGCUUGUAAUCGCCUCGUUUAAAAUUUUAUCCCUUUUGUAAUGAACUACGUCUGACCUGAAUUCUCAAGAAGGAGAUACGUAGGCGGCCUCGGUCACCCCUUUUAUUCCUUUUUAAUUUUUCUUCGUAUUUGAACUACGUUCGACCUGAAUUCUCAAGAAUGAGAUACGUAGGCGGCCUAUGUCGGCCUCGGUCGGGUUUUUUUGUAAUUUUUCUUAUCUUUGAUAAUCAUUGAGAGGGAACUACGUUUGACCUGAUUCCUGCCUCAACGGGAUACGUAGGCACCACAAGAGCUCGGUCAUAUUUCCCAUAAGAUUUCUAUUUCCUUCACAAUAGAAACUGGGACAGAAUUUUUGAGAGGGACUCAAAAAGUCUCAAGAAGAAGAUCUCUCCAACAAAACCAAGAUUGAACUUACUUCGAGAUUUGCAACUGGGACAGAAUUUUUGAGAAAAUCUAAAAAAUUCCGUAAUUUACUUGCCAACAGUUCGAGAUAAGCCAAGACAAAUAGCUGGGACAGAAAUUUUGAGGAUGGCCUCAAAAUUUCAACAGGGUUUAUCGGCAGUUUAGAGUAACUUUGAAUACUUCCUAACAAGUAAUCAGAUAGAUAUCGAAACAUCAACUCCCAAUGACAUUCGUUAAGCUUGACGUGACAUGACACUUGGCAGUGAUCUUUUCCAAACAUUAUUUUUGAAAUGUCUUGUCUUAUCUAUCAAUUAUUUUGCACAAAAAUGUCUUGUCUUAUCUAUCAAGAGACGGGAGAUCAGAGAAAUCAACAGGAGAUAGCGAGACAAGGAGCAGACAACCGAAGAGAUCAACACAGAUCAAUUCAUUUUUAAACUAACAAUUUUUUCUGUGGAUGCAGGUCUAUAGGAAAUAGAUUAUGCUGCUUAUAUCAAAGAUUUUGAAAUAUGAAUAACAUUAUUUCAUCCAAUUCCCUACAAAGCGAAGUCCAUAAUGAACAUGCAAUUAUGUUCGGAGAUGGGACAAAAGAAAACCUUAAAGAGAGAAAUAUUAUUAUUUUCCAGCAACUAAAGAUACCUGGAAGAUAUUUAUCUACAUUACAUUAUCAGAUAUGAUAAUAUUCUUACCCUGAAGGUUAUUUAUUUAUAUUGUCGAUUGAGACGAUAUCACUACCCGGAGAGUCAUUUAUAUCGUAUCGUCAAAUGAGAUGAUACCACUACUCCGAGGGUCAUUUCCUUUAUAUUGUCGAUUGAGACGAUAUCACUAUCCGGAGAGUCAUUUAUAUCGUAUUGUCUAAUGAGAUGAUACCACUACUCCAAGAGUCAUUUGAUUAUAUUGUCAAUUGAGACGAUACCGUCAUCCAAAAGAUACCCAGAAGAUCACUCAAGUUGCUCGAUGAAGCAUUAUCUUCGUUCUGUAUCAGGGAGGCAUCAUCAAAAGAUUCAUGCAUCGCGGAAAAGAUAUUCACACAUUGUGAGAAAAGAGAUUCAUGCACCGCAAGAGAAAAAGUCAUGCAUCGCGAGAAAGAGAUUCAUGCAUAGCAAGAGAAGGAUUAAUGCAUCGCGGAAACGAAAUCAUGCAUCGCGGAGAAGUUAUCAUACAUUGCAAGAGGAGAAGUCAUACAUAGCAAAAAAAGAGAUUCAUGCAUUACAAAAGAAUGAAGCUCAUGCAUCGCAAAAGAAAGAAAGCAUGCAUUGCAAGAGAAAGAAGUCAUGCACCGUGGAGAAGUCAUGCAUAGCAAGAGAAAGAAGUCAUGCAUCGCGGAGAAGUCAUGCAUUGUAAGAGAAGAUUCAUGCAUCGCAAGUGAAGAUUCAUGCAUCGCAAAAAGAGAUUCAUACAUCGCGGAAAAAGGAUUCAUGCAUUGCAAGAGAAGAUUCAUGCAGCGCGAAAAGAGAUUCAUACAUCGCGGGAAAGAGAUUCACUAAGAUUCGCCUAUCAAAAGAAGAUCGACAUCGGCUGCAUCAUUUUCUUGCAACAACGACACCAAAAGAACUAUCAACAUAUUACAUCAGCCUAUUUUUAUUACUUUGACAUCAAAUUAAGAGUACAUUGAAGAUUAUAUUGCAAAUAUGAGACACAAGCUUUAUUUGCUUCACGUCAAACCCGAUGGAGUUGACGUCAAAUGUUCAAGGAGAACAAUUAAGUGUCAACACGGUAAAAGACAUUGUCUCCCAUUUGAAUUACAUUUUUAUGCUAAUGAGUUUUAUCUCAGUCUUUGCCGAGAGCAUCCGAAAGGAUGAGUCUCCAAAACAAACCACAGGUGCGGACGACAUCAAAAUGGAUGCAGCACAACGUGGAACUUUUUUUAGCAGCGAACUGGGACAUAGUCCAAAAAGGAGUGUCAAACUCUUAGGACGCGAGCAGAGGAGCGACUUCCACCACAAUCAAACCACACCCCUAUCAGAAGGCAUGUGGGUUUUUCUUAGGUUUGUCAAUUUCAGUUUCGCUUUCGGAAAUUUUUUGGUCUCUACCGGAAGCAGCUUUCCAAUCCGAGUGACAAAUGUGCCAAGAGCUUUGGGAAUUAUGUCCGUGUAAGUUCUUAAUUAUGGGUGUGAAGCGCGCCACAUUCAUGGCUAAGAGGUUGCAAGCCUCUUUUUCAUACUCGACUUGCUUUGUCACUUUUCCGGAACCAAAUGUUAUCUUGCAUAAUAGAUUUCAUUUUCAACCGAUAGAGUCGAACUACAAGCAGCCUGGUUCCCUAAGUUGAGGGAUAUGUAGGCGGAAUCAAUGUUGAAACUCGGCUGUAUUCCAUCAUUUGCUCUUAAAUCUUAUUCUCAAGCAUUUCGGUCUCUUCAUAAUCCAAUAUCGGGAUGACUUUUGGAUUCUUUCAAAUCGCGCGUUAAAUCAAGAGUAUUGAACUACAAGUGGCCUGAAUUCUCAUGUAGCCCGAGAUAAGUAGGAAACCCAUUUCCAAGGUUCGUCCAUAAUUCUUUAAGUCCAUACCAAAAUCCCUUUUUCAGAAAAGAUGAAGAUGUGGUCGGUCAAAAAUUGGAUUAGUCAAUUUCAUUUCCUCGAAUUCUUGAAUCAAUCCGAGUAAAACGAGGGACAGUUGUUGACACCUAAUUUUGACCCUCCCCGAUAAGAUUAAAUUUUCAAUGAUUUGGAAUAAUUAGUUUUACAAAACUCAAAAAAAUCAAUAAAUUAUUUUCUAAGUUUUAAAGCAAUUUUAGUCAUUUUUAUAAUUUUAAAACAAUAUAAUAUUUUUAUAUAAAUUUUGUAUGUAAUUGUUACAUUUCUUACGAGAAUUCAAAAAUCAUUUAAAAAAAAAUCUUACUUUUUAAAAAUGUUUUUGAUAAUUAGCUCACUUAAUAUUAGUUUAUAUUCCCGAAUUAGUUAUUUUUAUCUCGUUAAGAUUGAGAAGCUCGUAAAUCAAUUGUAUUAAUUCAUCUUAUUUGACUACUAGCCGAGUCUAUCCUAAUUAACUAAGGUCGGCUAUAUUUUAAAUUUUCAAUUUGCUAUGAUUUAGACUCAUAUGGCCGAACUUUAAAUCCAACUCUAUCAUAUUCAAUUUAAAAGACCAAAUAUUGGACCCCUUUUUAUAUUCCCAUUUAAUCUCAACCCAAGUUCCCCUUUAUUCCCAGCAACCCACCAAAUAAAAUCCAGCCCAACUAUUUUCUCUUUUGUUUUCAGAUCACCUAGCCCACUCCAUCUCCUUAACCCGACUUGACUCGACCCAUUUCCCCUAUUCCCCUUCACAAAAAAAAUCCAGAAAGUUGUACACGUUAACAGCAACAAGAACAGCUUCAAACGCUCACAGGGAUCGACAGAGCCAUUAAGGCUCGAUUGUAGCAGCGAAGCACGCGUCUACCCUCCUUUCCUCUUCCGGAAAGAGUCAAAAUUACAGGAAAAAGGGUGUUUCCCUUAAAUGGUGAAAUAAUUUUUGAGUUUGAAAUUCAAGUUGGCCCUAAUUCCAUCCGGAUUCCCCCCAAAAUCUACCCUAAUUUCCUCUAUAUAACAUCUUUUCCAUUCAUUUGUAAGGGAGUCGUCGAAUUUUUCCUUGAACAAAAAAAAAAAAAACCUAAACAGCUAGAGCAAAAAUAGUCGAAAUACACACUAAAUAAAUUAAGAGAGUAGAGAAGAUAUUCGGUCCUAAUCUAAAGUUCUCUAUUCUAAUUCGUUGCCAGUGCUUUCGCAAAGCUCAGUUGAGGUUGAGUUUUCGCUUGAGUCCACUGCUUUUUCCUUGUUCGUGCCGGGCAUUUGCGUGAAAGUCGUUGCUCCCUACUCGUUCCCGUCUCUGUUUCGCUGCCUCGAAAAAGGUAUACGGCUUGCCUCUUCUCACAGUCUAUGUCCUAAUUUGGAUUUGUAUUUGUUUGUUUAGUUAGUUACGUUGUUCUGGGUUUGACCAUUUUGAUGUGAAGUGUUGCUUCAUGUUCAUGCAGUAUUAAUUACAUUUAGCUGUUCUCAUGAUGAAAUUAGGCAGAAUCGAUGUCGAUUUUUUAGUCAUAAAAUUUUGUCUACAUAAUCUUGAAUAUUGCACCCUCAUCGCUUACUCAGUUCACUCUUUCGUUGUUUAUCAUGCUUGUCACCCGCUUGGAUGCUCAUUAUUACAAUUGGUUCCUAUUGUUGUAAACAUAAUUUCAUGUUUAUACCACUGAUUCACAGAAAUAUUAGAAGUACUCCUCAAGCAUGCGAUUAGCUCAAAUCCUCUGUGUCUUAUCACCUAUAUGUCUUAUUAGCAUUUUCUUUUGUCCUAAUGCUCAUAUUUGCAAGUCAAGUCGGUAUAAAAUCCGAGCUUUCUUGUUUUAUUUUCUGUUUUAGUUUUAUUGGAGUUAUAGUGUUCAAGGUCAUUUGAAGUGUGAUUUUGUUGGUGUUGACUUCUCGUUGUAUGUCUUGCCGAAUACUCGGCCCCCCUAUGUAUUCCCUUGGUUUUGAUGUAUCGUGUUUAUAGCUUCCGUUUUGAAGCAAAUAAGGUCCAUUUAUGUUUGAUGGCUUUCUAGUAAUGUGUAAAACCGAGAUCCCGUAAACCAUUGUGUGAAGUUGUGUUGUUGUUAAGUUUAUUUAUUUCUUCUAGUCGGAUGUAGAUUCUUGUCUAAUCUAUUUCUUGCCUCACUGUAGGUUAUUAAGUAUUCAAUUAAUAAUAGCAAAUAGCUCAUAUGGGUUUGAAUAUUCCGUACAUUUUAUUAUAUUUCAAACAUGCUAUAUUAUGGGAUGUUAUUUGAUAUACCUUGCUAAUAUUUGUCUAAAUAUUUCCUUUAGAAUGAUUAGAUGUGAGGUGUCUUUCUAGUAUGAUAGAUAGGGGUACUACUUUAUUGUUUAAUUUUAAAAAAAAUGUGGUUUCCUCUUGCCAAAUGUGUGCUUUCCUUUCAUUUUUGAAUCUUGUGUUUAUUUGAAAAUUUGUCAAAGUUCAUUGGGAGUGGCUUUUUCUUUCGUUUUGAGUUGUCUAGUUUGCUUUGCUAUGAAUUAAAAUCAUAUUUCUUAUUUCCUUAUCUCAUAUGCUAAUGUUGUCUUUUCUUUCGUAUGUUGGAUUGUCUCCGAGUCCUCUUGGACCCCAACCUUUUCCCCCAUAUUCCGGAUAGGCCAUAAAGGCCCAAUUACAUUUUUUUCGAUCGAGUCAACCCCCAUUUCCGAGUGAGAGAAAUUGAUGAACAGGUGGAAAGCAAUAUAGGUGGCUGGAAAUUUAAUUUGCAGGCCUCAAAAGCCCAAAAGAGGGCAGUAUACACGAUGUAUACACAAGUAUACAUAGAAAGAACAGCGAUAUACAAGUCUGAAAUGACGAUACAGGUGCUGGAAAUUUGAAGUGGACUAUCUAUAUUUGAUAUACGGUCCGAUAUACACAAAAAUGGAUCGAAAUGCGGCCUAUAUACAUCGAUAUACGCCUUUGGUAUACACAACUCUUUGGGGCGAAAAUGUCCUUAAGUCCAAUAGAUUUGGCCCAAAUUUGGGCAUCCUCUUAUUAUUGCCAUUAUUUAUUUAUUUAUUCUCUAACCCAUUUUAUGUGAUUUGGUUAUUUAACUUAAUUAAUCCCCUAAGGAUGAACCACUUUUGAUUAUGAUAACUUAUUUCGUCUUAUUUAAUUAGUUUUCUUUACUUGACCAUUUUGAAAAAGUUUACUUUUCUUUCUAAAUGAUUUCAAAACAUUUAAGUUGAAUGAAUUAUUUUUACAUCCUUUCUUCUCGAAUUAAUCUUCAAAGUUAGUUGCAAAGUCUAUUUUUUCCCCGAGUUUUGGGCAAAGCCCGAGUUCAAAUUUUCUCCUUUCUCCUGUUACAGUUUUGGGCAAAAGCCCGAGUUCAAAUUUUCUCCUUUCUCCUGUUACAUUUAUUUGUUAUUUUAGUGACUAACUCUUUAUAUGAAUUGGUUUCAACUUAAUUAAUUUCCAAAGGUAGUCGUUUCUCUUUAUAUUCAAAAGUUAAAAUAUUUAUUCUUUCUUAUACAUACAAUUUAUUUGUUACUCAGUUCUAUUUUAGCUUUGUCGAUAGUUAAGUUACCCCCCCCCUUUUAGAAAUUUCCCCUUUAGUUCAUUUCCCCUUAGAUAAAUAAAAAAUGAUAAAAAUAAUAAUAGUAAUAAAUAAGUAGGUUAAAAUAAAUGAGCUUUUACUUAGUUAAAAUUUCCCAAAUUAGUUAAAAUAGAGUUCUUUUAUUUAGUUAAAAUUUCAAAAUUAGUUAAAAUAAAUGAGUUUUUACUUAGUUAAAAUUUCCAAAAUUAGUUAAAAUAAACGAGUUCUUUUAUUUAGUUGAAAUUUCAAAACUUAGUUAAAAUAAAUGAGUUCUUUUACCUAGUUAAAAUUUGAAAAUUAGUCAAAGUCGUUAUGAGUUUUUUUACUUAGUUAAAAUUUCAAAAUUAGUCAAAAUCAUUUUGGUCAAAUCGCCGGUCUACCGCGAGUUUGUGGGCAUUCCGAGGGCCUAAGACCUUCUCGGAAUGUACAUUGAACUUCGAACCCUUUUAUUUUCAAUGGAUUUUAUCUAUUUAAAUCUUUUGAAAACCUUUAACUUUUUCUUGAUUUUUUACUAAAAAUUAUGUGGCGACUCUGUUCUUUUGGAAAUUUGAUUUCUCUUAAACUAUAAGUUUAAUCGAUUUUUUGAAAACUCAGUCAUUUUCCUUGUAUAUAUCUUUUUUAAGUAAAACAAUGUAGGCGGGAUCAAUGUUGAAAACUUGGCUGUAUUCCAAUAUGCACUCUUAAAUCUUAUUUCCAAGCAUUUCGGUCUCUUCAUAAUUCGAUAUCGGGAUGACUUUUUAGUUCUUUCAAAAUCGUAUGUCAAAUCAAGCAUGUCGAACUACAAGUGGCCUAAAUUCUCAUAUAGCCUGAAAUAUGUAGGAAACCCAUUUCCGAGAUUCGGACAUAAUUCCUAAAGUCCGUACCAAAAUCCCUUUCCUAAGGAUGAAGAUGUGGUCGGUCAAAAUUGGAUUUGUCAAUUUCAUUUGCCUUGAAUUUCUUUCAUCAAUCCAAGUCAAACGAGUGACAGUUGUUGACACCCAAUUUUGGAUCUCCACAAUAUAUAUUAAUCACCGAGCUUCUUAAAUUCCAAACGAUUUGAAAUAAUUAGUUUUUAUAAAGUUUAAAAUAUUUUUUUCAAGUUACUUUUAAUCAAUUUUAUAUUUUUAUAACUUUUAGAUUAUAUAUAUGUUUUACAUAAUUAUGUGUAUAAUUAGUACAUUUUAUGAAUAUUCGAAAAUCGCCUCAAUUUUUUUUUUAAGUUUUACUUAAAUAGUUGGUUAAUUGGUUUAGUUAAUUAAUACUUAUAUUUUUGAGUUAUUAGUUUAUAAUUAAGUUAAUUAUGUUAUUUCGUUAGGAUUAAGAAGCUAACUAAUUAAUCAUAUUAAUUUAUCUUAUUUAAUUAUUAGCCGGGUUUACUAAAUUUGAUUAAUUUGGCUACAAAUGAAAUUCAUAUGGCUAUUGUGUAAUUGCAAUUUCAGCCAUUCUUUUACCUCCAUUCAAUCUUUUGUAAAAUAAUUUGGGCCAUUUUUCUAACAUCCCAAAAGUCAGAUUAGCUGACCUCAUUCCUAGCCCAUAUUACUAUACAACAAUUCUAAAAUAACCCAGGCCCAACACUAAUACAAUACCAGUAGCCCACCAUUCCAGCAAUACAUAUUACAUAUGUUACAGCAACAGCGUACAAUAAUACCAAACCGACCCACCCCUGUACAUUUUCUUCUUCUUCCAGCAAAACAGUGACCAAACCCAGAACCUCAAAUCGCGACCCAAAGCCAUCACAAAAUCCAGUGACCCGAGUCUAGCACGCGCGUCUGUCUCCCUCUCUCCCUUAUCCUCUCCGUACGAGAAUAAUCCAGGUGUCCCCAUCUCCUUGAUUACAACUUUCAACCUUAUCCUGAAAGGAAUUCGAAUUUUGAAUUUUGAAUUUUGAAUUCACCCAAAAUUCCUCACUCGUUUUCCCCCCAUUUCAGCUUGUUCUCCUCUAUAAAAGCCAAUUUAUUCUUCAUUAAGAGGGACGGGCAAAAAAUUUUACAACGUAUGGGAGAACAGUGAGAAAAAAAUAUAAGAAAGGAGUCGCAAUUUACAAAGUAUAGACAACUUAUAUUAGAGCAAGAUGAUAAGGAAAUAAAAUGGAUAUAAACAAGGCAUUUUGAGAUAGGUUGCGAGAUUGGGAGUAUUUGGAGCCAUACUUCCUCGGUUUUACCUCUUGCGAGUUUGGUGUAGUCUAUUUGUAGUCGUGGAAAGCUCUUUAGCUCGUUUUGUCUCAGUUCGCUGCCACAAAUAAGGUAACAUUCCUUCCCUUAUUCUCUUUUGCUACAGUUCUAUUUUUCAUAUGAUAAGAAAUGCAUAUUUCAGUGAUUUUCAUUUUUGUUUUCUUAUGUGCAUUUAGCCUAUCUCUCGUUUCUUUAGCUUCUGAGUUUCAGAGUUAUUCUCAGGUUUCUGUAUGUUUAAAUUUUACUCCAAUCACAAAUCUUUAGUAUAAAUCAACCUUCUAUUGUUUAUUCCGUUCUAAAUGAAUUGUUAUCGCUUUAGCGGUUUAUUUUAAACUCUGUUGUUGAUAAGAUAGCCUCAUGUUUCUUGUUUCAAACUUGCGGUAUCUUGACUCUAGUAUAAUUUCUGAUUUCUUAGAUUAUGAUUUUUGGUGUUGGACUGCUGGAUUCAUUCUGGAAUACUCAAUAGAUGUAGUCUUAUGUUCAAGUUUAGAUGUUCAACCUAUCGAAUUGAGCUCAUAAUGUUGUUGCUUGUUUGAAUGACUUAAGAUGUAUGCUGAUUUCCUCUCUUGUUGGCUUAAUCUGAAAUUCCCUCAUGUCCAUUUAAUUCAACCCCCUAUUUACUGUAGCAUCGUAAUUAUUUUUCUCUUCAUUGGCUAAAAUCUGGUUGCGAAUUGUUGAGAUCUAAGUUUAAAUUUCAGGUUCUAGUUUGUUUAAAGUUCAUGAAUGUUUUAAGUCUCGUGUUUACCUUAGUUUCUACUCGUCUACCCACCUAUUCUGUUUUGAUUCGUACCACCCUGUUCUGAAUUUAUUUGGUAUUCGUUUAGUCUAGUUUAGCUUCGAAUUUUGUCACCUGAAUCAAGUCCUGCCUUGUUGUUCAUUUGGAGCUUUACUUUCUUACAUUAAGCCCAUGUAAGCGUGGUUAAUUGUUAAGCAUAUGUCCAGCAUGUUUCCAUCUUUUUUUUCUUCGCCUGGUUGAAUUAGUAUGAUAAUAUGCCCUCACUGUUUUCCCUAUCUAAAUUAAGCUUGUUUUGAGUGCAUUUUGCCAUCAAUGUUGUUAGUUACCGUCUCCAGGGGGUAUGUUUAUUUCAUUUCCUUUGGGUCUGAUUUGGUGGUCUUUCCUAAUAUGCUGUAGUAGCAUUGGUUCAUUGAUAUAAAACUAUAUUCAUUGUUAAAGUGACUAGGUUAGGGUAGCUUCAAAUUCAUUUGGUUAUGUGAGAUUAGAAUGUUUCAUUUAAUAUCAUUCGGAAUAGAUGAAUUAUAGGAUAACAACUUCGAUAUUAACAGUGGAAUAUUAUAUUGCGCAGUAUUUUAUAGCAUCGUCCUUUUUUAUUUAUCAUUUUGAACUUUUAUUAACUUACUUACAUCCAUUUCUUUUGCAUGUGAAUUUGCCCAAGUCUUCACGGACUCUAUCUUUGCAUUUCAAAGGGGCCACGAAUCCCCCCAAAAUUCCUUUUUCGAGUCGGCCAACAUGAAAAAUCGAAGUGCAGGUCCUUGACAUUGACGUACAGGUGUUUGGAGCGAAUCAAAGUGCUGGAUACACACAAUAUACAGCGAUAUACAUCAGUCGUAUACACUAAAUAUUGCAUUGAAAAUGGGCUAAAAGAGCCCUAAAUUUUCAGCUUUGUAUUUUGUUACUUUUGGGCCUAAGCUCUUCAUUUGCAAUUAUUAUUAUCACUUGUUAGUUCUUAGGACAGGUGAAAGAUGGGCCUAAGGCCCAAAGAAAUCAAUUUCAAGAUUAGUCUAGGACAUGUAUUAAGUAUUGGGCCUUUGGACCCAAAAUUGAAGACCCAAGUGCAGACCCAGGCAGACAGAACUAGACUUAGGCCCAAACAUUUCUUCUCUUUAUUUGCUUACCUGUUUUUUAUGGUGUCUUAUUUGUUCAAUUAAUUAUAAGAUUUUUCACUAACUCAAUUCCCCAAAGAAGAAUCAACUAUGUCUUUUAAAAUCAAAUAAGCUACACUUUAUUUUACUUGAAUUUAAUUUUUUUAAAAGUAUUUUUGAUAUUUUUCUACUUAAGCAAUAACCUUAUUUCCCCUCCCAUAAAAAUGAGUUCAAAAAAAAAAUGUUUACUUCAUAUAUUUAUCCAAGCAUGCCUAUUCUCUAAAUAAUUUAGCCAAAUAUAAUUAAUCAUUAGAUAACCGCAUGUUAGCGGGAAUUCAGGUGCUUUCAAACCCUUCUCGAAAUGCUAAUAAGAACCCCAAACCCCUUUGAAUAUUUUCAAUUGAUUUCUGUUUGAAUCUUUUGAAAAAAAAUCAGUUUUCUUAAUUUCCCUUUAAAAAUUAAGUAGCGACUCUAAAACAUCGUUUUCUCCUUUUAAAUAAAACAACAUGUUUAGGGGUUAAACGUUCGGGUACGACUCCCCAAGGACCACCCAAGGGGUCGUCGAGGAGGACCCCAAAACAGUCGAUAAAAGAUGUCAAAAAAUGGGAACCACACAUGGCCAUCCACUGGCCGUGGUUAGACCCACGCCCAGUGGGUUGGGGUUGUGGGUCAAGGCCUAAGUUGGCCUGCAACUUCUGAGCUGCAGACUCCAAUCACGAACCAAGAUGAUUCCCCGUGAACCCACCCAUGGUUCGUGGGUGGGAGUCUCGUGAAUGCUGUCAGGUUUUAACAAUUUAGUUUUUAGUUAAGGGCUUGAGGGUUAGUUUAGUUAUUAAUUAGGGGUUAAUGUAGGUCGGUUAAUAGGUUAUUUAUCCACCUAUAUAAGUCUAAUAGGCCCCUAAACUAAUCAUUAGAACUCAUUCAUCUAAGAACCCACUUAAGAAAUUCUCUCUCUAGAAGUGAAGAAGAAGAAGAAGAGGAGAGGAAGUUGGGGGAGCAGCUUAGGGAGAUUUUGUCCAUGGAUUCAAGCUUUGUUUAGGGCUUUGAUAAGAGGUAUGUGAAGCUUAAUCAUCUAUUGGUUCUUCCACCCAUAGAGCCCCCUAGUUUCCCCUCUAUUGCGAAGUCAAAAACCCAAUUCUAGCUAGGGUUUGCUUCUACAUUGUGAGUAGCGUUUGAAUAAGAUUCCAAUGAGUUGGAUAGUGCUCAAUUAUGAUGGUUUUAGUAUUGAAUCAUGAUGUAUUGAUAAUUUCAUGUGAUUUCUAUGGUAAACCCUAGUUUCAAUUGAUAAAUGUGUUGUUUGUGGGUUUAUGCCAUUAGAGGUGAAUUUGAAGGUUCAAAGGUAAUCUUCCUAAAUCAAUGUCAUGUAUAGUAAUUGAUCAAAGUUAGGGUCAUAUCAUAAUGAAUAGAACUAGACUUGAAUGAAUGUGGAGGAUCUUGACUUGUAAAGAUGAAAUUGAACCUUUAUGAUCAAAUAUGACUAAAAUCACCUACUUAUGAAGAACAUGAAUAGAAUACCUUGAAAACCUAGGUAUAAAGAAAAGAUUAAGAAAGAAACCUUGAAAGUAAGGUUUGUGAUCAUAAUAGUAGGGCUUUAAAAGGAAGCUAAGGUGAUUAACUAUUGAUGCUAAGGCUUUGAGAGUAAAGUCUAAAAGAGAUUAUAAGUCUAAUAGGUUGAAUUGUGGUGAAAGUUAUAUAAUCAUCUAACCUACCUUAUGAAGGCUUGAAUGUGUAAAGUGAUGAGAUCACUUGAACAUGGAUUGUUGUCAAGGACAUUCUUCCAUGAGAUAGGAGUAUUAAGCAAGGCUUAAUAGUGUAAAUCAUGGGUGUAAGCUUUGCCGUAAGUGGAUAUUGUCAAUGAGAAUAGAGGGUCACACAAGAUAGCGUCCGGGCGCCUAGUUGAAAGGAGAACCACACCUAGUUGAUGUGAGGAAUAUCUAAGAAAAGGGGGAACUCUUACAUAGUAGAGUGUGGGUUUUCCCAAAGGUAGGUCUCAUGAGAUGGAACCCUUCACAUAGUUGAGUCAAGGAUUCUAGUAGCAAUCUUCAUAUCCUUUGAACUAAGACAUGCUUAAAGAAGUAUCCAUAGUGUUCCAAAGCAUAGAUGAACUAAAAUUUACUAAGAUGUACUUCAUAGUGUUCAUGAGUAUAGAUGGACUAAGAUUUACUUAAAGAUGUACUUCAUAGUGUUCAUUAGUAUAAAUGGACUUAGACAUGCUUAAAGUAGUAUCUCAUUGGGUCUAUUUUUAAUAAGGAACCUAGACUUGCUUAAAGUAGUAUCUCAUAGGGUUCAACCUAGUAAGGGACUAAGAUGUGCUCAAGGGGGUACCUCACAAUGUCUAAGGCUCAAAGAGAGGGACUAGUUUCCAACCAAGAAGUAAGAGCAUGAGAACCCAAAGGUUAUACUUAGUGUGAUUGGUAGUAUGGGAUGCCAAUCAUGCCUUACAUAAGCGUGGCUUAGGGUUAACCAAGAAAGUGUUUCUUAGAAGUUGAGAUAGGUUGUGUUAUAGUUGCCUUCCUUGAUAGUAUGGACUUAAGGUGAGAGUUUUCCCUUAGUCAUGAGAAGUUGAGUAUUAUGACAAGAUCCUUAGGUGACUAGUUUAAAGGGCCUAAAGGAGUACUUUGUGUGGGUAGUAUUAUGGGAUGCUAGUCAUACACGGUACGACUUGAAGCUACUUACGAAAGCCUAAGACUUAUCCAUGACAUGAAAACCUAGGUCUUGACUAUGAACGGGGACUAUGCCCAAGAACAACCAAAGAGAGGUACAUGGCUUGCAUGGUAGUAUGGGAUGUUAUCCUUGCCCUUACACAUGUAUACUUGGAGGUGGCUUGUGAAGUAGUUCUCUUGAAGUACGAAAGACUUAAGGUUGAAUUAUGUAACCAUGUAUAUCUAAGAAAAUAUUAUGCUAUGAUUAUGAUGUAUCUCCUAUGCUCAUUUAUUUGUCUUAUGAUGACUUAUGAUAUACGAUGCUUAUGUUGGAGAUUAUGAUAUGAUAAUUAUGCUUAUGAUUAUGUUAUUGUCUCUUAUGUUUAUGUCUUAUGUUGACUAACCAUUUUGAGAUGCUCUUAUAUUGUUAUGCUAGCUUUCAUACUUAGUACAUUUUGUACUAACACAUAUUGCCUACAUUCUAAUCAAAUGUAGGGUUUGGAGAUUGAGUUCUACUUGGAGAUAGGUUUCUAAGGAGCUAAGAAAGAUUGAAGACUUGGUGAGUCCUCAUAGCUUCGAGGACGAACCUAUUACCUUUCUUAUAUCAUUUACUUUUAUGUUUUAGAAUUUGUAUGGGUUGCGUCCCAAGAGUUCUUUUAUUCAAGUCAAGUUAGAUGGUUUGAGACAAAAGUGUAGUAAAGUCUUUCGCUUUCUUUAUGAAAAAAAUGACUUCGAUUGUAAAGAAAAGUUUUAAAUUAUUCCCGUAUUUUCCUACUAUCUCUUGUUCAAGAUAUGCUAAGGGCUUGUAUGAGACUUUUCGGAGUCUCGUACGUCGUGUUACUUCUAGGGUGUAGACUCGGGUCGUGACAUUUUUACCAAAUUGCUCACCGCCAGUUUCAAGAGUAGCUCCACUAUCAACAACAGAUCUAAUGUACUUCAUGAUCUUCUCAAACUGUUUUGAAUCAAUUUGUUACGACAGGAAACUCUCAGGUUUAGUAUUGUUACCUUAAGAAAAGACUUAAAAGGAAUGAGAUAUGCUUUUGUUUUUCGUUAUACAGGUUUAAUACAUUGGUUUCCAACAUUUUAGAUAAGAAAGAGGAUUAGUUAGGAGAUCAUCAGUACUUGAGGACCCUGCUCAGUGCCUGAUUUAAACGGAUCACCAACUACUCGUUUCAAGGUGCGUGUCUUUGCCUUCUCCAGAAAUUCAUCAUAGACUUUCUCGUGAACAUAGGUCCAAGAGCCAACACAACAACAUUGGCCCUUUAAAAUUUAUGUCAUAGGUGUUAGUAUCUAACAUGAACCUAACCAACAACCAAUGCAGAAGUAUAGAUAGGAAAUAGUACAUGAUUAAAGAAGAGAGCAAAGUGAGCUUGUUCAACGGUCGUAUCAAUAUCAGAAUCCUCAUAAACAAUAAAAGGGGAUUUCCCUCCGAGUUCCAAUGUCACAGGCUUAAGAUUGCUCUUAGCAGCCAAUUCAAGUAUGGUUUUCCCGGUCUCUGUUGAUCCAGUAAAAGUAAGCUGUUGGCGGUUGAUGGGUCGUGGAUGGUCACUGUGUUGCUGUUAAAUUCGGCCAAGUGGAGGGGCAAUGUGGUAAAUUCGUUUUUGAGUUAUUUUAGUUAAUAGAUGGUUAUUAUUGGUUUAUUAAUGUAUUUUAAGGGUUUUAAAAGUAUUAAAUGUAGAAAUCUCACCCUAAGUAUGGAGAAAUCAAGGAUUGUAUUGAUAAUUGAAUGGUUGAGUUNNNNNNNNNNNNNNNNNNNNNNNNNNNNNNNUUCCGUUCCGGUCCGGUCCCGGUAAAUCAUUUUUAAUUAAAAUAAAAAAUAAUAUUUUUGUCAUUAUUUACUUUUAUUAGCAUUUCUUUUUUGUUUAUUUAAUUUUUUAAAAUUACAAACUUAUGUUAUUUAACUUACAAGUUAUAAGUAUAACUUAAUAACUUAUAAACUUCAAAAGAUUCAAAUCUUUAAAACUUAUAACAUAACUACUUAAGCUCAAAAACUAAAAAAAAAACUUUAUUAAACUUAACUUACAAACUUAUAUACGUAAAAAUUUAAAAAAAUAUCUUUAAAAUAAACUUAAGUAAAAUUAUUAUAAAUUUUAAAACUUAAAUACUAUAAACUAAUAUAACUUAGAAAAAUAAAAAAACAUUCGUAUUUUCGUAAUUCAAAAUAACUCAAAAAAAAUAAUUUUUUUUUUUAAAUAGCUAUAUGUGCCGUCCCAUUUAUCCCAUCCCGUUCCGUUCCGGUCCAUUCCGGUCCGUCCCAGUUCUAUCCCGGUAUAUAGUGGGACGGGACGGAACCGAGCCUCCAUCCCGGUAGUUCCGGUCCGGUUCAUCCCGGUACCGGUCAACAACCCGGUCAAACCGUCCCGUUCCGGUCCGGUUCCGGUUCGUUCCGGUCCGGUGGUCCCAUUCCGGUCCGGUGCCCAGCCUUAGUUGAGUUACAUACUCUUUAUAUAGGAGAAAAGUCCUAUACUAGUUACACUAGGAAUCCUAAUACAACAUAAAUAUAUUAUUUACGCCUUAUCCCAUUCGACUACAUCAGCUUUAGUCGUACAUAAUAUAGACUUAUACAUAAAUUAGGAUUUAGUAGUCUAGUCCUAGUGUAACUCUAACUCUAACUCGUCAGUCAGCUUCGUUGAACCUGUUCCUUUGACAUGUUCCAUCAACUUCCUUCAACACUUCCCCUUAAGCUAGUGAGUGGAGGGACUGUAACUCCUAGCAUGCUAUGAAACUCAGCAAAAACCUGUUUGGUUAAUGCCUUUGUAUGAAUAUCAGUUAGUUGAUCCUUAGACGUCACAAACUGAGUAAGAAAUUGUCCUCUGGCCACCUUCUCACGAACAAAAUGAUAAUCCAUUUCAACAUGUUUGGUUCUAGCAUGCAUAACUGGAUUAACUGUCAUAUACAAGACACUCAUGUUAUCACAAUACAAUGUAGGUACAGAUAGAAGAAACACCCCAAGGUCAUGAAGUAGAUACAUGAUCCAUGUCAUCUCUGCUGCAGUGGAGGUUAGUGCUCUAUACUCAGCUUCAGCACUCGAUCGGGCAACUGUGGACUAUUUCUUGGAAGUCCAUGAACUACAGUUUGCACCUAGGUAGAUGUUAUAGCCUGUAGUUGAUCUCCUAGUGGUGGUGCAACAUCCCCAAUCAACAUCUGAGUAUCCAUACAACACACAUGGUGAUUGUGAAAUAAGUCUGAGUCCAAUGUGUAGAGUACAUUUGGUGUACUUGAGAAUCCAUUUCACCCCUUGAAGAUGUUCACUGUUAGGACUUUGCAUAAAUUGGCUUGCUAAAUUCACAACAUGAGUAAUAUCCGGUCUUGUGAGUGUCAAGUAUUAAAGACUUCCUACUAUCAUUCUGUAAAAAGAUGCAUCAACCAAGCUUCUCACAGCUUCAUGUAGACCAUGUUUUUUAGCCAAAGGAGUGGCUAUAGCCUUUGCCAUAGUUAUUUCAGUUUUGUCCAACAGCUCAGCAGCAUACUUACUCUGACUUAAGUGUAUACCCCCAGCAAAAUACUUAACCUCUUCUCUUAGAAAGAAGUGUAAAGGACCAAGAUCUUUCAUUGCAAAUUCUUUCCCAAGUUGUCGAACUAACUAUGAGACAUACAAUGGAUUACUACCUCUGACAAUGAUAUUAUCCACAUAUAACAAGAGAAAUAUGGUGCCUUUGUGACCUUGCAUUGUAAAUAAUGAAGAAUCUACUUUACUACAGAUGAAGCUAAGGUGUAAGAGAUGCAUGUUAAACCUAUCAAACUAGGCUCUUUGUGUUUGUUUAAGACCAUACAAUGCCUUUUUAUGUAGACACACAUGUUAAGGAUACUUGGGAUCAAUAAAUCCAGGAGGUUGACUCAUGUACACCUCUUCUUGUAAGAACCCAUGAAGAAAGGCAUUUUUGACAUUGAGUUGUCUACCUUCCCACCUUGAGCUGAUGGCAAUGGAUAGAACUACUCUAAUAGUUGUGGCUUUAACCACAGGGCUAAAAGUUUCUUCAAAGUCUAUGCCUUCAAGCUGAGAGAAUCCCCUGGCUACAAGUCUUGCCUUGUAUCUAUCUAUUGUUCCAUCAGCUUUUAAUUUGGUCUUGAAUACCCAUUUUGAGCCAACCAAGUUUAUACCAGAAGAUUUGGGCACCAAUAUCCAUGUCUUGUUAGUGUGUAAAGCAUUGAUUUCCUCAUGUAUUGCUGCAAGCCAAUGAGGUGACUUAAGUGCUUCCUUAGUAGUGUUUGGUUCCCUCAGAAUGUCUUUUCUGCUGCGAGCAACAAGUGACAAGUGGUGUUCCUUCGCCUUGUGUCUAGUGAUCAUAUGAAGCCCUUGUGGUGCAGGAAGUACCUCAACUGGUACAUCAACCAAAGUAGUUGACUGAAGUGUAGUAUUGUCAUAUUGAUGGUCAACAAGAACAUCAACUAAAGUAGUUAUUUGAUGAUGCUCAUUGACUGGACCUGUAAGUGCAACAUGUUCCUCACUGCCACUAGUAGAUCCAAAUCCUACAGCUGGAGUUUCAAUACUAUUGUAUGGAUCAUCACAUUCAACCUGUUCCUCAGCAUCUGAUCAUACGCCGGAGAGGUCAAUGGUAUUCUCAUCAUCAAGAAGUGUAUGAGUUGUAGCAACAUUAUCACCAUUAACGUGUGGACUAGCAGCCUUUACUUCCCCUGAAUCAGAAUUAUCAUGUGCCUGCAGUUUAGAGAAAGAUUCAACAAAGGUAGCAAGGUGAGAUGAGACAUCAAUAUUAGUCUGAGAUUGUUUUGGAGACACAUAGGGUAUUGUGUUUUCAUCAAACACAACAUGUUUGGAUAUGUAAACUCCUUGUAGAGGGAUGAUAGCAUUUAUAUCCUUUGUGUAAGUUGUUGUAUCCUAUGAACACACAAGGGUAAUUCUUUGGACUGACCUUGUUGCUACCCUUAAUAUACGGAAAACAUCUACACCCAAACAUUUUUAGGCUGUUAUAAUCAGGUUGUUCCCCAUACAACUUAACAAAUGGAGUCACCAUCUUUAGGACUGAGGAAGGUAGUCUAUUGAUUAGAAAUACUGCAGUGAGGAAAGCCUCAACCCAUAGAAACAAAGGUAGAUUAACAUGAAGUAGUAGAGUUAAGUGAGUCUCCACAAUAUGUCUAUGUUUUCUCUCUGCAACCCCCAUUUUGUUCGGUUGUGUUAGGACAUGAAAUAUAUCUCACAGUGUCACAAUUUUCCAAAUAAUUGAUGAAGUCUAUUUGGAUAAACUCACCACCUCCAUCACACUGAAAAAAUUUGAUCUCUUUAGAAAAUUGUUUUUCCACCAUUUUUUGGAAUUUUAGAAAGACCUCAAAAAUUUCAGAUUUCUUUUUCAGUGGUUAAAUCCAUGUGUAUCUCGUGUGAUCAUCAACAAAAACAACAUAAUAUUUCAUAUGUUGGGACGAUUCAAGAGGAGCAAGUCCCCAUAAGUCACAAUGAAUUUUCAAUAGAGGUUCUUUCUCAAUUUUAUUUCUCAAACCAAAUGGAAAGAGUAACCAACUGACAACUAGAACAAACAGUAGGCAUUUUAUUCCAACUACUAAUAUUAAUGCAACUAUUACUACUCAAAACUUUUAAAGACUUCAAACUAGGGUGACCUAAUCUAGCAUGCCACAUGUUGUCUGACGUGUUCCAAUCGUGUGCAACAGUUAAAGCAUAGAGAUUGUUAUCUUCCAAAGCAUAGAGUCCAUUCCUUUUAGAUCCCUUGGCCAGCAGUGACUUUGCCCUCUUGUCCUUUACAACAAAAUUAGUUUCAUCAAAUUCAAGAGUGCAACAAUUAUCCUUUGCAAGCUUACUAACUGAGAGUAAAUUUUUAUUAAUCUUAGGAACUACAAGAACUUCUUUUAACUUUAGGCCUGAUCUGGAUAUGUUCCCAACAUGUGUUAUGUCUAACUUUGAUCCAUUCCUAAUAAUGAUUUUAUCAUGUCCAUUGUAGUGUUUAAGAUCAGUUAGGAUACCUGAGUUAUGUGUCAUAUGGCUACUUGCUCUUGAGUCCACAUAGAAGGUGUCAUCAGUAGUGUUUCGAAAAUUAGUAGCAGCCAAAGCUUUUGGUAGCUCAUCUGUGGCUUGGUAAGAGUAAUCCCACCUGUAAAAACACUUAAGAGCAGUAUGAUUAUUCCUACCACAAAUUUGACACGCAUCAGUAUUGUUCCUCUCAUGACUUUCACUUGAAGGACUGUUCUGAGUACCUAGUAUGUUUCUGCUGUUAUGAGAACAUGUUCCUUGUCCAGCAGGCUUGAAGUCUCUUCCUCUAGAGUUAAAGUUAUUAUUUCCCCUUCUUUGAGAGUAUUUUCCUCUUCCCCUACCUCUUUGGGCAGAGAAUGUCAUGUUAUGGUUUUGUUGGAGCACUUCUUCUUCAUCCUCCUUCAUAUCAAAACCCCUGAGAGCAUUAACAAAUUGAUUAAGAGUAGGAUAUGGUGUCUUACCUAGCAUGAUAGUCCUGAAAGUCUUGUACUUAAGACCUAGACCUCUAGCAAAAUUAAUCACUUUUCUAUCUUCAUCUACGGGCUUGUGUAUGGCUGCAAGGCCUUCAUAUAUGCCUUUGAAUUCCUUAAUAUAUUCGUCAAUUGUUUUGAUUCCUAGCUUCUCACUUUGUAGUUGUUGUUUAAUAUGGAACUCCUUAUCUUUUGUUGCUUGAAGAUAGGCUUCUUCCAAGCAUUCCCACAUUUUCUUGGCAGUUGAGCAGCCUACGAUCAAGUACAUGAUUUCUUCUAUCAAGGUGCCUGAGAUCCAACUCCUUUACAACACAUCCUUCUCCUCCUAGUCGUCAAUAAUGUUGUUGUCUUCUGCAUCUUUCUCGCCUGCUACAGUUUUCUCAGUAGACUGUUCGGUGGAACAGGUACCUUUACGUGGUUCUGUGAUGAGGUAGGUUAAUCUCAUCACUUGAAUCAACUGAGAUAUUUGUGUCCUCCAUAUAAGAUAGUUCGUUGGCUUAGGUUUAAUGGAGCAAGACGAAAUAAGAUGAUGAAGUGAAGAGGUCGAAAGAGUGAUGGUAGAAGGGGCCAUUGCGGUUUGAUAUUGUGGUUGUUUUGAUUUUGAUCUAAUACGUUAAAGAGAGGAAAAGCUUUAUAGCUCUGAUGCCAAGUAGAAAUCUCACCAUAAGUAUGGAGAAAUCAAGGAUUGUAUUGAUAAUUAAAUGGUGGAGUUACAUACUCCUUAUAUAUGAGAAGAGUCCUAUACUAGCUAGCUACACUAGGAAUCCUAAUACAACAUAAAUAUAUUAUUUACACCUUAUCCUAGUCGACUACAUCAGCUUUAGUCGUACAUAAUAUAGACUUAUACAUAAUUUAGGAUUUAGUAGUCUAGUCCUAGUGUAACUCUAACUCUAACUCGUCAGUCAGCUUCGUCGAACCUGUUCCUUUGAUAUGUUCAAUCAUCUUCCUUCAACAUUAAACUCCUUUUUCAAGUCUUUUAUUCAAAUCACAAAUUAGAAACCUCUCCUCCCCUCCAAAAAUUCUCUCUCUAGAAACCUCCAUUGGAGGCGAAUGAUUCAAGGUUUCAAGCUCAAGACCUCACCAUUUUCACUCAAGUUUUGUGGAGUUCUUCCCUAAAAGGUAUGGUAGUCUUUAUCCUUGACUUAGUUUCUUUCAAGGAGCCAAUUUCAAAGAUGAUUUCAAGUCUCCAAAGUUCUCCUAAAACUCUAGUUUUCAAUCUAUGCAUGGGUUCAAUUCCAAAACAUUUUCAAAGUCUUUUAAAUGAUGAAUUAUGAAUGGAUUGUUGAAUUAAUGAUGAAUUAUGGUGAAUUUCCCCUAUGAACCCAUGUUUACCCCCAAUGUACUAAAUUGUGAAUUGUGAUUGGAAUUUGAUUGAUCAUGGAAGUAUGUUGAAUUAUUUAUGUCUAUAUUGAUUGAGUGUAUUGAAUUACUUCAUUAUCCAUGCCUAAAUUAUGAUAUUCUAGGUGUGUUGAUGAAUUCUGAUCAAGGGCCUUGAAAGGCAAAGUAUGAAGGAUUCAUGUAUGAUUGUGAUGUGAAGUAUAUGCAUGUGAAUUCAAUGAAAGUAUUAUGAUCUUGAUGUUUGUAUAUAUGCUUGGUGAUUACCUCGAAAGUAAUGUGAUCAUGAAUAUAAUGCAAUUGUGGUAUUGUUGAAAGGUUAUUCUCACAUAUUCACAUACUCAUGAAUGAAGAAUGAAUGAAUAAAUUAAGUUUCUAUGAUUAUGUUGAUGAUGAUGUGUAGGUUGAAAGGCUAUUCUCAAUUAUACACUAAUGAAUGAUAAUGACAUGUUGUGAAAGGUCUUUCUCACAAUAAUGGGAUUCUUAGUUGAAAGGUUAUUCUCAUUUUUGAAUCUAUGAGUUAUCCAAUGAAUGAAUGUUGGGAUGAGAUGGAUGCUCUCACAUGAGUUGAGGCGGGGUAUCUAGUAACAAUAUUUUUCCCAUAAUAAUGAACUAAUGUAAUGAAAUGCUCUAUGGGAAUGGAGGCUAAGCACCGAAUGGAUAUUGAUAUGAGAUGGAAGCUCUCACGUGAGUUGAGGCGGGGUUUCUAGAAGCAAUUUCCAUAUCCUAUAACUAUGUUCCCGCAUAGGAUACUAGCUAGUGGAUCCACCUAAGCUAAAAUUAACGGUCCUACCUUAGGCAAGUAGGAAUCCUUCUUUACGGUGUGAGGAUAGAACACCGGAUUCCAUGAUUUAGCUCUCAUGGUCUAUGUCGGUUAAACGCUUAUUCUCAUCAUGUAAGAUGUGCACUAUGGUUUCUUGAGAAGUUCUAUGAAGUGUGGGUGGUAGUAUGGGAUGUCAUCCACGCAUUGCACGAGUAGGCUUUGAGAGGGUCAUAAUGAGUUCUCUAAUGUCUUAAUGACUAAUGAAUGAAUGUGCUCUUAAUGAAGCUAAUGAAGAAUGUUGACUUUAAGGUUUAAUGAAAUGAUGCAUGUCUUACUUGAAUUGUAUUAUGAGUUACUUCUUUGUCAUGGCUUUAUGAAUAUGAAUGUGCCUGGUCUAUGGUGGCUUCAAAGGAUUAAUUCGUGUGAGUAGUAGUAUGGGAUGCUAUUCAUACAUUGCACAAGUAUGACUUAGGGUUGCCCUAGAUGAUGGUCCUAAUGUGUUGAUAUGACUUAUGAAAUGUGUAUGUUCCUUAUGUAUGUGUAUUAUCUAAAGGUCGGAAAGGAUGAAUGGUAAGUUCACUUUUGGUGGCCUUGAUGUGGUAAUUAGUAUGGAUGGUGGUAUGGACGCUAUUCAUACAUUGCACAAAGUAUAGCUUAGGGUUACUUAAGGUGAAGGCUCUAAUGUGAUGAAAUGGCUUAUAUGUUGUUUAUGUUCUAAUGUGAUGAAAUGACUUAUAUGUUGGUUAUGUUGUAUUUUAUGCCUCUUAUGCUUACAUUCAUGAUGUUUUCUCAAGAAUGGCAUAUGCAUGGUUUUCAAUCAAAAUGUCUUUUUAAGCAUGUUUUUGCAUGGCUAUCAUACUUAGCACUUAAUUUGUGCUAACCCAUAUUUCUUUUAUUUUACUACAAGUGUAGGUUUCGGCAAUUAAGUGAGUUGAGUUCCUCUAGUUGAAGCUUGGAUUGAGUUCUUCCAAGACUUUGGUAUGUCCUCAUGGAUUUCGAGGACAAGUACUUUGAUGUUUGAUGUUUCUCAUUGUAUUAGACUUUUGUUAAGGUUUUCGAUUGUAAAGGGCCGUAACCUUACUUUUGUUUCAAAGACAUUGUUUAGAUGGCCAUGCGAGACUAAUAGACUUCCGGUGUUUUAAAUGAUUUUUGAUUGUAUGGAUUUAAAGAAAAGUUAUAAUUCCGUACCAUUUUCCUUAUAUCGAAUGUUAUGACUGCUAUGAGGCUUGUAUGAGGCUUUUCGGAGUCUUGCACGUCAUGUCAUUCCGGGGUGUAGGCUCGGAUCGUGACAAAAUAGGAACAGAGGGUGUAUUAUUUUUUUAACUUAAUGCUUACCUCUCUUAUUUUUUAUAAUUAAGUUCUAACCUAAUUAUUUAUUAAUACAAGAAAAUAUAAUUUAACUAAUUUUGUCCUAUAUUUGUAGGGAUGGCAAUGGAGCGGUGCGGGUUGAGCUUAACCUGCAAAUUUUUUAAUUCGGCCCGCCCCGCAUAACAAUUUAUUUCAUUUUAAACCGCCCCACCCUGCGCCGCAUGAACCCGCACCGCAUAAUAGUUUUAAUAUAUUCUUUUUCUAGUUAAGUUUGAUACUAAAAAUAUAACUCAUAAAAAUAAAUUCAUUUUUCCAUUAAGUUGUAUUAAUUUAAUAGGAUAGUGACUGAAAAAAAUUAUUUUUUAGAGGACAAUUGAGAAACAUGUAAACAAUUGUAUUAUUUUUUAUUGAACCAUUUCCAUUUACUAUCUUGAAUAUUUUAGUAGACUAAAGAAAUUAUCUUAAUAAAUAAUGCUCUAUAACUCUUAUAAGAUGUAAAAAGUUAAAAUUAAAUUUGAAUCCACAUAAAAUCGCAUAUACCUGCAACCAGCCCCGCCUCACGUUAGUUUUUUAAAAACCCACUUUAACCCGCCCCACACAAUCUUAAACCCGCCCCGCCCCAUUGCCAUCCCUAUAUAUUUGUGUGUGUGUGAUGUGUAGAUGACCACACUUACGUGUUGUGUUUAUUGAUGUGUGUGUUUGUUUGGCAGUAUGAGUGUGAAAUCUUGUCAAUAAUCAAUCAAUUUUACUACUAUUGGCCAUUUAAAUUAUUAAUUUUUCCUUUAUCUUAGUUUACAUGACAUUGUUUUACUUUUGGAACUACUUGACAAGUUAAUUAUUGUUCUACUAAUAAUGUUCUUUUAAUAACUUUCGCAAUAUAAAUUUAUUAAUUACACAAUUAUUUUAAAAAAAUAUUAUAUUAUUUCCAUUUAUUAUCCAUGAGAUAGUAAUAAUUAAAGUCUGCAUACAUAGUGAGAUCUCACUGAUAUAUAAUUAUUAUUGGUAUUAUUGUCAUUUCGGUCUUAUCUAUUUUUUCAAUCAUCAUUUUAACAUUUUCUUCCCAAGUCCCGAUAUAUAGAUUAAAUGAAUAUUUUAAUAUUCAUCUUCAACUAAUUAAUUCUAUCAUAUAAAAUGAGAUUAAAGAAUUAACUUUUUAAUGUAACGUACAUAAAACAAAAUAGAGUGGCGGAAUUAAAAAAACACAAAAGCAUGUGCAAAUACAAUACUGAACAUUGUCGUAUACUAGGGACCUCCUAGACACCUUAGUAGAACAAAAGGUAAGUACAAAAUAAAAAUAAGACAUAUUACACGUGUCAUAUUUGGAAAAAAUAAGAUUACUGAUGUGUUGGUAUGACGAAAAAUAUUUUCUGAUUCGUAUUGUUUAGUAUCAUGAUGGUUGAUCUUGUUUUUGUUAUUCUUGACAGGAGAAACAAAAGAGUGACCAAUUUUCUCACCCAUCAUGGCGGAAACAUGUUUCUUCUCUUUAGGAAUUAUACUUCUUUUUUUGGGAGUGAAUGGAAAUACACCAUUUUUGCUUUCUUCGAUUUUCUCUGCUUUUCCCUUUCCUUUGCCUUCCUUAUCUGCCAUAUUUCUCUUGCUCUCUUAUUGUUGUUCCUGCUUUGUUUGUUAUGUGAAUUGUGUGUCUCUAACCAACAAGCUAAAGAGGCUUUUUAUAGGCCUAAUUUUGAUAGUAAUUUCUUUUGUGUCUAUGUGUUAUGUGUAUUUGUGUAUUUGUGUCUAUGUGUUUGUGUAUUUGUGUGUGUUUUAAACUAGUCAGCAUGAGUUGAAGCAAAGAUCAUGUUGUGAAUUAUAUGCAUUUUUGUGAGUUUAAACUAGUCAACCUUAACGCCAACAAAGACCAUAUUUUGUGUGUGUGACUUUUUUGUUGUUGUUGAUGAUAAUAGUGUGUUUAUAGCUAGUCAACGUGAGAUUAAGCAAACAUUAUAUAUUGUGUUUUGUGCCUUUGGGGAAAAGAAAAAGGAACUUCACAGCAAUUUAAAAUGGGUCAAAUUUACACUCUAUUAUAUUUUGGAUUCAAAAUUAUACACUCAUCGUUUCAUGUUUUGCUCGAAAAUAUCUUCUAACUAUCUAAAUGGACCAAAACAUCAUUCCUUCUAAUGGUUGUUUCGAAAUAAUACAUUCAGUUUAAUUAUAUACCAUAGCAGUUUAACAACUUUCUUUAAUUAUAUACCGUAGCAGUUCAACAACUUUCUAAACCAUCAUCAAGUACAUAAUAAGUAUAAAUUAAUUGUAUAAAAUUCGUUUUGUAUCUAUUUGUUAAUUCUUGUAUUUAAAUAAACAUUAUAAUUAGAUGUAAAAUAUUGAUACAAACUUUCCAUAUCGAAAGUUUCUACUUGCUCAACAUUCAAAAAAAAGUUUCCAUAUCCAAAGUUUCUAUAUGCAUCGUGUAAAAAUCUAACAUCUUAAUUCAAUUAGCGAGGGAUAAUUCUUUCCUUUUUUUUCUUUUUUUUUGAUAAAAAUAAAAUUUCCAUAUCUGUUUUCUGGUUAUAUUAAACGUGCAAAAAUAUAAAAAUUUCCAUAUAUAUGUUUUUGGUUUAAGAAAACGUGUAAAACAUAAAAAGUUACUAUAAAAUGUAAAAGAAAUUCCAUAAAAAAAUGUUCCAUAGUCGUUAGGGAAUAGGAAUGAUAAUAAUAAUAAUCCAAAAAGGAAACGAAAUCCUAAUCCAAAGAUAAAACGUAAAGCCUCUAGCUAUAAUAUACAUGUGAAAUAGUGAAUUGUUUCAUUGAAAUAUUAAUUAGCUUGGCAAAUUAAACAAAAAAACAUGGCAAAAUUUCCCUCAUGUCUUGUUAAAGUAGUUGUAAUAAUGAUACUAGUAUGUUUUCCUUCCACCACCGUCUCUAGAAAACAAUUACUCUCGUCACCACCAUCAGAAGCUGCUCCUCCAAAACCUCAUAAUAAUAUUGUUAACGAUGAAGACAACAACCCAAAGGAGAAGGUGAUUUAUGAUAGUCGUCGAAGCUGGAGUUCUCUUGAUCUUGGUCACAAAAUUACGAUUAUCCUAUCUAUAUUUUGUAGCUUACUUACAAUUGUCGGCCUCGUUAUCGUGAUAACAUGGCUUAUCUAUUCCGAACUAUGGGGAUAUUGAUCCAUCUAACUACUCUAUACCUUUUAUUUUCUGUAAUUUAAUAAAUAAACAGUGUUUUUCUAUUUUCGAUCCAAUUAAUUGUUAGUGAACGUUGUACUUGUAUGUAUCGAUUGCUGGGUUUGUUUUGCUGUGUAUGGCUGGUGGAUGUUUUGUUGGAAUUGUUGACAGCGUUUUGGAAUAUUGGUGGGCUUGGGUCGAUGCUGCUGAUUGUUGUUGUUGUGGGCUGUUAUAAUUGGGUUAAUAUUGGUUUGAAGUUGGGAUGAAAUUGUGUUUAAGGGGGUUACUUAAACAAAUUAAGUGGAACUUUCGUAUAUAUCCACUCAAAAAUAGUUUAAUUAUGCUAUAUAACUAGAGUUUGCUAAUUCCGAUUCGUAACUACAUGUUAUAGGGAGGAGAGUGGCGAGCGAGAUUGGGAGAUGGAGGAGAGAGGCGAGCGAGAGAGGGCAAAAAGUGGGAGAGAGGUGAAUUGUAUAUGUAUAUCGGUUUGAUAAUUGUAUAUAUGUAACUGGUAUAUGUAUGUAUUUGUAUAUUUGGAGAGCGAGAUUGGGAGAGGGAGGAGAGAGGCGAGCCAGAGAGGGCAAUAAUUUGUAUAAUUCGCAUCUCGGUUGUAUAAUUCACGUGUUUUUGAAUGUAUAUGGUGAUAAAACUGAAAAACCAAACGAAAUCAUCGUCAUAUGCAAGUACAAACCAUCUUAUACAAAUAAAAAUCAAACGAAGAACUGUUACUUGCGGAUUAUACAAAUGUGGCGAAUUAUACUAACACGAAGUCAGCCCACAUAAUUAAUAGUUAAUGUUAGUUGCAAGUGGUAAUUAUAGCAAACUAUAGCUACAAUGACUAAUUAAAUAGUAUAAAUUCGCUUAACCGCGUAAUUUUCCCUUAAAUUAACAAGAAUUGUAAUAAAAGGGGUUAGAUUUCAAAUUAUGACAUGACCAUAUGAAAUUUCAAUUAUGACCAAUUGUAAUUAAGAACGUAGCUUUAGUAAAUUUGGUUGGAAUUUAAAUAAGAUGAACUGAUGUUGAUUAUCUUAAUUAUAAUAACAAACUUCUUAAAUUGACUAAAUAAAAUAAUUAUCUUAGUUAUAAAUUAAUUGACUCAAAAAUAUGAUCUAUGGACUAAACUAACAUAAUUAACAAAAUAUUUGAAGGGGCGCGUUGGGUAACUUUUGGAGCGCGUGUAGGAAAGAGAGGAGAAAGGAACGGGUGUGCGUGACUUUUCACAAUAGGAAAAAGUAAAAAAGGAAUUUCACCACACUAUUAUAUAUUUUUCUAUUUUAUAGAAAUGUGAAGACGACCAACGACCAAUGGAAAAAGGGAUAUUAAAUCAAAUAUACAAGGGCAAAUUAUAACUAUUAUACUAAAAUUUGUUGAUAUCCGUGCAGUCAUGUUCAAACCAAGGCCUCUAUUUUUUUUAUACUCUAGAAGUAUCUACAUCUUUCUCCACUCUUCCACUGAAAAUAAAUAAAUAUCUCAUUUGCAUCAGUUUUCUUAGAUUUUCAAGACUAAAGGGUUGAGACGUUGAGUAUUUCCAGGUAUGUUUUAUUCACAUUUUUGCUUAAAUCUCUUUGGUUAACUUUUUCAAUUUUCAAUUUUGAGUGACUCUUUUUUGUUGCUCUUAAUCAGUCCUUUUCAAAUAUAGAAAUUCAAAGAUGGCUUCUGUUCACUUUCUUAAUUGGAUAUUACAACCCUAGGUCGUUUUCUUUUUUCUUGGUCUUAAUCAAUCCUUUUCAAAUAUUCAAAGAUGGCUUCUGUUCACUUUCUUAAUUGGUUAUUAUAACCCUAGGUCGUUCCAAAAAUAUGAAUUGAUAAAAAAAAUCAGAACUGUGUGUUUUCUUCUAUCUUCUAUUUUCUUAAAAUUAUCUCUCUCUUAGAUUAUGGAUAAUUGAAAUUUAUAUGUUCUCUUGUGCUCUUGUUUAAUGGUAUAACAGAGUCUUCAUCAUUAGUAUUGAGACACUCAUAUAGCUAAAGCAUCACAGCAAAGGCAGUCGCUUUGUUGUGAAAUAUUCUUGCCAAAGAAGAAUACCUAACAACCGACAUAAAAUGAUAUAGUAAAAAAUAUGGCUUUAAGUUAUAGUAGAAAUUAAAUUUCCAAGAAAACAAAUGUGAGUUCCAAUAAAUCCUAUUUGCUUACCAAUAUACUAAUAGUAAUUCUUAAGCUUUGAGUAAAUAGGAAUAUAACGUGAAUAUCCCCAAAGUGCAAGUGUUUCAUCAUUGAUAUUUUUUCUCUUACACUUAGAUUAUUUGUAUGCUUAAUUAAUUGGUAGUGUUUGUAUUGGAUGGCUGGUGGAGCACUAUUUGUUAAGGUGUCCAUGCAUUAUACUUAGUCACUUUGCCUGUACAUGUGUAUUUUUUUGCUUAUUGAACAACAUCGAAGUGCUGACCGAUACGGUCUAUUUUUCUGUUGGUAGUUACAAUUGUUUGACCUUUUCUCACUCUUGCUACAUUUAUUAGAAUAGAAAUAAAGCUUUUAGACCUCUUCUUUAUUAUGUGUUUUCUGUCUUUUUCUCCAGAAAUUUGUGUCUUAUGGUGCUUUUAUCGUUAAGCUUUUUCUAUAUGGUCAAAUCAAAUGUUUAUUAGACACUAAAAUAUCAAUGUUUAUCAAGAAGUUGUACAUGUACUUUUUGCUCUUCAAGAGCUGGGAGGCUUAGAUUCAUACUUCUCUAAUUAUUAAUUAAUUAGUAAAGGGAUCAUACUAUGUUGAAACCAAAUCUUGCCAUAUAGUAACCGUAUUUGGGUUCUAAGCAUUCUCGAGUUUUUCAUUUGUCAUCUUACUCUUUCCGUCCGUUUGCACCAUCUGAUGAAGUUGAUUUUCAUUUACUUUGGGAUGAACUGUUAAAUGGAAAAAAACUAUAUAUUCUUUGUUACUAUUUUCAUUCCAUAUUCUCUUCUGCAAUACUUUUUAAAUUAACCUCUUAUUUUUAGCAUUUUCUACUUUUUCCUCUGUUAGAUAUGUCUAUUAUAUUAGAUUUAAUAUAUGGUUUGAACUGUUAAUUUUACAGAAUUUUUUCACUUCGUUGAGGUAUUUGUUCGCCACUGUUUUCACUUUUCUCUCAGUAUGUGGUAAGUAUUACUCAACCAAUCCCUUAUUUAAAAUUAUUACUAUUAUUUAUCGGAUAGUUAUUUUGUGUAAAAUUAUUUUGAUCCCAAAGAUGUCAAGUAAUAGAAACCAUAAAAAUGUGCAUGCUUUUCAAAAAUCAAAUGCAAAUAGAAAUGCUAGGAGACCCGAAUUAUACAGAUUGAUGCAACUUGAGGAAAAAGAAAUUCUUCUAGCACGUGAGCAAAGAGAGUUGAAAUGAGAAAACAUAACUUAUCUGAAAGUUCAAUGAAUAAUGAUUUGACUACUGCAUCAUCUUCUAAUUCCACAAUUGUUUCUAAUAGAAACCAUAAAAAUGUGCAUGCUUCUCAAAAAUCAAAUGCGAAUAGAAAUGCUAGGAGACGGGAAUUAUACAGAUUGAUGCCACCUGAGGAAAAAGAGAUUCUUCUAGCACGUCGUCGAGCAAAGAGAGCUGAAAUGAGAAAACAUAACUUAUCUGAAAGUUCAAUGAAUAAUGAUUUGCCUAAUGCAUCAUCUUCUAAUUCCACCAUUGUUUCUGUUGCACAAAGUUCUAAUCUUAUUAUGAGAGAACCAAUGUUGCUCCUAUCAGAGCCAUCAGAAAUUAAUUAUAUCAAAUUAAAAGAAGUAUCAAAUUGUCAAUUUUGUAAAGCCAUUAAAUUUGAAUAUGAACCGCCUGCAUUUUGUUGUAGCAAUGAUUUUGUUCAAUUAACUUCACAUGAGAUUCCAAUAGAAUUAAAGAACCUUUAUCUAGAAAAUACAGUGCUAUCAAAACAUUUUAGAACAUACAUUAGAACGUACAAUAAUAUAUUUGAUUUCACAUCUCUUGGAGUAACUUAUGACAAAGAAUUAGCAAAAGAAAUAAUGGUAUUUAUACUUUUCGGGUUCAAGGUCAGAUGUAUCAUUUCAUCAAUGACUUGAUUCCUACCGAUAAAAAAGGAAAAAAUCUUCAGUUACAUUUCUUUGAUAGUGAAAAUGAAUUAAGAAAUCGAAUGGCAUAUUCAAAUAAAUUAAAUGAGUAUGUUGUGAGAACUCUGAUGGAUAUAUUAAAAAUUAAUCCAUACUCUAUUUUUUAAAAUCUUUAGUUGAUGUUCCACAACUAUCUGAUUUUUAUAUUGCACUUAAGUGUGAUUCUGGCUUAGAUCAACGUAUAUAUAACUUACCAAUAGUAACAGAAGUUGCAGGAAUAUGGGUAGAACAAGAUAUUACUAAUUCUAUUCCUACACCACAUAUUCGAAUAUAUACAAAAAGUGAUAAAAGUCAAUUGGUAAAUUAUUAUUACGGUUGUUAUGAUCCAUUGCAAUAUUCAUUGCUAUUUCCAUAUGGUCAAGGUGGAUGGCACUGUGGUAUUAAGAAAAUUAAGUGUUCUUCAAUAACAUCAACACAAAUAUAUUGCGAACAAGAACAACACAAAUAUGGUUGUUCCUUACAAUCCCUAUUUACUUUGUAAAUUCAAUUGUCAUAUAAAUGUAGAGAUUUGUUCAGAUAUAAAAGUUAGUUAAGUACAUUUAUAAAUACAUUUGCAAAGGACAUGAUAAAAUAGCAUUUCAUAUACAGACUAAUGAUGUAAACGUAAAGAUAGAUGAAAUAAAAGAAUAUCAAUCUGCUAGGUGGGUAUCAGCACCUGAAGCUGCAUGGAGAAUAUUCGCUUUUCCUAUUAGCGAAAUGAGUCCAAGUGUAUAUCAUCUACAACUACAUCUUGAUGGACAACAACUUAUUUCCUUCAAAAGUACCGAUAACAUUAGUAAAAUUGCAAGUAAUCACAUUAUAAGAAAAACAAUGUUAACUGAAUUUUUUUUAAUGAAUAAAACAAACAAAGAAGCUAUGGACCUAAAUUUAUUAUAUCGUAUGUCACGCCCCGAGCCUACACCCUGGACGUGGCUGGCACUCGAAGACCAUUGCUGGCCCCCAAGCGAACCCUUGGCCUGGCUUUCUUAACUCAGCGGAAACUUAACUCAACAGAAUAACUCCAUGCAAUGAAAGGUCAAAAAACAACCCAAUUGAUAAAAUUUGGCCAAAAAGGCAACUCGAGUCUCAAAUUGGAAUAUUAUAUAUAUACAUAGAUGAUAGACUCAAUACUAACUGACUGACUGACUGUCUAUGAAGCCUCUAUAACACUGAGAUGGAUGUUGGGACAGACCCCGCAACAUCCUAAUAAAGCAAAACAUAAGAAAACAAAAUAAACGAGUCCUCCGGAAUGCAAAGAGGCUCACCACUGACUCUGGAGUGCUCAGCUGGAUCAACGGCGUGCUGGAUGCUGACCCUGGGUACCUGCAUCUGUAUCAUAAGACGAUGCAGGCCAACUGGCAUCAGUACAUUGAAUGUACGAGUAUGCGAGUUGGAAUGCUAAACAACAACUUAAGCUUGAAAGGAGUACAAGAGAACACUUACAUUGGCUCUGUUCGACUCAUGAAUACUGAACUCAAUAUAAAGCAAUAAGACACAUACAAUACAUAAAGUUUGUAAAACAUUGUAAACAACUUAGUUCGUUAAGGAUAGACUCAUGAAUACUGAACUCAAUAUAAAGCAAUAAGACACAUACAAUACAUAAAGUUUGUAAAACAUUGUAAACAACUUAGUUCGUUAAGGAUAAAACAAUAACAAACUCAACUUUACUUAUAUAAAAGUAAUAUAAGUUUUGUGGGAGGUUCUUUAACCGACAACCACCACUAUGAGCCCUAGUGAUGAUACAACGUUUUACCUCACGUUGCCCAAGGGCCAUCCUAUACCUUGCCGUGAUAUACUUUACUUAGUGGAUCCACUAGCUUAACUUACGUGAUCAUCUAAAAAAGUAUGACCCGUUAACUCCCAUGUUCGGCUACAUGGUUCUUAUGGAGAGUUGAGUUAAUAUGAACUCGUGUCCCCAAUUCGGUGCUCAAUACUACUCCCAAAAAUAUACUUUGGCUCAUAUGUUUUAAAAACAAACUUCUUUCUUUGGUUUGAGAUAAUUACUCAAAGCUUAGCCCAAAGGCUCUUUUGGAAUCAAUGUUCCCUUUUCUUUGCUCAAUUGUGAAAACAUGCAUAAACUUGUUUGGGAAUACUUAGUUCCCUAAUAACUUUUGAGAAAUGAACUUGACUCUAUACUCUUGACUUAACUUGAAACUCUAUACUCUUUACUUAACUUGAAACUAUAUACUCUUUACUUAAAUUGAAACUUGAGCCUUAAACAAAGUUAAAACGUUUAACAAAGACUCUUGAAUAACUUUAAAGACUUGCUUUGACUUGCUUCUUAACUUCUAAACUUGACUCUUAACUUCACUUGACUUUGAUCCUAACUUUCCUCGAAUUGGAUUAUGAAUUCAAGGGUAAUGAUCUCAUGUUUAUGGAUGAGUUCGGGAUGUUUAGAUGUACCUUAGAGUAUUGGAAACAACUAUAAAACAUAGGUACAUUACCAAGGAACUUGUAUGAAAAAGUGGGGAAUGAAAGGGAAGGAUUGGCGUCCUUGGCGCUAUGAGAGGCGCGGGGCGCCAGCCCUCAAACUUCAGAAGGGCCUGCUGGGCGUUCUGCCAGGCGCGCCGCCCCAAGGGGAAAGUUCAGCGUCCCUUUUUGGGGUGCGCUGGCUGGCGCGACACCCCAGCCCUUUCCCCCCAAAAAUCUGACUUUUUCCCCUUGUUUUUCCAACUCUAAACCCCUUAACUUCAAAGGUUCCAGCCCCAAACACUUAGAAUCAUAAAACCCCUCAACAUACAAUAGAUUNNNNNNNNNNNNNNNNNNNNNNNNNNNNNNNNNNNNNNNNNNNNNNNNNNNNNNNNNNNNNNNNNNNNNNNNNNNNNNNNNNNNNNNNNNNNNNNNNNNNNNNNNNNNNNNNNNNNNNNNNNNNNNNNNNNNNNNNNNNNNNNNNNNNNNNNCUUCUCUUCUUCACUCAAAACCCUCACUCUCACUCUUUUAAAAUGGGACAAACUGUUCUAAAAAUCAGUCCAACACUUUAAUAUAACCAAAAGAAUUGAUUAGGGAAAAGACCAAAAUGCCCUUAAAAUUCGGACUAAACUGCCCUGUGCGGCUGUGCCAACAGCCCAACUUCCAAAGGGCAUAACUCACUCAUACGAACUCGGAAUCGAGUAAACUUGGCGGCGUUGGAAAGAUCAUUCCAAAAUAUUUCCAGACAUAACUAGAAAUUUUCUAAACUCAUCCUGAGCUAUGAGUUAUGACUGUUUUAAGUUGACAAAAAAACUCAUUUUUUUCCCAUACUUAACUAAAUUUCCAGAUUCUGACUUCUUAAAAAAAAAGACUAAUUCCAAUUAUAAACUUCUUCAUAGUUAUUUCAAAUUGCAAGACAUCACAUCAUGAAUUUCCAGAACAUUUUGUAUGGUCAACAACACAUAAAAUGUGGACACGUCGUAAACGAGGUCAUGUUAUUGGACGUGUAGUGACAUGUUAUCCAACCGAAGGAGAAAGAUACUAUCUUAGACUUCUUUUAUGAACGUAAGAGGGCCAAAAUCAUAUGAAGAUCUGCGAACUGUAAAUGGAAUACAAUAUAAUUCAUUUAGAGAAGCUGCAGAAAAAUGAGAACUAUUACUUUGUGAUAAUAAUUUGGUAGAAUGCAUGUCUGAAGCUGCAAGUUAUCAAAUGCCAUCCAGUUUAAGACAAUUAUUUGCUAUGUUAUUGAUUUAUUGUAAUCCAACAAAUCCUAGAGAAUUAUGGGAAAGAUUUGAAAGCCCAAUGUCAGAAGAUUUAAAAAAAAGUUCAAACAUAAAUGUAAGAGAAAUACGUUAUAAAGUAUUAAAUUGCAUUAAUGAUGUUCUUCAUUCAAUGGGUCGUGACAUUAAUGAAUUUGAACUAAUUUCAGAAUAUAUCAAACCUUCAUCAAUAGCAAGAGAAGCUAAAGAAGUUCAUUAUGAAAGAAAUAUCAUUGUUACUGAGGAAGAUUUAUUAUUAAAAAAUAAAUUAAACANNNNNNNNNNNNNNNNNNNNNNNUUACAAAAUAAAUUAAACACUGAACAGAGAAAGGCUUACGAUAUUAUUCUUGAUAGAGUAUUGUCAAAUAAAUUUGGGGCAUUCUUUAUUGAUGGUCCUGGUGGAACUGGUAAAAGUUUUUUAUAUCGUGCUUUAUUAGCUACAGUAAGACACAAGGGAUUUAUAGCUUUAGCAACUGCAAGUUCUGGUGUUGCAACUUCACUUCUUCCCGGAGGUCGAACUGCUCAUUCUCGAUUUAAAAUUCCUAUUGAUGUCAAUGAAAAUUUUACUUGCAAUAUUAGUAAACAAAGUUCACUAGCAUCUUUAAUACGAGAUGCACGAUUAAUUGUGUGGGAUGAAAUUUCAAUGGCAAAAAAGAAAAUGGUUGAAGCAUUUGACUUGCUUUUAAGAGAUCUAAUGGAAACAAAUACGUUAUUUGGUGGUAAAAUAGUUGUUUUUAGUGGUGAUUUCAGACAAACUCUUCCUAUUGUUCGUAGUGAAAAAAAAGAAGAUUUUAUUCGUGAAAGUUUAUUGUUCUCUGAAAUUUGGAAUCAACUUGAAAAAUUACAGUUAUCGAAGAAUAUGCGUGCAACUAAAGAUCCUGAAUUUUGUGAAUAUUUAAUGAGAAUUGGUGAUGGAAAAUAAAAAACAAAUGAUCAUGGAAAAAUUGAAAUUCCUCAUUCUCUCAUUAUUCCUUUUACUUCUGAAAAAGAAUCUCUAAAUCUUCUCUUUAGAAAUACUUAUCCUGAUUUAUACACAUGUUGUACAAAAACUUCGUAUGUUACUUGUCGUGCUAUUCUAACAACUAAAAAUGAUUUUGUUGAUGAAAUAAAUGACAUGUUGAUCUCUCAAUUUUCAAACACUGAAAAAGUAUAUAUUGCUAUAGAUGAAACUAUUGAUCCAAAAGAUCAAAGUGAAUAUGAAGAUUUCUUACACACUUUAAAUCCUAUUGGUUUACCUCCAUACAAAUUAACUUUGAAGAAAAAUUGUCCGAUUAUGUUAUUAAGAAAUUUAAAUCCUUGUGAAGGUUUAUGCAAUGGGACACGCUUAAUAUGUAAUGAUUUUAAACCUCAUGUUAACAGUGCAACAAUAACUUACGGUGAUUUUAAAAAUACUCAUGUAUUUAUUCCACGAAUACCACUCAUGACUUCAGAAGAUGAAAAAUUGCCUAUUCCUUUUAAAAGAACACAGUUUCCCUUACGAUUAUGUUUUGCCAUGACUAUAAAUAAAGCUCAAGGACAAACAUUAGAUUUUGUUGGUAUAUAUUUACGUGAACCUGUCUUCUCUCAUGGACAAUUGUAUAUUGCUUUAUCAAGAGCUACAAGUUCUAACAAUCUAAAAGUAUUAAUUAGACCACCUUUAAUUAACGAAAAUGAUGAUCAUUCGACAUAUAAUGUUGUCUAUGAUGAAAUUAUUGAAAAAGCAUUUUCUUGAACUUUGUGCUAUAAUUUGCAAUGGUAAAUCUCAUAUACAACUUACAUAUACUAUAUAUAUAUAUAUAUAUAUAUUAUUUAUCUAUAUUAUAAUAUUGCUUUCAUUAUACAUUUGCCUUUAGUUUAUCCUCUAAUAAUGCAUUUUAAUUGCAGAUAUUUCAACAUGGCGGAAAGAUAUACCAUCAAUAUGAUCACUCCCGAUACUAAAGAUUGGACCUGUAAAGUCCAAGUUGUUGAUAAAAGUCGACCAAGGGACAACAAAGAUAAAACCACAAAAUACCAAUAUUUUAAUUGCAGAUAUUUCAACAUGGCGGAAAGAUAUACCAUCAAUAUGACCACUCCAACUACUAAAAAUUGAACCUGUAAGGUCCAAGUUGUUGAUAAAAGUCGACUAAGGGACAACAAAGAUAAAACCACAAAAUACCAAGUCUUAAUUCUGCAAGAUGAAGAGGUAUUUAUUUUUAUUAUUAAUAUAUUAUUGAUUUUAAAAGCCAAAGUUUAAUUGAGUUAACUAAAUAACCCAUCAUUUUAUAUUUUUACUUUAAUAAUAUGAAAAAUAACAAGAUAACUUUUAAAUUUUACACAACUAAUCAAACUUUUUACAAAUUCUUUUACAGGAGAAUCAAGUUCAGGCCACUAUUUUCAGUACUGAUAUAACAUAUUUUGAAAAAGAAUUUGCUGCUUCCAAGACUUAUUUGGUAUCUGUUGCAUUUGUGAAAGAACCACCUCUUGGAUAUGAAAAUCCACUUAACAAAUUCAUUUGGACACUCGAUAAAAACACCAUUGUUGAACCAGUUGAAGAGGUCAAACCUCCAGAGGAUCCAUUACCACCACCAACCCGACUAGCUCUUGCCACAUUUGACACUUUUGAGUAUCAACCCAAAGAAUUUGAAUUUGGUAUUUAUAAAUUUAUUUAAUUAUUAUUAUUAUUCACAUAAAUAAAAUCUAAUUGUUAGUAUAUAUAAUAGAAUAGUUCUCAUGAUCUAAUUAUUCUUUCUUUAUUUUUGUUUAAUGCAAGAUGUACUUGCCAUUGUCAUUAAUGGCAAUCCUUCAACAAAGACUGCAACUGGAAAACGAAUUCAAGAGUUUAUUGUCAUGGACAAGCUGUAAGUAUAUAUAGAAUAUCACUCUUGUCAUUUAUUUUCAUAUCUUAUUACUUGUUUUCAAAAAUAGGUUCUUUUUCAUUGAUAGUGUUCUCUUUUUUCUUUUUCAUUUUUUUAGUUGAUGUAUAUACUUGUAUUUAAUAAAGUGAUUAAUCUUUUCAAGUUUCAAUAACGUUGUCUCUGUAGUCGUCUUCUCCAAAUGUGCACUCCUACUUUUUGGGACUAUAGUUGUACUUUUAGAAGUGUUCUUGUUUGUUUUUGCAAAUAUUGUCUUUUCAUUCUUUCUUUUUUUUGUUUGUUUGUGCAUCUUCCCCUCUCUUUUGUUUAAGUAAUGUGCUUGAAUGCCUUGUCCCUUUGAAUCAUUCUGAAAUAAAGGUUCAGUUUUUAUAAGGAUUGAUCUUCUUCCUGAUUUGUUCCUGCCCUUUUUAUUUUAGAUAAAUUAAUUUCUCAAUAUUGUGAAGAUAGUCUCUUAAAGAGAAAUAUACUGGUUACCCUAUUUGAUUUAUUUCCUCUGCUAUGAUUUUCUCUUAUUUUUUAAAGAUCAAGAUUGAAAUUUGAUCAACAACUAAUGAUAUCCACGUUUAUUGAGGUCCCUGGUAGAUAUUGAGUACUCGUAGGGAUAAGAUUUGCAAACACUCUACCUCCAUUUAACCCACAUGUUUGAUUUCACUAGGUUGUUGUUGUUUGAGUUUUUUCGUCUUUCCACGAAAAUUUCAUUUUUUAUCUAUUAAUUAAGCAGUUUUAAACUAAGUUCUCGAUAAGUAACUCUUACAAAGUUGGAAAAACCAUGUUUGAGGUUUUAUAUCUUCUCCUUUAUUACUCUCCCAUAUGUUCAUUUGCUUAUGAUAUUGAUAAUAGUUACCAAAGAUGUUUCUGUUGCAGUCUAUAUUGGAUGUAGUUGAUCCAUUUCACUGACUUUUAUAGGACAAAAAGCUGGUAUUUGUUGAUAAUAAUAUAAUUUGAAUUUUAUUAAUUAUAAUAUAAUGUUUUUACAAUAUCACAUAUCUUCUGUAACUUUAUUUUAAUAUUUGAAAACAUCCUUCGAAUCAUAUGCAGGAAAAAACCAACAAAACUAACACUUUGGGAGGAUUUUAUUAAUCAUGAGGGAGUUAAACUUUUCAACCAACUUCAUGAUUACCCGAUCAUUCUUGCUAGGAGCAUUGGGAAAUCAUCCUCAGGUAAAAGUGCAAUAAAUUUGUAUUUUUCUUUUUUGAAAAAUAUAUGACAUGAUGAAACUAAAAUCACAUAUUCAUAUGCACGUAGGAACGUCAAAUAGAUUCGUUGGUUUGACGAGUAAAUUCAAUAUAACAAUUGAAAUCAAUCCUCCAUAUCCACAGGCUGCUGAGUUAAGGACGUGGUAAUAUACAUUUUUAUUUAAUGCAUCGGAAUUCCAGAAUAUUUUGAAAUAUAAAACACAUCUUUAAUCAUACAAUCACAAAGUUUUAAAUUUCACUUUUAUUUCUUUUUUCAUAAUCUUUCUACAACACAUAUAUAGCAAAAUGAAGAUAGUAGUAGUCUUAUUUGUUUUUGAUAAAUGUAUGGACCGUAGACUUCUUUACAAUCCUUUUUACAAUUUUCAAAAUGACACAAGUGUUUUCGAUGAGUCCAAUAUUAAUAAAUUUUCAUAAUUUUACUUGUUUAUAGGAUCAAAACAAUUGAAACAAAGCUUGUUACUUAUAAGAUGAAAAGUACAACUCCAAUAGGCUCUAUUAUGUUGAUUCCAUUUGAGGAUGAGGUUAUAUCUGUGGCUAACAUCCAGGCACAACCUCCGGGUAAGAACAACAAGUAUAUUAUUCUAUUUUUACAUUUUUUUUAUUUUCAGUAAAAAAUAAUAUUUGGUAUAUUGAAUUUGAAGGGACAAGUAUUUAAUGUUCAGGCUGAAUUGUCCCUUCCAAGUAAGGAUCAACUCUUUAGUGUGUUAGCAUGCUCAAAUUGUAAGCAAUUGUUCACAAGAUAUAACGUGCGAAGGGAAAUCUACUGCACAAGUUGUCACCGAUCCACGCAUCUUAUUCCUAGGUAUAUUUGCUCUUCUACAAAAUUAAUAAUAACUAAUUAAGAUUAUUUAUUUUGUUUGUUCAAAGAAAUAAAUGUCUUAACUAACCAUUAUUUUUUAAAUUUUUCAUUAAUUAUCAAAACAGAUGUCAAUUUGAAGUUACUAUUAAGGACAACAGCAGUUUUGCAACAGUUAUUGUUUCGGAUGAAAUUGCAGAGAAAUUGUUGCACCUCACUUCAGAAGAAAUUUAUGAAAUUUGCUUCGUCAAGGUACAUAUUACUUUUUUCGUACCAAAUAAUCACAAAGAACUUGUUGUGAUUUUGUAUUUUCAUUGUUUCUUAUUUCUUCUCUUCAACACAAGCUUGUAACAGUUAAGGGAAUCUACGAUGAGAUUUUCUAACUCACUACUGUCUAAAUUAUAUGCUACAUAACAAGUGCUCUAGCAUGAGAGUCGCAAUAUACUGAUGUGUUUGGUGAUACAUUUCUGAAAUCUUAUUGCUCUCAUUGACAAAUAAGGAUCGUAAUAGUUGAGCACUUAUGAAGUUAUGGUAGUAUAUAAUCGAUUUAUGAUGAUAUAAAAACGUCAAAGGUAUUUUUGAAAAGGUUAAGUUAUAAUAUAGUACUAGAUUUCCUUAUGAUCAAGUGAACAUAUGACUUCCUUAACUUGAAAAGGAUACUAUAGCUCUAUAGGCUUAGAAAUCUAGCAUAAGAGAAUUUCUAAUAAAGAUUCAUUUUUUAUGUAUCAUAUAAGUUGUGAAGACCUUUAUAGUCGAAAAACUUCAGCUCACAACUUUCAAACAAUAUCUCGUGAGUUCCUUAUCAAAUAACAUAGAAUGUUGUAGAUAAUGAGGGAAUGGAAACUUACCUUCAAUAGACAAAUAUCUCGUGAAUUAAUUAUUAAUUACUUAUUCUAAGAUUACUAAUCAUAUAUUUAUAUUUCUAUCUUAUAUAUAUAUUAUAUAGAAAUGUGAAGCCUUGGACGACCAAGGGCAAUCACUUUCUUUAAUUUUGUGAAAAAUAUACUAUCUAACUUCUAAGAGUUUCAAAUGAAUGUAUAUAUGAUCAUGUGAACAUAUGGGUUCCUUGACUUGAAAAAAAUACUAUAACUCUAUAAACUUAGAACUCUAGCAUGAGAGAAUUUGUAACGUGUUCAGUCUACUCUUUUCAUUCAAAACUUCAUAUCUUAAGUUCAUGUUUCUUUUCUCCAGCACCCAACUUAUACUUUUUGUUGUCUGUUUACAUUCAACUUUCUUUAUAAAAAUAUUAUCAUUGUAUAUAUUUAUUUUACUUUUAUCCAUCUCACAUAGCUACCCAUUAGCUCAAAGCUUUGUACCUAAGUUGUCAUGCGCACCUACCACAAUAGGCAUGAUGGUUUUAGAACUGUUGCAUGUUGACUCUGAUUAGUUGAAAGACCUUUACUAUUGAAUUUAAUUACAAAUGUAAAUUUCUUUCCUCAUCCACUUUUCUUUUAAUUUCAAAAUUCAUGAUCCUUGCAUAUGCUAUUGUUGUUGAACAUCUUCUUUAAUGGUAAAAAUAUCCAAUCUCUUUCGAUUUGUCUGUUCGCUUUAUUUUCUAAUUAUUAUAUAUAUAAAAUAUAAAACAUUAAUGAUUUUGUUAUUAUUAAUCUCUUUUUUUUCAUUUUUUCAGAAAGAAACAUUAUCGCUCCAAAAUGUGGAAGAUCAAUUGAACGGCAAGAUAUUCAACAUUCAAAUGAAAAGGCUAUUCACAAAAAAAUUGGAUGCAACGUAAAAAUUAUCCAUUUUGUCUUACUUGGAGAAAGAAGAUGUGAUUCAUAAACCAAUGGCAUCUACGACAGUCAAUGUUACAGAUGCAAAAAAAGCGCACAAUUGAACAUCUUAGUUCAGGGGAAAAAGAAUAUCCAACAUGGCAAACAAAUAUAAUCCUUCUACCCACAAACGUAGCAUGGAAAUGAAAAAUCAUCCCAUGAAAAAGAAUUAAAAGGUAUUUGAAUUAUUUUGUACAUUUUUUAAAACUUCAUCUUUGCAAUUGACUAAUAUAAAUGGGAUUGUAUUUAUUUUCUUUGACUUCGAUUCAGUCUCUAGACACAUUUUCUUUUAUUGUUUUGAAUUGCAGUUGAAACACUUUUUGCUGUGGUUCUCAAAGUGAUUAUUUUGGAACUCUUUUGUUGUUGCUACUGAAUGCCGUGUUUUGCAAGCUUUUGAUGUUGCUAUGUGGAUGCCUUAUGCCCUGUUCUUUUGUCGAAAUUGAAAAUAUUUUCUCCUCUGAUAGCAAGUUAGUUAAAAGUCAUCUUUUUACAAGUACUCCAUUUAUCAACUUAAAUGAAAAUAUAUUCUUUCUGGUGUUAUGAUUAUUAUUAUCGCCGAAAACUAUUCUGUUCAUUUUUAGUUCCUAAAAGAUGUUGUAACUUUCCUCUAUUGAUCUUGUUGGAAUAACCACCUUAAACUGAUAGAAUCAAAAACUACAAUACAAAAUAACAGUUAGUAAUUAAAAACUUGUGAAAUCAAGCCUAUUUGGUAGAAUUGUUUGCCUAUUUUGAUUUAUAUGACUAUUAGACCAAUCUCUUCAGUGAUUUCUCCUUGUUGAUUUGUUUGAGUUUUUCCUUAUGGCUUACAUUGAUCAUUGGGAAAGACUUUCGAUUCUUGCUUUAAAGAGUCAAAAUCAAGCGCUAGCUCAGAACUGCGUCUUUCUCAGCUUCAGCCAAUCAAUGUCUGUUGUAUCUCCACCAUUUUAUAAAUUUUGUGACCCAUAUACUUUUGCCAACUGAUCCUACACAAGUCAAAUAAUAGGCAUAUAUGUGGUUGACAGCUUAAAAUUAAGAAAGUUAGAUUUAUCAUUCUUUAAAUUUGUUCUUCAUGUUACUUACUGUUCCGGCUUGUAUAUAUCAAUGCAGUAUGACAGCUCUUUCGAGUAAUGGUAAUUAAAGCAACCACUUAAAUAAAUAUUUUUCCAUCAAUGAAGCUUCCCUUACAAUUGUUUAGUAUAUUAAACCCUCGCAUUUUAUACUCAUUAUUCAUCCAUAUGUAAAAGCUAUAACUUUCACAUUUUUCUCUAUGAUAUUUUAAGUUUCCAUGUUCCAUUUAUUGUGGCUUAGUUGGUUAGUUUCCUCCAACAUCAACUCUUUGGUGUUGAUCAGUCAUUAAGAAGUAAAAACGAUAGUUUUGUUGAAUUCGUAGUUCUUGGUGGCCUCACUAUGUUAUUUUUACAAGUAAGCAAUGUGUCAUUUACUUUCAAGUUACGUUCAAUAAAAAUCAUCUUUACGUAAAUUAUCAUUGUUUCUAUUGUUUGCUUAUCUACUACAAAAUGGAUAAAAACAAAAUUUCUUAUGUUGUUGUUGGGAAGGAAAGAAUAUGUGAGUUUGUUGAGAGUUAAAUGUCUUGGCCAUGUGGUUUAUAAUGCUUCUGUUAUUACCGUUACAUUGUUUGUUGUUGUUUUUAGUGCCUAUAUUGUAAGACUUAGAUUAAAUUAUUUAUAAAUCCUAGACUUGCUAACAGAUAUAUCUUGUGUUGUAUAAACUAUGUGAUUCCGUGCUGACAUUUAAUCCCUCAAUUUUAAUGUAACAGGUGAUUUUGAUCAAAAAAAAUGGUCCAGAAGAUCCAAGCAUGAAAGAUGCAUCUAUUUUUGUCUAAAUUAAAAUAGUAUGUAAAUUUAUGUAAUUAGCACUCCCACAUAUGGAAAUGUUAAAACUAUGUAAGUAUGUCACUUCAACAUUCAGUAGUAUCACAUUCACAUGAAUAUAUAAUGAACAAAUUUGGCAGCUAUAAUGUGUUUAAAUUAGUAAUUUUUCUCAUUGAAAUAUAUUUUAGAUCCAUUAUAAAUUAUACAUAGGGACUGUGUUGGUACUCCUACCACUACUUUUCUAGAAUGUACAGGGAAAGUAGCCACAAUGUUUUCUGCCUAACAUGUAUUCGUAUGAGCAUAGCAUCGCAUAUAUUAACAAUUGAAGAGUAUUUAGAAGACACCUGUCUGCAGUAAAGUUGUUACUGUAAUGGGAGAAAUUAGUUAUAUAAUUACACUUUGAAGUUCAUGUGUUUUAAGUCUAUUAGAUCUGACAUUUGUAAAAGAUGCAUAUGGCUGUAAAGUAGCAUAACUAAUGCAAUGGUCUGUUAACUUUUACACUAUAUACUCUAAUUAUGUCAUUUAACAACAUCAACCAUUUAUUUGAAUUUUAUGUCUCAAUUCCUAGGCUGAUGUCUUUAUUCUUCUGAAGUCCCUUUUUGCCAUUUAUAAUAUGUACAUGUCCUGUGAAAAAAAAUGUAUUUAAGCAGCUUGUUCUUUCGCUUUCAUUUCUAGACUCCCCUCGAAAAUUUGGAACCUGUUCUAAGGGAAGACAUUCAGAAGGUACCAUAUUCAUAGUUUUUUAGUUUUCUUGUUUUUUUUUCUUCUUUCUAAACUAUACAUUAUUGAUUUUAUCGUACCUAUUCUGCCUGUGUAAAAUUAAUUAUUGAAAGUUGUUUUUGUUAAAAAAAAAAAAAUCAUUUAAUUUUUAAACAAUAACGACAAACUGUGCUUUACAAGUAGAUUUCCUGUCGUGCAUUCAAUAUCUAUGUAAUAAUAAUCGAUUGCCUUCUUAUUAUGUAUAUAUUGAUAAACUUUGAAUAAGGAUACUAAAUUGUGAAUGUUUUCCCAACUUAAUAUUGAACUAAUUGUUGAAACUUGAAAGAAAAGUAAUAGUGACUCUCGCUUGUAUCUUAUUACAUGUGGAUUCUUUUAUCGUGCAGAUUAAAAAAUGUGAUUCCUUACUAAAAUUAUAGACAUUGUGUUUUUUGAAAUUACAGUUAUUUAAAAAUAUUUUUUACCACGUUGGAUUUCAAAUAUAUUUCAUAGUAAAUCAAACAGAAGUAAAAUUAUGAUAAAAUUUUAAACGUUGGGCCCAUGCUUAGCACGGGCAACGCUCAUCUAGUAUAUCUAAUAAGGAAUAUACGUUUGUGUGGGUUAAUGUAUAUAUAUAUAUAUAUAAAGCAUAUUAUUAUUCUUUCGUUUCGUCUCACAUUAUUUAUUCACUUUCUUUUUUACAAGUUUGGUUUUUUAGUAUGUGCUAAAUUUAUGUUCAAUCAUUCCAUAUCAUAUUAUUUAUUCACUUUCUCUUUUACACGUUCAUUUUCCUAAUACACUCCCUCAACAUUCAAAAAAAAAAGGUUUUCCAUAUCCAAAGUUUCUAUAUAUAUGCUUCGUGUAAAAAUCUAACAACUUAAUCCAAUUGGCGGACGGUGAUAAAUCUUUCCUUUUUUUUAUGGGUAAAAAUAAAGUUUCCAUAUAUGUUUUCUGAUUAUAUAAACCGUGCAAAAUUAAAAUAUAAAAACUUCCAUAUAUAUGUUUUUGGUUUUAGAAAACGUGUAAAAUAUAAAAAGUCACCAUAAAAUGUAAAAAAAAUUCCAUAAAAAAUGUUUCCAUAGUCGUUAGGGAAUAGGAAUGAUAUAAUAAUCCAAAAAAGAAACGAAAAGGAAAGCGAAAUCCUAAUCCAAAGAUAAAACGUAAAGCCUCUACCUAUAUAUACAUGUGAAAUAGUGAAUUGUUUCAUUGAAAUAUUAAUUAGCUGGUGCAAAUUCAACAAAAAAACAUGGUAAAAUUUCCCUCAUGUCUUGUUAAAGUAGUUGUAAUAAUGAUACUAGUAUGUUUUCCUUCCACCACCCUCUCUAGAAAAUUAUUACUCUCGUCACCACCAUCAGAAGCUGCUCCUCCAAAACCUCAUAAUAAUAUUGUUAACGAUGAAGACAACAAUCCAAAAGAGAAGGUGAUUGAUGAUAGUCGUCGAAGCUGGAGUUCUCUUGAUCUUGGUCACAAAAUUAUGAUUAUCCUAUCUAUAUUUUGUAGCUUACUUACAAUUGUCGGCCUCGUUAUCGUGAUAACAUGGCUUAUCUAUUCCGAACUAAGGGGAUAUUGAUCCAUCUAACUACUCUAUACCUUUUAUUUUCUGUAAUUUAAUGAAUAAACAGUGUUUUUCUAUUUUCGAUCCACUUAAUUGGGUGUGAACGUUGUACUUGUAUGUAUCGAUUGCUGGGUUUGUUUUGCUGUGUAUGUCUGGUGGAUGUUUUGUUGGAAUUGUUGACAGCGUUUUGGAAUAUUGGUGGGCUUGGGUCGAUGCAGCUGAUUAUUGUGUUGUGGGCUGUUGUAAUUGGGUUAAUAUUGGUUUGAAGUUGGGAUGAAAUUGUGUUUAAGGGGGUUACUUAAACAAAUUAAGUGGAACUUUUGUAUAUAGCCACUACAAAAUAGUUUAAUUACGCUAUAUAACUAGAGUUUGCUAAUUUCGAUUCGUAGCUACAUGUAAAAGAGAGGAGAGUGGAGAGCGAGAUUGGGAGAUGGAGGAGAGAGGUGAGCGAGAGAGGGCAAAAAGUGGGAGAGAGGUGAAUUGUAUAUGUAUAUCGGUUUGAUAAUUGUACAUAUGUAACUGGUAUAUGUAUGUAUUUGUAUAUCUAGAGAACGAAAUUGGGAGAGGGAGGAGAGAGGCGAGUGAGAGAGGGCAAUAAUUUGUAUAACUCGCAUCUCACUUGUACAAUUCACGUGUUUUUGAACGUAUAUGGUGAUAAAACUGAAAAACCAAACGAAAUCAUCGUCAUAUGCAAAUACAAACCAUCUUAUACAAAUAAAAAUCAAACGAAGAAUUGUUAAUUGCGGAUUAUACAAAUGUGGCGAAUUAUACAAGCACGAAGUUAGCCCACAUAAUUAAUAGUUAAUGUUAGUUGCAAGUGGUAAUUAUAGCAAACUAUAGCUACAAUGACUAAUUAAGUAGUAUAAAUUCGCUUAACCGCAUAAUUUUCCCUUAAAAUAAGAAGAAUUGUAAUAAAAGGGGUUAGAUUUCAAAUUAUGACAUAACCAUAUGAAUUUCAAUUAUGACCAAUUGUAAUUAAUAUGUAAUAUUUUCCUUUAAAAUCGUUUUUGUAAAAAUUUGAUGGUUCGCUGCACCGAAGAAUGUUGUUUAUGAUGUUUCGAAUAUUGCACUAUUUUGUUGGUAUUACUGUUUUCUUAUUAGUUGUUAUAUUUUCUUCACUGUCACUAUACAUUUUCAUACAUACUUUAAUUUGUUGUAUUCGAGCCAAGGGUCCUACGAGAACAUCUUCUCUAUUUCCACGAGGUAGAAAUAAGGUUUACAUACGUUUUAUCCUCCGCAAACCCAACUCGUAAAAUUAUACUAAAUAUACCAUUAUAUAUUUCAAUGAUAUUAAUAAAUUGAUUGAUCGAACGAAAUAUUAGCGGAGCUUAUAAUUUUAGCAUAACACCUCGAAGAUGAAGUCGGAAUGUACGUUCCAACACAUCACAUGAUAACAUUAAACGAAGCCUCCAACUUCGAUGCAUUAUACAUUUUUCAUAUAUAGACUAUACUAUAUAGUACAUCUAAAUUUUUUUAAAUAUUAUACAUUGAGUGAGUUAAUGAUGCUGGUGCCUCUUAUCUGUCGUCCUAGUAAUUGCUGACUUGUUUUUAUUCCCAUACGUCUAUUAAAUUUCAUAACAUGCAUAAUGCCAACUCAUAUAAUAAUAUUCUUCAGAAUCUAAAGGGGAAAAAAAAUGUUUCAAGAUCAAAUUUUAAGUUAUUGACCUUUCAAGUUCUUAAGAGUGUUAUCUAAUCAUGAAUGAACUUGAAUAAAAUCCUAGAAUUUGGAUUUAAAUUUUAAUAGGAUGAUAUCUUUUAAUCUGUUCAAAUUUAAGUAAGGAAAUUUGUUUUGCUAUACUUAUGCUAAAUAUAAAAUAAUUGAAGUGUGCGUAAUUUCGUUUGAACAUCAGCAUUACUAUACCGUUUAAGAAAAUGGUCCAAAUUAGCUUUUGUACUGUGAGAAGGUUUUACUUUGCUCUCUAUUAGAAGUUUGUUUCAUUUAUCUUUUUUGUUAUUUUAGUUUUAACUCCAAAUUUCUCAAACUUGACUUUAAGAUAACAUUAAAUAAGGAUGUAAUGAUAAAUUUAUGUAAUUUCUUAAAAGACGUGAAAUCUAAAAUAAUGACAUCUAAAUACGAACGGAAGGAAUAUUAGUUGGUCUCUAAUUAUUUCGAUCAUGAGUGCAUAAAGAUGCCACAUGGCUAUAUUGUGGCUACACUAUCAUAGAAAUACUGCUCACAACAAUCCAAUGAAAUUUAGUCAAAAUGUGUCAUGACUAAAAGAAAGAGAAAAAUAAGAAUUUUGAUUCAUCGUCAAUUUCAUUAUGUGUGAAAAAAAUCAUGAUUUUGAAGUUUUGAAGUGAUUUUAACAUUUUAUUUUUAUUUUGCAUACCACAAAAGGGAAAUAUGGAUCUUUUCCCUAUAUAAUAUUUGAUUUGUUAGCGACUAAAAGUAAAUUCGAAUUAGAAUUAUAACGUUGCGGAAUUGAAUAAGCCAAACUUCCUACAUAGUACAAAAUUAAAUCUUUCUACAAAAUAUGAGGGUAAAUUUGAACCUUUAUUUUUAUAACAUAGAAUCACAAUAUAUUAAUUGGACAAUAAUCAACCUCCAUCUACUACAAUAAAUAUCUCUCGUCAAGUCACUUUCAUUCUUUCUUUCUUUUUAAGUCUAAUCAACUUCAAACAUAAACUAAAAGCAUAAAUGUAUUUAUUGUUGUCCGUCUCAUAUUAGUUGUUAAUUAUACUUUAAAUAGUUAUCCUACCUUACUUGUCAAUUUACCUUUAUAACUAAUUCUUUUUUUUUAAAGUGUAAACAAGUUUGUAAAGUUUUUAAAAAGUUUCUGAAGGAUAAAUUAAUAAAACUAACAUUCUUAUUAAUGAUUUCUUAAAACGUACUAUGGGAAAUAUAGAAACUAAUAUCAGGGGCGGAGUUAGUAGUCAGCGUGUGGAUUCUUUAGAUUUUAUCAUACACACAUUUUUUCCCCUUUUGUUCAUAUAUACUUUAGAUUUGAUCUUUGUGUUUCCUUGAUAUUUUUUUUUACAUCAAAUGAUCAACAAAUCUAACGAAUUCAUUCGCCGGAUUUUCAAUUUUCCGGCUAUUCGUCCUAGUGAAACAGUAUGUUUUUCUAGCCUUGUUACAUCUUUGAUUCAAUUAGGCCAAACAAUAUGUGAAUACAAGUCAAGAACUUUUUAUACCAAUAAGAAGAAUGUUAGGAAUUCGAUUCGUUUAAUUGAGGAUAUUCUCAUUGUUCUUGAAGAAAUCCCAAAUGGGGUUUCAAGAUUUGUUAAUUCAAGUAUUGUGAGCUUAUCUGAGAUUCAUUUUAUCUUCCACUAGUUUCAUUUCUUGUUAGAUGAUUGUAGCAGAGAAGAUUCAAGAAUAUGGAUUUUAGCAAAAUCCGAGGAUGUCUCUUGCCAGUUUCAGAUGCUGGCAAGAGCUGUUGCUGUGGCACUUGAUGUUCUUCCCUUGAAGGAAAUGGAUGUUUCUGUGGACGGUCAAGAAGUGGUUGAGUUUGUGAGGAAUCAAGCUGUUAAGUUGAAGUUUGAAGUGGAAAUGGAUGAUGGGAGAAUGCAAGUGAAUGUUUUGAAGAUUUUGGAUCAACUUGAAGAUGGAAUUGUUCCUGAAUCACAUGAUCUGAAAAGGGUUCUUGAUUAUUUAGGGAUUACACGUUGGAGCGCGUGUAAUAGAGAAGUUAAGUUCUUGGAUAAUGAGAUGUUGUUGGAGGGGAAUACUGAGGAGAAGAGAGAUAUGGGAAUCCUUAGUAGCUUAAUGGGGUUCAUGAUAUACUGCAGGGGAACUCUGUUUGAAGUAUUGGAUAAUGGAGCAGGCAGACAAAUCAAUGGAGGCAGUACUAAUGCAGAUCAAGUCAUCAGGUUCUUGAAUCUUGAUGAUUUCAGGUGUCCAAUUACACUUGAAAUGAUGAGUGAUCCAGUGACAAUAGCCUCAGGUCACACGUAUGAUCGGGCUUCGAUUCUGAAAUGGUUCAGAGCUGGAAACUCCACUUGUCCAAAGACUGGUGAGAGGUUAACAAGUAUUGAUUUGGUUCCUAAUUUUGCUUUGAAGGUUUUAAUCAAGCAGUAUUGCUCCGCGAAUGGUAUUCCAUUUGUGGAGACUGGUAGGCGAAAUCGUGAUGCUGGAAGAUUUGUUGGUUCAAGCAGUGUGGCUAAUGAGCAGGCUAUGAAGUUGCUUGCAAGUUUUCUAGUAGGCAGGCUGGUUGGUGGAACAAUGGAACAGCAAAAUAAGGCUGCUUUCGAGAUUCGUUUGCUCACUAAAACAAGCAUUUUUAACAGGUCUUGUUUGGUGGAAGCUGGUGCAAUCCCACCUCUUCUGAAUCUUGUUACUUCUAGGAAUUCUUCUUGUCAAGAGAAUGCAAUGGCUACUCUGCUGAACCUCUCAAAGAACUCUAAAUGCAAAAGCACAAUUGUUGGAAAUGGAGGUUUGUUCUUGAUACUUGAUGUGUUGAAAGGAGGGCUAAAGAUGGAAGCUCGACAGCACGCAGCUGGUACAUUAUUCUACCUUACAUCAGUAGAAGAGUACCGUAAAAUGAUGGGAGAAAAUCCAGAGUUCAUUCCAUCACUUUUGGAGUUGCUAAGAAAUGGCACUGACAGAGGAAAAAAGAAUGCCUUGGUCACCAUUUUUGGCCUCCUAAUGCGCCCCGAAAACCACUGGAGAGUGAUUGCUGCUGGAUUAGUCCCCUUGGUGGUUAAUCUGUUGAAAUCUUUCGAAAGGGAAGAUCUCAUUACAGAUUCUUUAGCAGUUUUAACAACGCUUUCUGAAAGGCUAGACGGAGCAAUGGCUGUUCUUUAUGCUGGAGCUUUGCCUAUUAUUGUCAAUGUUCUAAGUUCUUGCAAUUCAAGGGCAUCAAAAGAGUACUGUGUCUCAUUGUUGCUGGCUUUGUGUAUCAAUGGUGGAGCAGAUGCAGUUCCUGUUUUAGUAAAGAACUCAUCUCUCAUGGGACCGUUAUAUUCCCUCCUGGCUGAAGGCAACUCAAAAGCAAGCAAGAAAGCUAGUACACUCAUCAGAAUCUUGCACGAGUACAACGAGAAGACCUCAUCUGGCUUGAUCACUCCAGUUUUUAUAGAGGAUCAAUUCAUUAAUGUAUGGUAAUUAUUUACAAGCAUCCAACAUGUAUAUAUACACCAUGGUGUAGGAUGCUUUAGUGUCAUUUUCCUUUACUGGUGAUAUCGGCUCAAGUUUUUAAGAGCUAGUCACACUACACUGCUGCAGCUUCUGGUUUUUUGAAUGAAGCUUUGUAUAGUUUUACUUGUAUCUCUAUACUUUCUGAUGUUAAUGUGAAUUGUUGUUAAUGUAAACAUCAAUCGUUGUAAUCUUCGAAUAAAUAAUAAGCAUUAUCUUAUCUGAAUCAGUUGGUAC